CGGAUAGUAGGUGGGUUCAAGCACAUCUUCAUAUUUCUGCCAUGCCAAUGCCCUUUUUAUGGCUUGUAAAUUCAUACAAUGGUCCCCUAAGCCUUCAUGUGAAGUUUCGUGGCAAGACGACCCGUUUUCAAUUUUUCACGAUUUUUGAAACUUUUUACGGUUCGAGAUUUUUUAAAAUUUUUUCAGAAAAAGUUUUUUCCCCAAACUUUGUAUAGGUGAUCCUUGUAUUUUUUUUGGCAUCCACAAAAAAAUUCAGCUAAAAAUUUGAAGUGGAGAAGAUUUUGUGAUCAUUUGAAAAAAGUGUCCCCAUUUCAGACACGUUAAUGGCUACUUGUAGCAAACCUAUAAAAUCUCAAAUGCUCUUUAAGGGGGUGUGAGUUCUCGAGGUUUGAUGAGGGAUAGGGGGCCAAUAUAAGGGCCAAGUGUCAUGCCCUGGGCGAGCACACCAGGCACAUCAGGCAGACCAGCAGGCGAGCCAGUGGUUGAGGCCCGUAGACCAGGCGUGCUGGAGGGGAUCUACGCGCAAAGCCUAGCGUGCUGCCGUUCCUACUGUUGCAACCCUCGAUCCGUUCCAAUCUUAGACUAGGAAUGAACUUCAUAUGCUUAGAUUGGGGAUGAACUUCGUAUGCCUAAGUCAACCCACGAAACGAGCAUACGGGCGCUCAGCCGGUCGGAAAGGCCGACUAGAGAGGCAUAAUGCACAAUUCGGGGAUCAACCCGGUCCCCCUCUGCGCACUGUCGAUCCUGUUACCGGUCCUGCUGCCAUGACCCUCGGUCCGGCUGGGGCUUAGACAUGGAAUGAACUCCGUAUGCCUAAGCCAACCCACGAAACGAGCAUACGGGUGCUCAGCUGAUCGAAGAGGCAGAAUGCGCAAGCCGAGGAUCGGCUCGGUCCCCCCCUGUGCGCUGUUGAUCCUGCUACUGGUCCUGCUACCGCAACCCUCGGUCUGGUCCGAUCUUAGACUGGGAAUGAACUCUGUAUGCUUAGACAUGGAAUGAACUCCGUAUGCCUAAGCCAACCCAUGAAAUGAGCGUAUAGGCGCUCAGUCGGUCAGAGAGGCAGAAUGCAUAAGCCGGGGAUCGGCCCGAUCCCCCCUGCGUGCUAUCGAUCCUACUACUGUAACCCUCGGUCCGGUCUGAUAUUAGACUAGGAAUGAACUCCGUAUACGUAAGUCAACCCAUGAAACGAGCUUACGGGCACUGAGUCGACCGGAGAGGCAUAAUGCGCAAGUCGGGGAUCGGCCCGGUCUCUCUCUGCGUGCUGUUGGUCUCGCUGCCACAACCCUCGAUCUGGCUGGGGCUUAGACAUGGAAUGAACUCCCUAUACCUAAGCCAAGCCACGAAAUGGGUGUGCGGGCGUUCAUNNNNNNNNNNNNNNNNNNNNNNNNNNNNNNNNNNNNNNNNNNNNNNNNNNNNNNNNNNNNNNNNNNNNNNNNNNNNNNNNNNNNNNNNNNNNNNNNNNNNNNNNNNNNNNNNNNNNNNNNNNNNNNNNNNNNNNNNNNNNNNNNNNNNNNNNNNNNNNNNNNNNNNNNNNNNNNNNNNNNNNNNNNNNNNNNNNNNNNNNNNNNNNNNNNNNNNNNNNNNNNNNNNNNNNNNNNNNNNNNNNNNNNNNNNNNNNNNNNNNNNNNNNNNNNNNNNNNNNNNNNNNNNNNNNNNNNNNNNNNNNNNNNNNNNNNNNNNNNNNNNNNNNNNNNNNNNNNNNNNNNNNNNNNNNNNNNNNNNNNNNNNNNNNNNNNNNNNNNNNNNNNNNNNNNNNNNNNNNNNNNNNNNNNNNNNNNNNNNNNNNNNNNNNNNNNNNNNNNNNNNNNNNNNNNNNNNNNNNNNNNNNNNNNNNNNNNNNNNNNNNNNNNNNNNNNNNNNNNNNNNNNNNNNNNNNNNNNNNNNNNNNNNNNNNNNNNNNNNNNNNNNNNNNNNNNNNNNNNNNNNNNNNNNNNNNNNNNNNNNNNNNNNNNNNNNNNNNNNNNNNNNNNNNNNNNNNNNNNNNNNNNNNNNNNNNNNNNNNNNNNNNNNNNNNNNNNNNNNNNNNNNNNNNNNNNNNNNNNNNNNNNNNNNNNNNNNNNNNNNNNNNNNNNNNNNNNNNNNNNNNNNNNNNNNNNNNNNNNNNNNNNNNNNNNNNNNNNNNNNNNNNNNNNNNNNNNNNNNNNNNNNNNNNNNNNNNNNNNNNNNNNNNNNNNNNNNNNNNNNNNNNNNNNNNNNNNNNNNNNNNNNNNNNNNNNNNNNNNNNNNNNNNNNNNNNNNNNNNNNNNNNNNNNNNNNNNNNNNNNNNNNNNNNNNNNNNNNNNNNNNNNNNNNNNNNNNNNNNNNNNNNNNNNNNNNNNNNNNNNNNNNNNNNNNNNNNNNNNNNNNNNNNNNNNNNNNNNNNNNUAUAAAAUCUCAAAUACUCUUUAAGGGGGUGUGAGUUCUCGAGGUUUGGUGAGGGAUAGAGGGCCAAUAUAAGGGCCAAGUACCAGCACCCAUCGCACAUCUUGUGCACACACCCCCCGGCCCCCCCAAUCGCCGGAACCUCUAAUGUCGUCGGUUAGGCUCUCCGACGAUGCUCCGACGAUGGUGCCCCAGGCGAAAAAAAGGUGGAACCAGAACAUGUCUGACCCUAGCAUGUGCACCGUGGCUCAAACUCUUAGACUGGGAAAGAAUUUCGUAUGCUUAGACAUGGAAUGAAUUCCGCAUGCCUAAGCCAACCCACGAAACGAGCGUGCGGGCGUUCAGUCGGACAAAGAGGCAGAAUGCACAAGCCAAGGAUCUAUCCGGUCCCCCUCCGCAUGUUGCCAAUCCCGCUGCCACAACCCUCGAUUCGGCUGGGGCUUAGACAUGGAAUCAACUCCCUAUGCCUAAGCCAACACACGAAACGGGCGUGCGGGCGCUCAAUCGACCAAAGAGGCAGAAUGCGCAAGCCGAGGAUCGGCCCGAUCCCCCCUGCGUGCUGUUGAUCCUGCUGCCGCAACCCUCAAUCCAAUCUAAUCUUAGACUGGGAAUGAACUCCGUAUGCUUAGACUGGGGAUGAACUCCGUAUGCCUAACUCAACCCAUGAAACGAGCGUAGGGGCGCGCAACCGACCGGAGAGGUCGAUCGGAGAGGCAUAAUGCGUAAGCCGGGGAUUGGCCCGAUCCCCCACAACAUGCUGUCGAUCCUGCUGCUGGUCCUGCUAUCACAACCCUCGGUCCGGUCCGAUCUUAGACUAGGAAUGAACUCCGUAUGCUUAGACAUCAAAUGAACUUCGUAUGCCUAAGCCAACCCACGAAAUGAGCGUGCGGGAGCUCAACCGGCCAAAGAGACAAAAUGUGCAAGCCAGCGAUCGGCCCGAUCCCCCCUUUGUACUGUUGAUCUUGCUACCGCAACCCUCGGUCCGGUCCGAUCUUAGACUGGGAAUAAACUCCGUAUGACUAAGUCAACCCACGAAAUGAGCGUGCGGGUGCUGAGCCGGCUAGAGACGCAUAAUGCGCAAGCCGGGGAUCGACCCGAUCCUUCUCUGCAUGCUGCCGGUCCCACUGCCACAACCCUCGGUUCAGUUAGGACUUAGACAUGGAAUGAACUCCCUACGCCUAAGCCAACCCACGAAACGGGCGUGCGGGCACUUAGCCGGUCGAAAAGGCAGAAUGCGCAAGCCGGGGAUCGGCUCAGUCCCCCCUGCGUGCUGCCGAUCCUACUGUCGCAACCCUUGGUCUGGUCUGAUCUUAGAUUGGGAAUGAACUCUGUAUGCUUAGACUAGGGAUGAACUCUGUAUGCCUAAGUCAACCCAUGAAACGAGUGUGCGAACGCUCAGCCGACUAGAGAGGCAGGAUGCGUAAGCCAAGGAUCGAACGGGUGGUAGGUGGGUUCAAGCACAUCUUCAUAUUUCUGCUGUGCCAAUGCCAUUUUUAUGGCUUGUAAAUUCAUACAAUGGUCCCCUAAGCCUUCAUGUGUAGUUUCGUGUCAAGAUAACCCGUUUUCUAUUUUUUACGAUUUUUGAAACUUUUUACGGUUCGAGAUUUUUUAAAAUUUUUUUACAAAGACUUUUGUCCCCAAAUUUGGUAAGGUGAUCCUUGUAUUUUUGGUGGCAUGCACAAAAAAAUUCAGCAAAAAACUCGAAAUGGAGAAGAUUUUGUGACCGUUUUACAAAAGUGUACCAAUUUCAGACACUUUAAUGGCUACUGGCAGCAAACCUAUAAAAUCUCAAAUGCUCUUUAAGGGGGUGUGAGUUCUUGAGGUUUGAUGAGGGAUAGGGGGCCAAUAUAAGGGCCAAGUACCAGCACCCAUCGCACAUCAUGUGCACACACCCCCCGGCCCCCCCAAUCGCCGGAACCCCCAAUGUCGUCGGUUAGGCUCUUCGACGAUGCUCCAACGAUGCUCUGGCGAUGGUGCCCCGGGCGAAAAAAAUGUGGCACCAGCACAUGCUCAAGCCCAGCAUGUGCACCGUGGCUCAAACUCUUAGACUGGGAAUGAACUUCGUAUGCUUAGACAUGGAAUGAACUCCGUAUACCUAAGCCAACACACGAAAUGAAUGUGCGAACGCUCAGCCGGUCAGAGAGGCAGAAUGCAUAAGUCAAGGAUUAGCCCGAUCCCCCUUUAUGUGCUACCGAUCCCGCUGCCAUAUCCCUCGGUCUGACUGGGGCUUAGACAUGGAAUGAACUCACUAUGCCUAAGCCAACCCACGAAACGGGCAAGCGGGCGCUCAGCCGACCAGAGAGGCAGAAUGAGCAAGCCAAGGAUCGGCCCGGUCCCCCCUGCGUGCUGCCAAUCCUACUGCCACAACCCUCGAUCUGGUUCGAUCUUAGACUGGGAAUGAACUCCGUAUGCUUAGACUAGGGAUGAACUCCGUAUGCCUAAGCCAACCCUCGAAAUGAGCGUGCGGGCGCUCAGCCGAUCAGAGAGGCAGAAUGCGCGAGCUAGCGAUCGCCUGGUCCCCCCCUGCGUGCUGUCGAUCCUGCUGCUAGUCCUACUACCGUAAUCCUCGGUUACGCUUAGACAUGGAAUGAACUCCUUAUGCCUAAGCCAACCCACGAAACGAGCAUGCGGGCGUUCAGUCGGUCGAAGAGGCAGAAUACGCAAGCCGGGGACCGACCCGCUCCCCUCCUACGUGCUGUAGAUCCUGCUACCGUAACCCUUAAUCCAGUCUGAUCUUAGACUGGAAAUGAACUCCGUAUGCCUAAGUCAACCCACGAAAUGAGCGUGCGGGCACUGAGCCGAUCGGAGAGGCAUAAUGCACAGGUCGAGGAUCGGCCCGAUCCCCCUCUGCAUGCUACCGGGCCUACUACCACAACCCUAAGUUCGGCUGGGCCUUAGAAAUGGAAUGAACUCUCUACGCCAAAGCCAACCCAUGAAACGGGCGUGCGGGCGCUCAAACGGCCAAAGAGGCAGAAUGCGCAAGUCGAGGAUCGGCCCGGUCCCCCCUGCGUGCUGUCGCAACCCUUCGUCCGGUCCAAUCUUAGACUGCGAAUGAACUCCGUAUGCUUAGACUGAGGAUAAACUCCGUAUGCCUAAGUCAACAUACGAAAUGAGCAUGCGGACGCUUAGCCAACUAGAGAGGCAGGAUGCGUAAGCCAGAGAUCAAAUGGGUGGUAAGUGGGUUCAAGUACAUCUUCAUAUUUCUACCAUGGCAAUGCCAUUUUUAUGGCUUGUAAAUUCAUACAAUGGUCCCCUAAGCCUUCAUGUGAAGUUUUGUGGCAAGACGACCCGUUUUCUAUUUUUCACAAUUUUUAAAACUUUUUACGGUUUGGGAUUUUUUAAAAUUUUUUUAAAAAGAAUUUUAUCUCCAAAUUUGGUAGAGGAGAUCCUUGUAUUUUUGUUGGCAUGCACAAAAAAAUUUAGCUAAAAACUCGAAGUGGAGAAGAUUUUGUGAUCAUUUGAAAAAAGUGUCCCCAUUUUAGACACUUUAAUGGCUACUGGCAGCAAAGCUAUAAAAUCUCAAAUACUCUUUAAUAGGGUGUGAGUUCUCAAGGUUUGAUGAGGGAUAGGGGGCCAAUAUAACGGCCAAGUACCAGCACCCAUCACACAUCAUGUGCGCACACCCCCCGGCCCCCCAAAUCGUCGGAACCCUCAAUGCCGCCGGUUAGGCUCUCCGGUGAUUCUCUAGCGAUGGUGCCCCAGGCGAAAAAAAUGCGGCACCAGCACAUGCUCGAGCCCAGCGUGUGCACUAUGGCUCAAACUCUUAGACUGGGAAUGAACUCCGUAUGCUUAGACAUGGAAUGAACUCUGUAUGCCUAAGCCAACCCACGAAACGAGCGUACGGGCGCUCAGCCGACCGGAGAGGCAGAAUGCGCAAGCCGAGGAUCGGCUCGAUCCCCCUCUGUGUGCUGUCAGUCCCGUUGCCACAACCCUCAGUCCGGUUGGUGCUUAGACAUGGAAUGAACUCCCUAUGCCUAAGCCAACCCACGAAACGGGCGUGGGGGCGCUCAGUCGGUCAGAGAGACAGAAUGCGUAAGCCGGGGAUCGCCCUGAUCCCCCAUGCGUGCUGUCGAUCCUACUGCCGUAACCCUCGGUCUGGUCUGAUCUUAGACUGGGAAUGAACUCCGUAUGCUUAGACUGGAGAUGAACUCUGUAUGCCUAGGCCAACCCACGAAAUGAACGUGCGGGCGCUCAUCCGAUCGGAGAGGCAGAAUGCGCAAGCCGGGGAUCGGCCCGACCCCCCUGCGUGCUGUCGAUCUUGCUGCUGGUCCUGCUAUCGUAACCCUCGGUCUGGUCCAAUCUUAGACUAGGAAUGAACUCCGUAUGCUUAGAUAUGGAAUGAACUCCUUAUGGCUAAGCCAACCCAUGAAACGAGCGUGCGGGCAUUCAGCCGGCCGGAGAGGUAGAAUGCGCAAGCUGGGGACCGACUUGCUCCCCCCUACGUGUUAUCGAUCCUGCUACCGCAACCCUUGAUCCGAUCCGAUCUUAGACUGGGAAUGAACUUGGUAUGCCUAAGUCAACCCACGAAACGAGCGUGCGGGCACUGAGCCGGUCGGAGAGGCAUAAUGCGUAAGUCGGGGAUCGACCCGAUCCCCUUCUGCAUGUUAUCAGGCCCGCUGCCACAACCCUCGGUCUGGCUGGGGCUUAGACAUGCAGUGAACUCCCUAUGCCAAAGCCAACCCACAAAACGGACGUGCGGGCGUUCAGCCAGCCGGAGAGGUAGAAUGCGCAAGUCGGGGAUCGGCCUGGUCCCCCAUGUGUGCUACCGAUCUUACUGCUGUAACCCUCGGUCUGGUCCAAUCUUAGACUGGGAAUGAACUUCGUAUGCUUAGACUGGGGAUAAACUUCCUAUGCCUAAGUCAACCUACGAAAUGAGCAUGCAGACGCUCAGCCGAUGAGAGAGGCAGGAUGCAUAAGCCGGGGAUCGAACGGGUGGUAGGUGGGUUCAAGCACAUCUUCAUAUUUUUGCCAUGCCAAUGCCAUUUUUAUGGCUUGUAAAUUCAUACAAUGGUCCCCUAAGCCUUCAUGUGAAGUUUCGUGGCAAGACGACCCGUUUUCUAUUUUUCAAGAUUUUUGAAACUUUUUACGUUUCGGGAUUUUUUAAAAUUUUUUUUAGAAAGACUUGUGUCCCCAAAUUUGGUAGAGGUGAUCCUUCUAUUUUUGUUGGCAUGCACAAAAAAAGUCAGCUAAAAACUCUAAGUGGCGAAGAUUUUGUGACCGUUUGAAAAAAGUGUCCCUAUUUUAGACACUUUAAUAGCUACUGGCAGCAAACCUAUAAAAUGUCAAAUGCUCUUUAAGGGGGUGUGAGUUCUCGAGGUUUGAUGAGGGAUAGGGGACCAAUAUAAGGGCCAAGUACUAGCACCCAUCCCACAUCAUGUGUGCACACCCUUUCGGCCCCCCCAAUCGUCGGAACCCCCAAUGCCGCCAGUUAGGCUCUCCGGCGAUGCUCCGGUGAUGGUGCCCCGGGCGAAAAAAAUGCGGCACCAGCACAUGCCCAACCCAACAUGGGCAUCUUGGCUCAAACUCUUAGACUAGAAAUGAACUUCAUAUGCUUAGACAUGGAAUGAACUCCGUAUGCUUAAGCUAACCCAUAAAACGAGCGUGCGAGCGUUCAGUCGGCCGGAGAGGCAGACUGCGCAAGCCAGGGAUCAGCUCGGUCCCCCUCUGCAUGCUGUCGGUCCCAUUGCCAUAACCCUCGAUGUAGCUGGGGCUUAGACAUGGAAUGAACUCCCUAUGCCUAAGCCAACCCAUGAAACGGGCGUGCGGGCGCUCAGCCGACCGGAGAGACAGAAUGCGUAAGCUGGGGAUCAGCCCGGUCCCCCCUGCGUGCUAUCGAUCCUAUUGCCACAACCCUCUGUCUGGUCUAAUUUUAGACUGGGAUGAACUCCGUAUGCCUAAGUCAACCCAUUAAACGAGUGUGCGGGCGCUGAGCCAGCCGAAGAAGCAUAAUGCACAAGUCGAGGAUCGGCCCGGUCCCCCUCUGCGUGCUAUCGGUCCCCCUCUACGUGCUACUGGUCCCCCUCUACGUGCUACCGGUCUCGCUGCCAUAACCCUCGGUCUGACUGGGGCUCAGACAUGGAAUGAACUCCCUAUGCCUAAGCCAACCCACGAAACGGGCGUCUGGGGCUCAACCGAUCGGAGAGGCAGAAUGCACAAGCCAAGGAUCGACCUGGUCCCCCCUGCAUGCUACCGAUCCUGUUGUCACAACCUUCGGUCCGGUCUGAUCUUAGACUGGGAAUAAACUCCGUAUGCCUAAGUCAACCCAUGAAACGAGCAUGCAGGUACUGAGCCGGCCGAAGAGGAUAAUGCGCAAGCCGAGGAUCGACCUGGUCCCCCUCUGCGUGCUGCCGGUCUCGCUGCCACAACCCUCGAUUCGACUGGGGCUUAGACAUGGAAUGAACUCCCUAUGCCUAAGCCAACCCACGGAACGGGCGUGCGGGCGCUCAGCUGGCCGAAGAGGCAGAAUGCGCAAGUCGGGGAUCGACUCGGUCCCCCCUGCGUGCUACCAAUCCUGCUGUCGCAACCCUCGAUCCGAUCCGAUCUUCGAUUGGGAAUGAACUCUAUAUGCUUAGACUGGGGAUAAAUCCCGUAUGCCAAAGUCAACCCACGAAACGAGCGUGCGGGUGCUUAACCGGCCGGAAAGGUCGACCAGAGAGAUGAAUGUGCAAACUAGGGAUUGACCCAGUCCCUCUUGCGUGCUGCCGAUCCUACUGCUGUCCUGCUACUGCAACCUUCGAUCCGAUCUGAUCUUAGACUGAUAAUGAAGUCCGUAUGUUUAGACAUGGAAUGAACUCCGUAUGGCUAAGCCAACCCACGAAAUGAACGUGCGGGCACUCCACCGAUCGAAGAGGUAGAAUGCGAAAGUCGAGGAUUGGCCCGGUCCCCCCUGUGUGCUAUCGAUCCUACUAUCGCAACCCUCGAUCCGAUCCGAUCUUAGAUUGGGAAUAAACUCCGUAUGCCUAAGUCAACCUACGGAAUGAGCGUUCAGGCACUGAGUCAGUUGGAGAGGCAUAAUGCGUAAGUCAGGGAUCAGCCCGGUCCCCCUCUGUGUUCUAUCGAUCCCACUACCACAACCCUCGAUCUGGCUGGGGCUUAGACAUGGAAUGAACUACCUAUGCCUAAGCCAACCCAUGAAACGGGCGUGCGGACGCUCAGUCGACUGGAGAGGCAGGAUGCACAAGCUGAAGAUCGACCCAAUCCCCCUCCGUGCUAUCGAUCCUGCUGUCCCAACUCUCGGUCGGAUCUGAUCUUAGACUGGGAAUGAACUCCGUAUGCUUAGACUGGGGAUGAACUCUGUAUGCCUAAGUCAACCUACGAAAUAAGCGUGCGGGCGCUCAGCCGACUGGAGAGGCCGGCCGGAGAGGCAUAAUGCGCAAGCUGAGGAUCAGCUCGAUCCCCCUCUGCGUGCUGUCGAUCCCGUUACCGGUCCUGUCGCCACAACCUCGGUCCGGCUGGGGCUUAGACAUGGAAUGAAUUCCAUAUGCCUAAGCCAACCCACGAAAUGAGCGUCCGAGCUCUCAGUCAAUCGGAGAGGCAGAAUGUGCAUGCCAGGGAUCAGCCCGAUCCACCCUGCAUGCUGUCGAUCCUGCUGCUGGUCCUGCUAUCGUAACCCUCAGUCCGGUCCGAUCUUAGACUGGGAAUGAACUCUGUAUGCUUAGACAUGGAAUGAACUCUGUAUGCCUAAGCCAACCCAUGAAACGAGCGUGCGGGCACUCAGCCGAUCGGAAAGGUAGAAUGCGCAAGCUGGGAACUGACCCGAGGCCUCCCUGCGUGCUGUUGAUCCUGCUGCCGCAACCUUCGGUCUGGUUUGAUUUUAGACUGGGAAUGAACUCCGUAUGCCUAAGUCAACCCAUGAAACGAACGUUGAGCCGAUCGGAGAGGCAUAAUGCGCAAACCAGGAAUUGACUUGAUCCCAUCUGCGUGCUACCAGUCCCGCUACCACAACCCUUGGUCCGACUGGGGCUUAGACAUGGAAUGAGCUCCCUAUGCCUAAGCCAACCCACAAAACGGGCGUGCGAGCGCUCGACCGGCUGGAAAGGCAGAAUGUGCAAGCCGGGGAUCGAUCCAGUCCCCCUUGCGUGCUGUCGAUCCUGCUGCCGUAACCUUCUGUUCGGUCUGAUCUUAGACUAGGAAUGUACUCUGUAUGCUUAGACUGGGGAUGAACUCCGUAUGCCUAAGUCAACCCACGAAACGAGCGUGCGGAUUUUUGGCAGACCAGAGAGGCAGGAUGCGUAAGUCGGAGAACGAACUGAUGGUAGGUGGGUUCAAGUACAUCUUCAUAUUUCUACCGUGCCAAUGCCAUUUUUAUGGCUUGUAAAUUCAUACAAUGGUCCCCUAAGCCUUCAUGUGAAGUUUCGUGGCAAGACGACCCGUUUUCUAUUUUUCACGAUUUUUAAACUUUUUACAGUUCGAUAUUUUUUAAAAUUUUUUUAGAAAGAGUUUUGUCCCUCGGUCUGGUUCGAUCUUAGACUGGGAAUGAACUCCGUUUGCUUGGACUGGGGAUGAACUCCAUAUGCCUAAGUCAACCCACAAAAUGAGCGUGCGAGUGCUCAAUCGAUCAGAGAAGCAGAAUGUGCUAGCUGGGGAUCGACCUGGUCCCCCUCUACGUGUUAUCGGUCCCGCUACCACAACCCUCAAUCCAGCUGGGGCUUAGACAUGGAAUGAACUCACUAUGCCUAAGCCAACCCAUGAAACGGGCAUACGGGCGCUCAGCUGGCUGGAGAGGCAGAAUCCGCAAGCCAGGGAUCGGUUCGGUCCCCCUUGCGUGCCGUCGAUCCUACGUCGUAACCCUCAGUCCGAUCCGAUCUUAGACUGGGAAUGAACUUCGUAUGCUUAGACUACAGAUGAACUCCGUAUCCCUAAGUUAACUCAUGAAACGAGCGUACGGGGGCACAGCCAGUCGAAGGGGUCGGUCAGAGAGGCAUAAUGCGCAAGUCAGGGAUUAGCCUAGCCCUUUCUACGUGCUGCCGAUCCCGCUGCUGGUCUUGCUACCACAACCCUCGGUCUGGCUGGGGCUUAGACAUGGAAUGAACUCUGUAUGCUUAAGCCAACCCACGAAACGAGCGUGCGGGUGCUCAGCCGACCGAAAAGGCAGAAUGCGCAAGCCUGGGAUCAGUCCGGUCCCCCCUUCGUGUUGUCGAUCCUGUUGCUGGUCCUGCUAUCGCAACCCUCGAUCCGGUCUGAUCUUAGACUAGGAAUGAACUCCGUUUGCUUAGACUUGGAAUGAACUCUGUAUGCGUAAAACAACCCACGAAACGAGCGUGCGGGCGCUUAGCCGGUCGGAGAGGCAGAAUACGCAAGCUGGGGACCAGCCCAGUCCCCCCUGUGUGCUGUCGAUCUUGCUGUCGUAACCCUCGAUCCGGUCUUAUCUUAGACUGGGAAUGAACUCCGUAUGCCUAAGUCAACCUACAAAAUGAGAGUUUGAAAAAACUCAUAUGCCUAAGUCAUCUAAAAACUCAAAGUGGAGAAGAUUUUGUGACCAUUUGAAAAAAGUGUCCCCAUUUCAGACACUUUAAUGGCUACUGGCAGCAAACCUAUAAAAUCUCAAAUGCUCUUUAAGGGGGUGUGAGUUCUCAAGGUUUGAUGAGGGAUAGAGGGCCAAUAUAAGGGCCAAGUACCAGUAUCCAUUGCACAUCAUGUGUGCACACCCCCCUCCCGGCCCCCCAAUCGUCGGAACUACAAAACCGUCGAUUAGGCUCUCCGAUGAUGCUCCGACGAUGCUUCAACGAUUGUGCCCCGAGCAAGAAAAAUACGGUACCAGCCUAUGCCCGAGCCCAGCAUGUGCACCAUGGCUCAAAAUCUUAGACUGGGAAUGAACUCUGUAUGCUUAGACAUGGAAUGAACUCCGUAUGCCUAAACCAACCCACGAAACGAGCGUGCGGCCGCUCAGCCGGUCGGAGAGGCAGAAUGCACAAGUCGGGGAUCAACCCGAUCCCCCCUGCAUGCUGUCGAUCCUGCUGCCACAACCCUCGGUCCGGUCCGAUCUUAGACUGGGAAUGAACUUCGUAUGCAUAAGUCAACCGACGAAACGAGCGUGCGGGCGCUGAGCCAGCCGAAGAAGCAUAAUGCGCCAGUCGAGGAUUGGCUUGGUCCCCCUCUGCGUGCUACCGGGUCCCCCUCUACGUGCUAUCGAUCCCGCUGCCAUAACCCUCGGUCCGACUGGGGCUUAGACAUGGAAUGAACUCCCUAUGCUUAAGCCAACCCACGAACCGGACGUGGGGGCGCUCAGCCGAUUGGGGAGGCUGAAUGCGCAAGCCAGGAUCGACCUGGUCCCCCCUGCAUGCUGCUGAUCCUGCUGUCGCAACCCUCGGUCUGGUCUGAUCUUGGACUGGGAAUGAACUUCGUAUGCUUAGACUGGGGAUGAACUCCGUAUGCCUAAGUCAACCCAUGAAACGAGCGUACGGGUGCUCAGUCGGUCAGAGAGGCCGGUCGAAAAGGCAUAAUGCGCAAGCCAGGGAUCAACCCGGUCCUCCUCUGUGUGCUAAUGAUCCCACAAAAUGGGUGUACGACCGCUCAGUCAGCUAGAGAGGUAGAAUGUACAAGCCGAGGAUUGGCCUGAUCCCCCCUACGUGCUGUCGAUCCUGCUACCGUAACCCUCGGUCCGGUCUGAUCUUACAGAUGAACUCCAUAUGCUUUAGACAUGAAUGAACUCCCAUAUGCCUAAAAGUCAACGCCACCAUACGAAACGAGGUGUGGUUGCUUCAGCUGGCUGGAGAGUAGAAUGCGUAAGCCGGGGAUCGGCCCGCUCUCCCUCUACGUACUGCGGUCUCGCUGCCACAACCUUCGUUCAGCGGCUUAGACUGAAUGAACUCCCUAUGCUAAUCCCAACCACGAACGGUGUGCGGGCGCUCAGCGACCGAGAGCCAGAAUGCGGCAAGCUGGGGAUCAGCCCUCGGUCCCCCUGCGUGCUGUCGCAAACCCUCGUUGCUAGUUCGAUUCUUAGACUGGGAAUGAACUUCCAAAUGCUUAGACUAGAGAUGAACUCCACUAUGCCUAAGUCAACCCACGAACGAACGUGCCGUGCGCCAGUGACCAAGAGGUAGGAUGCGCAGCCGGGGAAUCGGAACAGUGGUAGGUGGGUUCAAGCACAUCUUCAUAUUUCUACCAUACCAAUGCCAUUUUUAUGGCUUGUAAAUUCAUACAAUGGUCCCCUAAGCCUUCAUGUGAAGUUUCAUGGCAAGACGACCCGUUUUCUAUUUUUCACAAUUUUCAAAACUUUUUACGGUUUGAGAUUUUUUAAAAUUUUUUUAGAAAGAUUUUUGUCCCCAAAUUUGGUAGAGGUGAUCCUUGUAUUUUUGUUGGCAUGCACAAAAAAAUUCAGAUAAAAACUCGAAGGGGAGAAGAUUUUGUGACCGUUUGAAAAAAGUGUCCCCAUUUCAAACACUUUAAUGGCUACUGGUGGUAAACCUAUGAAACGAGCGUACGGGGGCACAGCCAGCCGGAGGGGUUGGCCAGAGAGGCAUAAUGUGCAAGUCGAGGAUUAGCCUGGCCCUCUCUGCGUGUUGCCGAUCCCGCUGUCGGUCUUGCUACCACAACCCUCGGUCUGGCUGGGGCUUAGACAUGGAAUGAACUCUGUAUGCCUAAGCCAACCCACGAAACGAGCAUGCAGGCUCUCAGCCGAUCGGAGAGGCAGAAUGCGCAAGCUGGGGAUCAGUCUGGUCCCCCCCUCGUGUUAUCGAUCCUGCUGCUGGUCCUGCUAUCGCAACCCUUGGUCCGGUCCGAUCUUAGACUGGAAAUGAACUCCGUUUGCUUAGACUUGGAAUGAACUCUGUAUCCGUAAAACAACCCACGAAACGAGCGUACGGGUGCUUAGCCGGUCGGAGAGGCAGAAUGCACAAGCUGGGGAGCAGCCCAGUCCCCCCCUAUGUGCUGUCGAUCCUGCUACCAUAACUCUCGAUCCGAUCUUAUCUUAGACUGGGAAUGAACUCCGUAUGCCUAAGUCAACCUACGAAACGAGCGUUUGAAAAACUCAUAUGCCUAAGUCAUCUAAAAACUCAAAGUGGAGAAGAUUUUGUGACCAUUUGAAAAAAGUGUCCCCAUUUCAGACACUUUAAUGGCUACUGGCAGCAAACCUAUAAAAUCUCAAAUGCUCUUUAAGGGGGUGUGAGUUCUCGAGGUUUGAAGAAGGAUAGAGGGCCAAUGUAAGGGCCAAGUACCAGCACGCAUUGCACAUCAUGUGCGCACACCCCCCGGCCCUCCAAUCGUCGUAACCCCUAAUAUCGCCUGUUAGGCUCUCUGGCGAUGCUCCGACGAUAGUGCCCCGAGCGAAAAAAAUGUGGUACCAGCACAUGCCCGAGCCCAGCAUGUGCACCAUGGCCCAAAAUCUUAGACGGGGAAUGAACUCCGUAUGCUUAGACAUGGAAUGAACUCCGUAUGCCUAAGCCAACCCACAGAAUGAGCGUGCGGGCGCUCAGUCAGUCGAAGGGGCAGAAUGCGCAAGCCGGGGAUCGACCCAGUCCCCCCCUGCGUGCUGUCAAUCCUGCUAUCGUAACCCUCGGUUCGGUCCGAUCUUAGACUGCUAAUGAACUUCGUAUGCAUAAGUCAACCCAUGAAACAAGUGUGCGAGCGCUAAGCCGAUCGAAGAGGCAUAAUGCACAAGCCAAGGAUCGGUCGAUCCCCCUCUGCGUGCUGCCGGUCCCACCGCCAUAGCCUUCGGUCUGGCUGGGGUCAGACAUGGAAUGAACUCCCUAUGGCUAAGCCAACCCACGAAACGGGUGUGCGGGUGCUCAACUGGUCGGAAAGGCAGAAUGCGUAAGCCUGGGAUCGACCCGAUCCCCCCUGCGUGCUGUCGAUCCUACUGCCGCAACCCUCGAUCCGAUCCAAUCUUAGACUGGGAAUGAACUUCGUAUGCUUAGAUUGGGGAUGAACUCCGUAUGCCUAAGUCAACCCAUGAAACGAGCGUGCGGGCACUCAACCUGUCGGAGAGGCAUAAUGCACAAGCAGGGAUCAGCUCGGUCCCCCUCUGCGCGCUGUCGAUCCCGCUGUUGGUCCUACUACCACAACCCCCAGUCUGACUGUGGCUUAGACAUGGAAUGAACUCCGUAUGCCUAAGCCAACCCACGAAACAAGCGUGUGGGCACUCAACCAGUCGGAGAGGCAAAAUGCACAUGCCAGGGAUCGGCUCGAUCCCCCGCUACGUGCUGCAGAUCCUGCUGCUGGUCCUGCUACCGUAAACCUCAGUCCAGUCUGAUCUUAGACUGGGAAUGAACUCAGUAUGCUUAGACAUGGAAUAAACUCCGUAUGCCUAAGCCAACCCAUGAAAUGAGCGUGCGGGUGCCCAGUCAGCCAGAGAGGUAGAAUGCGCAAGCCAGGGAUCGACCCGGCCCCCCAUGUGUGCUGUCGAUCCUGCUACCGCAACCCGUGAUCCGAUCCGAUCUUAGACUGGGAAUGAACUCUGUAUGCCUAAGUCAUUCCAUGAAACGAGUGUGCGAGCGCUAAGCCGACCGGAGAGGCGUAAUGCGCAAGCCGAGGAUCGGCCCAGUCCCCUUCUGUGAGCUGUCAGUCCCGCUGCCACAACCCUCGGUCCGGCUGGGGCUUAGACAUGGAAUGAACUCCCUAUGCCUAAGCCAACCCACAAAAUGGGCGUGCGGGCACUCCGCUGGCCGAAGAGGCAGAAUGCGUAAGUCGGGGAUCGACCUGGUCCCCCCUGCAUGCUGCCAAUCCUGCUACCGCAACCCUCGUUCCGAUUCGAUCUUAGACUGGAAAUGAACUCCGUAUGCUUAGACUGGGGAUGAACUCUGUAUGCCUAAGUCAACCCAUAAAAUGAGCAUGCAGGUGCUCAGUCGGUCGGAGAGGUCGACCAAAGAUGCACAAUGCGUAAGUCGAGGAUCAGCCCGAUCCCCCUCUGCGUGCUGUCAAUGCUGUUGCCGGUCCUGCUGCCACAACCCUAGAUCCGGCUAGGGCUUAGACAUGGAAUGAACUCCGUAUGCCUAAGGCAACCUACAAAACGAGCGUGCAGACGCUCAGUCGACCGAAGAGCCAGAAUGCGUAAGUCAAGGAUCAGCUCGGUCCCCCCUUGUGCUACCGAUCCUACUGCUGGUCCUACUGUCGUAACCCUCGGUCCGGUCCGAUCUUAGACUAGGAAUGAACUCCAUAUGCUUAGACAUGGAAUUAACUCCGUAUGCCCAAGCCAACCCAUGAAACGAGCGUACGAGCGCUCAGCCGAUCGGAGAGGCAGAAUAAGUAAGUCGGGGACCGACUCGGUCCCUCCUGCGUGCUAUUGAUCCUGCUGCCACAACCCUCGGUCCGGUCCAAUCCUAGACUUGGGAAUGAACUCCGUAUGCCUAAGUCAACCCACAAAAUGAGUGUGCGGGCACUGAGCCGAUCGGAGAGGCAUAAUGCACAAGCCGGGGAUCGACCCGAUCCCCCUCUGCAUGCUGCCGAUCCCCCGACCACAGCCUUCAGUCCGGCUAGGGCUUAGACAUGGAAUGAACUCCCUAUACCUAAGCCAACCCACGAAACGGGCGUGCGGGCACUCAGCUGGCCAGAGAGGAAGAAUGUGCAAGUCGAAGAUCGGCUCGAUUCCCCCUACGUACUAUCGAUCCUGCUACUGCAACCCUCGAUUCGGUCUGAUCUUAGAUGGGGAAUGAACUCCGUAUGCUUAGACUGGGGAUGAACUCUGUAUGCCUAAGUCAACCCAUGAAACGAGCGUGCGGGCGCUCAAUCGAACAGAGAGGCAGGAUGCGCAAGCCGGGGAUCGAACGGGUGGUAGGUGGGUUCAAGCACAUCUUCAUAUUUUUGUCAUGCCAAUGGCAUUUUUAUGGCUUGUAAAUUCAUACAAUGGUCUCCUAAGCCUUCAUGUGAAGUUUCGUGGCAAGACGACCCGUUUUCUAUUUUUCAUGAUUUUAAAAACUUUUUGCUGUUUGAGAUUUUUUAAAUUUUUUUUAGAAAGAGUUUUGUCCCCAAAUUUUUGUAGAGGUGAUCCCUGUAUUUUUGUUGGCAUGCAUAAAAAAAUUCAGCUAAAAACUCGAAGUGGAGAAGAUUUUGUGACCGUUUGAGAAAAGUGUCCCCAUUUCAGACACUUUAAUGGCUACUGACAGCAAAGCUAUAAAAUCUCAAAUGCUCUUUAAGGGGGUGUGAGUUCUCGAGGUUUGAAGAGGGAUAGGGGGCCAAUAUAAGGGCCAAGUACCAGUACCCAUUGCACAUCAUGUGUGCACACCCCCUGGCCCCCCCCAAUCGUCAGAACCCCUAAUGUCGCCAGUUAGGCUCUCCGACGAUGCUCCGAUGAUGCUUCGACGAUGGUGCCCCAGGUAAAAAAAAAGCGGCACCAGCACAUGCUCGAGCCCAGCAUGUGCACCAUGGCACAAAAUCUUAGACUGGGAAUGAACUCCAUAUGCUUAGACAUGGAAUGAACUCCGUAUACCUAAGCCAACCCACAAAACGAGCGUGAGGGUGCUCAACCGGUCGGAGAGGCAGAAUGCGCAAGCUGGGGAUCGACUCGGUCCCUCCCUGCGUGCUGUCAAUCCUAAUGCUGCAACCCUCGGUUCGAUCCAAUGUUAGACUGGGAAUGAACUCCGUAUGGAUAAGUCAACCCACGAAACAAGGGUACGAGCGCUGAGCCGACUGAAGAGGCAUAAUGCGCAAGUCGAGGAUCAGCUCGAUCCCCCUCUGUGUGCUGUCGGUCCCGCUGCCACAACCCUCGGUCCGACUGGGGCUUAGACAUGGAAUGAACUCCCUAUGCCUAAGCCAACCCAUAAAACGGGCGUACGGGUGCUCAGUCAGUCGGAAAGGCAGAAUGCGCAAUCCGGGGAUCGACUCGAUCCCCCCUCCAUGCUAUCGAUCCUACUGUUGGUCCUAUUACCAUAACCCUCGGUCUGAUCCGAUCUUAGACUGGGGAUGAACUCUGUAUGUUAGGCAUGGAAUGAACUCCAUAUGCCUAAGCCAACCCACAUAACGAGCGUGUGGGCACUCAACCGGCCGAAGAGGCAGAAUGCACAAACAUGGGAUCGGUCCGGUCCCUCCCUGCGUGUUGUCGAUCUUGCUACCGUAACCCUUGGUCUGAUGUGAUCUUAGAUUGGUAAUGAACUCCGUAUACCUAAGUCAACCCCCAAAAUGAGCGUGCAAGUGCUGAGCCGGCAGGAGAGGCAUAAUGCGUAAGUCGGGGAUCGACCCGAUCCCCCUCUACGUGCUGCCGGUCCCAUUGCCACAACCCUCAGUCUGGCUGGGGCUUAGACAUGGAAUGAACUCCCUAUGCCUAAGCCAACCCAUGAAACUGGCGUGCGGGUGCUCAGCCGACCGGAGAGGCAGAAGGGGCAAGUCGGGGAUCGACCUGGUCCCCCUACGUGUUGUCGAUCCUGUUGCUGUAACCCUCGGUCCGGUCCAAUCUUAGACUGGGAAUGAACUUCGUAUGCUUAGGCUAGAGAUGAACUCUGUAUGCCUAAGUCAACCCACAAAACGAGCAUGCAAACGCUCAGCCAACCAGAGAGGCAGGAUGCGCAAGUCGGGGAUCGAACGGGUGGUAGGUGGGUUCAAGCACAUCUUCAUAUUUCUGCCAUGCCAAUGCCAUUUUUAUGGCUUGUAAAUUCAUACAAUGGUCCCCUACGCCUUCAUGUGAAGUUUCGUGGCAAGACGACCCGUUUUCUAUUUUUCAUGAUUUUUGAAACUUUUUACGGUUCGGGAUUUUUUAAAAUUUUUUUAGAAAGACUUUUGUUCCCAAAUUUGCUAGAGAUGAUCCUUGUAUUUUUUUUGUCAUGCACAAAAAUAUUAAGCUAAAAACUCGAAGUGGAGAAGACUUUUUGACCGUUUGAAAAAAGUGUCUCCAUUUCAGACACUUUAAUGGCUACUGGCAGCAAACCUAUAAAAUCUCAAAUGCUCCUUAAGGGGGUUUGAGUUCUCAAGGUUUGAUGAGGGAUAGGGGGCCAAUAUAAGGGCCAAGUACCAGCACCCAUCACACAUCGUGUGCGCACACCCCCCGGCCCCACCAAUCGUCGGAACCUCUAAUACCGCCGGUUAGGCUCUCCGGCAAUGCUCUGACGAUGGUGCCUCGGGUGAAAAAAUGCGGCACCAGCACAUGCCCGAGCCCAGUAUGUGCACUGUGGCUCAAAUUCUUAGACUGGGAAUGAACUCCGUACGCUUAGACAUGAAAUGAACUCCGUAAGCCUAAGUCAACCCACGAAACGAGCGUGCAGGCGCUCAACCGGUCGGAGAGGCAGAAUGCGUAAGCCGAGGAUCAACCCAACCCCCCUUUGCGUGCUGUCGGUCCCGUUACCACAACCCUUGAUCCGGCUGGGGCUUAGGCAUGGAAUGAACUCCCUAUGCCUAAGCCAACCCACGAAACGGGCGUGCGGGCACUCAGCCGGUCGGAGAUGCAGAAUGCUCAACCGGGGAUCAGCCUGGUCCCCCCUGCCUGCUACUGAUCCUGCUACCGCAACCCUCGGCCCAGUUUGAUCGUAGACUGGAAAUGAACUCCAUAUGCUUAGACUGGAGAUGAACUCCGAAUGCCUAAGUCAACCCAUGAAAUGAGCGUGCAGGCGCUCAGCCGAUGGGAGAGGCAAAAUGUGCAAGCCGGGGAUCGACGCGGUCCCCCCUGCGUGCUGUCGAUCCUGUUCCUAGUCCUAUUGUCGUAACCCUCGGUCCGAUCUAAUCUUAGACUGAGAAUGAACUCCGUAUGCUUAGACAUGGAAUGAACUCCGUAUGCCUAAGCCAACCCACGAAACGAGCGUGCGGGCGCUCAGCCGGUCGAAGAAGCAGAAUGCACAAAUCGGGGACCGGUCUGGUCCUCGCCUACGUGCUGUCGAUCCUACUACUGCAACCCUCAGUCCGAUUCGAUCUUAAACUGGAAAUGAACUCCGUAUGCCUAAGUCAACCCAUGAAACGAGCGUUCGGGUGCUGAGCCGGUCGGAGAGGCAUAAUGCGCAAGUCGAGGUUCGAUCCAAUCCCCCUCUGAGUGCUACCGAUCCCGCUGCCACAACCCUCGGUCUGACUAAGGCUUCGACAUGGAAUGAACUCCCUAUGCCUAAGCCAACCCUUGAAACGGGCGUGCGGGCGCUCAGCCGGUCGGAGAGGCAGAAUUUGCAAGCUGGGGAUCGGCUUAGUCCCCCCUGCGUGCUGCUGAUCCUGCUGCCACAAACCUUGGUCCAAUUCGAUCUUAGACUGGAAAUGAACUCCAUAUGCUUAGACUGGGGAUAACUCUGUAUGCCUAAGCCAACCCACGAAAUGAGAGUGCGGGCACUCAACCGAUCGGAGAAGGCCGGCCAGAAAGGUAGAAUUUGCAAGCCGGAGAUCAGCCCGGUCCCCCAUGCGUGCUGUCGAUCCUGCUCUUGGUCCUGCUACCGCAACCCUCGGCCUGGUCCGAUCUUAGACUGGGAAUGCACUCCGUAUGCUUAGACAUGGGAUGAACUCCGUAUGCCUAAGCCAACCCAUGAAACGAGGGUACGGGUGCUCAAUCGACGGGAGAGGCAGAAUGCAUAAAACAGGGACCGACCCGAUCCCCCCUGCGUUCUGUCGAUCCUGCUAUCGUAACCCUUGGUCUGGUCUGAUCUUAGAUUGGGAAUGAACUUCGUAUGCCUAAGUCAACCCACAAAACGAGCGUACGGGCACUAAGCCAGUCGGAGAGGCAGAAUACGCAAGCCUGGGAUCAACCCGGUCCCCCUCUGCGUGUCGUUGGUCCCGUUGCCACAACCCUCGAUCCGACUGGGGCUUAGACAUGGAAUGCACUCCCUAUGUCUAAGCCAACCCAUGAAACGGGCAUUCGGGCGCUCAGCCGGCCGGAGAGGCAGAAUGCGUAAGCCGAGGAUCGACCCGGUCCCCCCUACGUGCUACCAAUUCGAUCUUAGACUGAGAAUGAACUCCGUAUGCUUAGAUUGGGGAUGAACUCCGUAUCCCUAAGUCAACCCAUGAAACGAGCGUGCGGGUGCUCAGUCGACCGAAGAGGCCGAUCGGAGAGGCAGAAUGUGCAAGCCGUGGAUCGACCCGAUCCCCCCUGCGUAUUAUCGAUCCUACUGCGUGCAACCCUCGAUCUGGUUCGAUCUUAGAUUGGGAAUGAACUCUGUAUGCUUAGACAUGGAAUGAACUCCGUAUGCCUAAGCCAACCCACGAAAUGACCAUACGGGUGCUCAGUCGGCUGGAGAGGCAGAAUGCGCAGGCCGGGGGUCGACCUGGUCCCCUCUGCGUGCUGCCGAUCUCGUUGACACAACCCUCAAUCCGGCUAGGGCUUAGACAUGGAAUGAACUCCCGAUGCCUAAGCCAACCCAUGAAAUGGGCGUGUGGGCGCUCAGCUGGUCGGAGAGGCAUAAUGUGCAAGUCGGGGAUCGAUCGAUCCCCCCUACGUGCUGCAGAUCCUGCUGUCGCAACCCGCGGUCUGAUCCGAUCUUAGAUUGAGAAUGAACUCCAUAUGCUUAGACUGGGGAUGAACUCUGUAUGCCUAAGUCAACCCACGAAACGUGCGAGCGGGCGCUCAGUCGGCCGAAGAGGCCGAUCGGAGAGGUAUAAUGCGCAGGCCAGAGAUUAGCCCGGUCCCCCUCUGUCUGCUGUCGAUCGCGCUGUCGGUCCUGCUGCCACAACCCUCAGUCCGACUGGGGCUUAGGCAUGGAAUGAACUCCGUAUGCCUAAGCCAACCCAUGAAACGAGCGUACGGGAGCUCAGCCAGUCGGAGAGGUAGAAUGCGUAAGUCGACGAUCGGCCCGGUCCCCCCUGCAUGCUGUCGAUCCUGCUACCCUAAACCUCAGUUCGGUCCGAUCUAAGAUUGGGAAUGAACUCCGUAUGCCUAAGUCAACCCACGAAACGAGCGUGCGGGUGCUGAGCCGACCGGAGUGGCAUAAUGCGCAAGGCGGUCCCCCUCUGUGUGCUGCCAGUCCCGCUACCACAACCCUCGGUCCGGCUGGGGCUUUGACAUGGAAUGAACUCCCUAUGCCUAAGCCAACCCACAAAACGGUCGUGCGCGCACUCAAUCGAUCGAAGAGGCAGAAUGCGCAAGCCGGGGAUGCACCGGCCCCCUUGUGUUCAGCCGAUCUUGCUACCGCAACCCUCGAUCCGGUUAGAUCUUAGACUGGGAAUGAACUCCGUAUGCUUAGAUUGGGGAUGAACUCCGUAUGCCUAAGUCAACACACGAAACGAGCGUACGGCCGUCAGCCGGCCGGAGAGGUAGAAUGCGCAAGCCGGGGAUCGGUCCGAUCCUUCCCUGUGUGCUGUCGAUCCUGCUACUGGUCCUGUUGUCGCAACGCUCGAUCUGGUCUGAUCUUAGACUGGGAAUGAACUCCGUCUGCUUAGACAUGGAAUGAACUCCGUAUGCCUAAGCCAACCCACGAAACGAGCGUGCGGGCGGUCAGUCGAUCGGAGAGGCAGAAUGUGCAAGCCGAGGACCAACCCGAUCCCCCCUACGUGCUGUCGAUCCUACAGCCACAACCCUCAGUCCAGUUCGAUUUUAGACUGGGAAUGAACUUUGCAUGCCUAAGUCAACCCACGAAACGAGCGUUCGACUGCUGAGCCGGUCGGAGAGGCAUAAUACGCAAGCCGAAGAUUGGCUCUAUCCCCCUCUACGUGCUGUCGGUCCCGCUGCCACAACCCUCAGUCCGGCUGGGGCUUAGACAUGGAAUGAACUCCCUAUGCAUAAGCCAACCCACGAAACGGGUGUGCGGGCGCUCAGCCAGUCGGAGAGGCAAAAUGCGCAAGUCGGGGAUCGACCCGGUCCACCCUGCGUGCUGUCGAUCCUACUGCCGCAACCCUCGAUCCGAUCCAAUGUUAGACUGGGAAUGAACUCUGUAUGCCUAAGCCAACCCACGAAACGAGCAUACGGGCACUCAGUCGAUCGGAGAGGCAGAAUGCGCAAGCUGAGGAUCGGCUCGGUCCCUCCUGUGUGCUGUCGAUCCUGCUGUCGCAACCCUCGGUCCGAUUCGAUCUUAGACUGGGAAUGAACUUCGUAUGCCUAAGUCAACCCACGAAACGAGCGUGCGGGCGCUAAGCCUGCCGGAGAGGCAUAAUACGCAAGCCAGGGAUCGGCCCGAUCCCCUUCUAUGCGCUACCGGUCCUACUGCCACAACCCUUGGUUCGGCUGGGGCUUAGACAUGGAAUGAACUCGCUAUGCCUAAGCCAACUCAUGAAACGGGCGUGCGGGCGCUCAGUCGGUCAGAGAGGUAGAAUGCGUAUGCCGAGGAUCGACCCGGUCCUCAUUGCCUGCUGUCGUAAACCUCGGUCCGGUCCGAUCUUAGAUUGGGAAUGAACUCCGUAUGCUUAGAUUGGGGAUGAACUCCGUAUGCCUAAGUCAACCCUCCCCACGAGCGUGCGGACAUUCAGCCAACCAGAGAGGCAGGAUGCGCAAGCCAGGGAUCGAACGGGUGGUUGGUGGGUUCAAGCACAUCUUCAUAUUUUUGCCAUGCCAAUGCCAUUUUUGUGGCUUGUAAAUUCAUACAAUGGUCCCCUACGCCUUCAUGUGAAGUUUCGUGGCAAGACGACCCAUUUUCUAUUUUUCAUGAUUUUCGAAACUUUUUGCGAUUCGAGAUUUUUUUAAAUUUUUUUAGAAAGAGUUUUGUCCCCCACGAAACGAGUGUGCGGGCACUAAGCCGGCCGGAGAGGCAUAAUGCACAAGCUAGGGAUCGAUUCGAUCCCUUUCUACGUACUGUCGGUCCUGCUGCCACAGCCCUCGGUCCCGCUGGGGCUUAGACAUGGAAUGAAAUCCCUACGCCUAAGCCAACUCAUGAAACGGGCAUGCAGGGGCUCAACCGACCGGAAAGGCGGAAUACGCAAGCCGAGGAUCGGCCCGAUCCUCCCUGCAUGUUACCGAUCUAGCUGCCGUAAACCUCGGUCCGAUCCGAUCUUAGAUUGGGAAUGAACUUCGUAUGCUCAGACUGGGGAUGAACUCCGUAUACCUAAGUCAAUCCACGAAACGAGCCUACGGACGCUCAGCCGACCAGAGAGGCAAGAUGCGUAAGCCGGGGAUCGAACGGGUGGUUGGUAGGUUCAAGCACAUCUUCAUAUUUCUGCCAUGCCAAUGCCAUUUUUAUGGCUUGUAAAUUCAUACAAUGGUCCCCUACACCUUCAUGUGAAGUUUCGUGGCAAGAGGACCCGUUUUCUAUUUUUCAUGAUUUUCAAAACUUUUUACGGUUCGGGAUUUUUCAAAAUUUUUUAAGAAUGCGUUUUGUCCCAAAAUUUGGUAGAGGUGAUCCUUUUAUUUUUUUUGGCAUGCACAAAAAAAUUCAGCUAAAAACUCGAAGUGGAGAAGAUUUUGUGACCGCUUGAAAAAAGUGGAGAAGAUUUUAGAUACUUUAAUGGCUACUGGCAGCAAACCUAUAAAAUCUCAAAUGCUCUUUAAGGGGGUGUGAGUUCUCGAGGUUUGAUGACGGAUAGGGGGCAAUAUAAGGGCCAAGUACCAGCACCCAUCGCACAUCAUGUGCGCACACCCCCCGACCCCCCAAUCGUCGAAACCCCCAAUGUCGUCAGUUAAGCUCUCCGGUGAUGCACCGACGAUGCUCCGGCGAUGGUACCCCGAGCAAAAAAAAUGUGGCACCAGUACAUGCCCGAGCUCAGCAUGUGCACCGUGGCUCAAACUCUUAGAUUGGGAAUGAACUUCGUAUGCUUAGACAUGGAAUGAACUCCGUAUGCCUAAGCCAACCCAUGAAAACGAGCGUGGGGGCGCUCAACCGGUCGGAGAGGUAGAAUGCGCAAGCCGGGGAUCAGCCUGGUCCCCCUCUGUGUGCUUCCAGUCUCAUUGUAACAACCCUCAGUCCGGCUGGGGCUUAGACAUGGAAUGAACUCCCUAUGCCUAAGCCAACCCACGAAACGGGCGUGCAGGCGUUCAAACGACCGGAAAGGCAGAAUGUGGAAGUCGAGGAUCGACCCGGUCCCCCCUGCAUGCUGUUGAUCCUACUGCCGCAAACCUCGAUCUGAUUCGAUCUUAUGCUUAGACUGGGAAUAACUCUGUAUGCCUAAGUCAACCCAUGAAACGAGCGUACGGGCGUUCAGCCGAUCGAAGAGGCAGAAUGCACAAGCCGGGGACCGACCCGGUCCCCCCUGCAUGCUAUCGAUCCUGCUGCCGCAACCCUCAGUUCAGUCUGAUCUUAGACUGGGAAUGAAUUUUGUAUGCCUAAGUCAACCCACGAAAUGAGCGUGCGGACGCUCAGCCGACCAGAGAGGCAGAAUGCGUAAGCCAGGGAUCGAACGGGUGGUAGGUGGGUUCAAGCACAUCUUUAUAUUUCUGCCAUGCCAAUGCCAUUUUUAUGGCUUGUAAAUUCAUACAAUGGUCCCCUACGCCUUCAUGUGAAGUUUCGUGGCAAGAUGACUCGUUUUCCAUUUUUCACGAUUUUCAAAACUUUUUAUGGUUCGGGAUUUUUUAAAAUUUUUUUAGAAAGAGUUUUGUCCCCAAAUUUGGUAGAGGUGAUCCUUGUAUUUUUGUUGGCAUGCACAAAAACAUUCAGCUAAAAACUCAAAGUGGAGAAUAUUUUGUGACCGCUUGAAAAAAGUGUCCCCAUUUCAGACACUUUUAUGGCUACUGGCAGCAAACCUAUAAAAUCUCAAAUGCUCUUUAAGUGGGUGUGAGUUUUCGAGGUUUGACGAGGGAUAGGGGGCCAAUAUAAGGGCCAAGUACCAGCACCCAUCAGACAUCAUGUGCGCACACCCCCCAGCCCCCCAAUGUCGUCGGUUAGGCUCUCCGAUGAUGCUCCGGCGAUGGUGCCCCAGCAGAAAAAAAUGUGGCACCAGCACAUGCCCGAGCCCAGUAUGUGCACCAUGGCUCAAAAUCUUAGAUUGAGAAUGAACUCCGUAUGCUUAGACAUGUAAUGAACUCCGUAUGCCUAAGCCAACCCACGAAACGAGCAUGCGGGCGCUCAGUCGGCCGGAGAGGCAAAAUGCACAAGCCAAGGAUCGACCUGAUCCCCCCUACGUGCUGUAGAUCCUGCCAUCGCAACCCUCGGUCCAGUCCAAUCUUAGACAUGGAAUGAACUCUGUAUGCCUAAGCUAACCCACAAAAAGAGCGCGCGGGCGCUCAACCGACCGAAAAGGCAGAAUGCGCAAGCCAGAGAUCGACCCGGCCCCCCUCUGGGUGCUGUCGAUCCCGCUGCCACAACCCUCAAUCCGGCUGGGGUUUAGACAUGGAAUGAACUCCCUAUGCCUAAACCAGCCCACGAAAUGGGCGUGCGGGCGCUCAGCUGACCGGAGAGGCAGAAUGCGUAAGCUAGGGAUCGGCUCGAUCCCCCCCUGUGUGCUGCCGAUCCUGCUCUCGCCACCCUCGGUCUGGUUUGAUCUUAGACUGGGAAUGAACUCCGUAUGCUUAGAUUGGGGAUGAACUCCGUAUGCCUGAGUCAACCCACAAAACGAGCGUGCGGGUGCUCUACCGACUAGAGAGGCCGAUCAGAGAGGCAGAAUACGCAAGCUGGGGAUACUCUCAGUCCUCCUUGCGUGCUACUAAUCCUGCUGCUAGUCCUGCUAUCGUAACCCUCGAUCCAAUCUAAUCUUAGACUGGGAAAGAACUCCGUAUGCUUAGACAUGGAAUGAACUUCGUAUGCCUAAGCCAACAAAUGAAACGAGUGUGCGGGCGUUCAGUCAGACGGAGAGGCAGAAUGCGUAAGUCGGGGACGGCCUGGUCCCCACCUGCGUGCUGUCGAUCCUGCUUCCGCAACCCUCUGUCCGAUCCGAUCUUAGACUAGAAUGAAAUCCGUAUGCCUAAGUCAACCCACAAAACAAGCGUUCGGGCACUAAGCCGGCCGAAGAGGUAAAAUGCACAAGCCGAGGAUGGGUUCGAUCCCUCUCUACGUGCUACCGAUCCUGCUGCCACAACCGUCGGUCCGACUGGGGCUUAGACAUGGAAUGAACUCCCUAUGCCUAAGUCAACCCACGGAAUGGGCAUGCGGGUGCUCAACCGAUCGGAGAGGCAGAAUGCGUAAGCUGGGGUUCGACCCGGUCCGCCCUGCGUGCUGUCGAUCCUAUUGCUGCAACCCUCGGUUCGAUCCAAUCUUAGACUAGGAAUGAACUCCGUAUGCUUAGACAGGGGAUAAACUCUGUAUGCCUAAGUCAACCCACGAAACGAGCAUGCGGGUGCUCAACCGGCCUUUAGUCGAUCGGAGAGGCAUACUACGCAAGUCGGGGAUCAGCUCGGUCCCCCUUUGCAUCCUGUCGAUCCCGCUGCCGGUCCUACAGCCAUGACCCUCGAUCCGACUGGGGCUUAGACAUGGAAUGAACUCCGUAUGCCUAAGCCAACCCAUGAAACAAGUGUACGGGCGCUCAGCCGGGGAUCGAUCUGGCCCACUUGACGUACUGUCGAUUCUGCUGCUGGUCCUGCUGCCGCAACCCUCGAUCCGAUACGAUCUUAGACUGGGAAUGAACUCUAUAUGCUUAGACAUGGAAUGAACUUCGUAUGCCUAAGCCAACACACGAAACAAGCGUGCGGGCACUCAACCUGCCGGAGAGGUAGAAUGCGCAAGCCGGAGAUCGACCUGGUCCCCCCUGCGUGCUGUCGAUCCUGCUGCCGUAACCUUCGAUCCGGUCUAAUCUUAGACUGGGAAUUAACUCCGUAUGCCUAAGUUAACCCACGAAACGAGUGUUCGGGUGCUGACCAAUUUGGAGAGGCAUAAUACGUAAGUUGGGGAUCAGUUCGGUCCCCCUCUGCGUACUGUCGGUCCCACUGCCACAACCCUCGGUUCGACUGGGGCUUAGACAUCGAAUGAACUCCCUAUGCCUAAACCAACCCACGAAAUGGGCGUGCAGGCGCUCAGCUGACCGAAGAGGCAGAAUGCGUAAGCUAGGGAUCGGCUCGGUCCCCCCUGUGUGCUGUCGAUCUUGCUGUCGCAACCCUCGGUCUGGUUUGAUCUUAGACUAGGAAUGAACUCCAUAUGCUUAGACUGGGGAUGAACUCCGUAUGCCUGAGUCAACCCACAAAACGAGUGUACGGCUGCUCUACCGAUCGAAGAGGCUGAUCGGAAAGGCAGAAUACGCAAGUCGAGGAUCCGCUCUGUCCCUCCUAUGUGCUACUGAUCCUGCCUGCUACCGUAACCCUCGGUCCAAUCUGAUCUUAGACUGGGAAUGAACUCUGUAUGCUUAGACAUGAAAUGAACUCCAUAUGCCUAAGCCAACCCAUGAACUGAGCGUACGGGCAUUCAACCGAACGGAGAGGCAGAAUGCACAAGUCGGGGACCGACCUGGUCCCCCCCUGCGUGCUGUCGAUCCUGCUUCUGCAACCCUCGGUCCGGUCUGAUCUUAGACUGGGAAUGAAAUCCGUAUGCCUAAGUCAACCCACGAAAUGAGCGUUCGGGCACUGAGUCGAUCGAAGAGGCAUAAUACGCAAGUCGAGGAUGGGCUCGAUCCCCCUCUACGUGCUGCCGAUCCCGCUGCCACACCCUCGGUCCGACUGGGGCUUAGACAUGGAAUGAACUCCAUAUGCCUAAGCCAGCCCACGAAACGGGCAUGCGGGCGCUCAACCGGUCGGAAAGGCAGAAUGCGUAAGCUGGGGUUCGACCCAAUCCCCCCUGCGUGCUGUCGAUCCUGCUGCUGUAACCCUCCGAUCCGAUCCGAUCUUAGACUAGGAAUGAACUCCGUAUGCUUAGACUGGGGAUAAACUCCGUAUGCCUAAGUCAACCCAUGAAACGAGCAUGCUGGCGCUCAGCUAGCCUCCGAUCGAUCGGAAAGGCAUACUACGCAAGUCGGGGAUCAGCCCGAUCCCUCUUUGCAUCCUGUCGAUCCCGCUGUCGAUCCUGCAGCCAUGACCCUCGAUCCGACUGGGGCUUAGACGUGGAAUGAACUCCGUAUGCCUAAGCCAACCCAUGAAACAAGCGUGCGGGUGCUCAGUCGGUCGAAGAGGCAGAAUGCACAAGCCGAGGAUCAACCUAGUCCCCCCUGACGUGCUGUCGAUCUUGCUACUGGUCCUGCUGUUACAACCCUCGGUCUGGUGUGAUCUUAGAUUGGGAAUGAACUCCGUAUGCUUAGACAUGGAAUGAACUCCGUAUGCCUAAGCCAACACACGAAACAAGCGUGCGGGCACUCAACCUGCCGGAGAGGUAGAAUGCACAAGCCGGAGACUGACCUUGGUCCCCCUACAUGCUGUCGAUCCUACUGCCGUAACCCUUGGUCUGGUCUGAUCUUAGACUGGGAAUGAACUUCGUAUGCCUAAGUUAACCCACGAACAAGCGUUCAGGUGCUGAGCCGGUCAGAGAGGCAUAAUGCGCAAGCUGGGGAUCAGCCCGAUCCCUCUCUGUGUGCUGUCGAUCCCACUACCACAACCCUCGAUUCGACUGCGGCUUAGACAUGGAAUGAACUCCCUAUGCCUAAGCCAACCCAUAAAACGGGUGUACGGUCGCUCAGCCGACCGGAGAGGCAAAAUGCGCAAGCAAGGGAUCAGCCCGAUCCCUCUACGUGCUGUCGAUCCUGCUGCCGCAACCCUCGGUCCGGUCUAAUCUUAGACUGGGAAUGAACUCCGUAUGCUUAGACUGGGGAUGAACUCCGUAUGCCUAAGUCAACCCACGAAACGAGUGUGCUGAGUGCUGCCGUUGCGUGCUGCCGAUCCCGCUGUCGGUCCGGUUGCCACAACCUUCGGUCUGACUGGGGCUUAGACAUGGAAUGAACUCCGUAUACCUAAGCCAACCCAUGAAAUAAGCGUGCAGGCGGCCAGUCGACCGGAGAGGUAAAAUGAGCAAGUCGGGGAUUGGCCUGAUCCCCCCCUAUGUGCUGUUGAUCUUGCUGCUGGUCCUGCUACCGUAACCCUCGGUCCGGUCCAAUCUUAGACUGGUAAUGAACUCCGUAUGCCUAAGUCAACCCACGAAUGGGCGUGUGGGCGCUGAGCCAGUCGGAGAGGCAUAAUGCACAAGCCGGGGAUCGGCCAGGUCCCCCUCUGUGUGCUGCCAAUCCCGCAGCCACAACCCUCGAUCCGGCUGGGCUUAGACAUGGAAUGAACUCCUUAUUCCUAAGCCAACCCAUGAAAUGGGCGUGCGGGCGCUCAGCCGACCGGAGAGGCAAAAUGCGUAAGUCGGGUAUCAGCCCGGUCCCCCCUGCGUGCUGCUGAUCCUACUGCCGCAACCCUCGAUCUAGCUCGAUCUUAGGCUGGGAAUGAACUCCGUAUGCUUAGACUAGGGAUAAACUCCGUAUGCUUAGACCAGAGAGGUAGGAUGUGCAAGCCGAGGAUCGAACGGGUGGUAAGUGGGUUCAAGCACAUCUUCAUAUUUCUGCCAUGCCAAUGUCAUUUUUAUGGCUUGUAAAUUCAUACAAUGGUCCCCUAAGCCUUCAUGUGAAGUUUCGUGGCAACACGACCCGUUUUCUAUUUUUCACGAUUUUUGAAACUUUUUACGGAUCGAGAUUUUUUAAAUUCUUUAAGAAAAGUUUUGUCCCCAAAUUUGGUAGAGGUGAUCCUUGUAUUUUUGUUGGCAUGCACAAAAAAAUUCAGCUAAAAACUCAAAGUGGAGAAGAUUUUGUGACCAUUUGAAAAAAGUGUCCCCAUUUCAGACACUUUAAUGGCUGCUGGCAGCAAACCUAUAAAAUCUCAAAUGCUCUUUAAGGGGGUGUGAGUUCUUGAGGUUUGAUGAGGGAUAGGGGCCCAAUAUAAGGGCCAAAUACCAGCACCCAUUGCACAUCAUGUGCGCACACUCCCCCGGCCCCCCAAUCGCCGGAACCCUCAAUGCCAUUGGUUAGGCUCUCCAGCGAUGCUCCGGUGAUGCUCCGACGAUGGUGCCCCCGAGCGAAAAAAGAUGCAGCGCCAGCACAUGCCCGAGGCCAGCAUGUGCACCAUGGCUCAAACUCUUAGACUAGGAAUGAACUCCGUAUGCUUAGACAUGGAAUGAACUUCGUAUACCUAACCCAACCCACGAAAUGAGUGUACGGGUGCUCAGCCGGCCAGAGAGGCAGAAUGUGCAAGUCGGGGUUCGGCCUGGUCCCCCCCUACGAGCGUAGAUCCUGCUGCCACAACCCUCGAUUUGAUCUGAUCUUAGACUUGGAAAUGAACUCCGUAUGCGAAAGUUAACCCACGAAACGAACAUGCAGGCGCUGAGCCAGCCGAAGAGGCAUAAUGCGCAAGCCGGGGAUUGGCCCGAUCCCCUUCUACGUGCUGCCAGUCCCACUGCCACAACCCUUGAUUCAGCUGGGGCUUAGACAUGGAAUGAACUCCCUAUGCCUAAGCCAACCCAUGAAACGGGAGUGCGGGCACUCAGCCAGCCGGAGAGGCAGAAUGCGCAAGUCGGGGAUUGUCUCGAUCCCCCCCUGCGCGCUAUCAAUCCUACUGUCGCAACCCUCGGUCUGGUUUGAUCUUAGACUAGGAAUGAACUUCGUAUGCUUAGACUGGGGAUGAACUCCGUAUGCCUAAGUCAACCCACGAAACGAGCGCGCGGGUGCUCAGCCGGUUGGAAAGGUGUAAUGCGUAAGUCGAGGAUCAGCCCGGUCUACCUCUACGUGUUGCUGAUCCCGUUGCCGGUCUUGUUGCCAUAACCCUCGGUCCGACUGGGGCUUAGACAUGGAAUGAACUCCGUAUGCCUAAGCCAACCCACGAAACGAGCGUGUGGUUGGUCAACUGGCCGGAGAGGCAGAAUGCGUAGGUCAGGGAUCGGCCUGGUCCCCCCUGUAUGCUAUCGAUCCUGUUACUGGUCCUGCUAUCGCAACCCUCAAUCUGAUCUAAUCUUAGACUGUGAAUGAACUCCGUAUGCCUAAGUCAACCCAUGAAACGAGUGUGCGAGCGCUGAGCUGGUCGGAGAGGCAUAAUGCAUAAACCGAGGAUCAACCUGAUCCCUCUCUGCGUGCUGUCGGUCCCGUUGCCACAACCCUCAGUCCGGCUGGGGCUUAGAAAUGGAAUGAACUCCCUAUGCCUAAGCCAACCCAUGAAACGGGCUUCCUGGCGCUCAGUCGGUCGAAGAGGCAGAAUGCAUAAGCUGAGGAUCGACCCGAUCCCCUUUGUGUGCUAUCAAUACUACUGUCGUAACCCUCGAUUCGAUCCGAUCUUAGAUUGGGAAUGAACUCUAUAAGCUUAGACUGGGGAUGAACUCCGUAUGCCUAAGUCAACCCACGAAAUGAGCGUGCGGGCGCCAGUCGACCAGAGAGGCAGGAUGCGCAAGUCGAGGAUCGAACGGGUGGUAGGUGGGUUCAAGCACGUCUUCAUAUUUCUGCCCUGGCCAAUGCCAUUUUUAUGGCUUGUAAAUUCAUACAAUGGUCCUCUAAGCCUUCAUGUGAAGUUUCAUGGCAAGACAACCCGUUUUCUAUUUUUCACGAUUUUUAAAACUUUUUAAGGUUCGAGAUUUUUUAAAAUUUUUUUAGAAAGAUUCUUGUCCCCAAAUUUGGUAGAGGUGAUCCUUGUAUUUUUUUUGGCUUGCACAAAAAAAUUCAGCUAAAAAUUCAAAGUGGAGAAGAUUUUGUGACCAUGUGUCCAUUUCAGACACUUUAAUGGCUAUUGGCAGAAACCUAUAAAAUCUCAAUGCUCUUUAAGGGGGUGUGAUUGUCAGGUUUGAUGAGGAUAAGGGGCCAAUAUAAGGGCCAAGUACCAGCACCCAUCGCACAUCAUGUGCGCACACCCACCCGGCCAACCCAAUCGCCGGAACCCCAAUGCCGUCGGCUAAGCUCUCCGGUGAUGCUCCGACGACGAUGCCCCAGGCAAAAAAAAUGUGGGACCAGCACAUGCCCAAGCCCAGCAUGUGCACCAUGGCUCAAAAGCUUAGACUGGGAAUGAACCCGUAUGCUUAGACAUGGAAUGAACUCCGUAUGUCUAAGCCAACCCACGGAACGAGCCUGUGGGUGCUCAGCCGGUCGGAGAGGCAAAAUGCACAAGUCGAGGAUCGACUUGGUCCCCCCCUACGUGCUGUCAAUCCUACUAACGUAACCCUUGGUCCGGUCCAAUCUUAGACUUGGAAUGAACUCUGUAUGCAUAAGUCAACUCACGAAAUGAGCGUGCGGGAGCUGAGCCGGUCAAAGAGGCAUAAUGUGCAAGUCGAGAAUCAGCCUGGUCCCCCUCUGCAUGCUGCUAGCCCCGUUGCCACAACCAUUGGUCCGACUGGGGCUUAGACAUGGAAUGAACUCCCUAUGCCUAAGCCAACCCACGAAAUGGGCGUGCGGGUGCUCAGCCGAUCGGAGAGGCAGAAUGCACAAGUCGAGGAUCGGCUCGAUCCCCCCUACGUGCUGCCGAUCUAGCUGCUGCAACCCUUGGUCUGGUUCGAUCAUAGACUGGGAAUGAACUCCGUAUGCUUAGACUGAGGAUGAACUUCGUAUGCCUAAGUCAACCCAUGAAACGAGCGUGCGGGCGCUCAACCGGCCGGAGAGGCAUAAUGCACAAGCCGGGGACCAGCUCGAUCCCUCUCUGCAUGCUAUCGAUCCCGCUACCGGUCCUGCUACCACAACCCUAAAUCUGACUGGGGCUUAGACAUGGAAUGAACUUCGUAUGCCUAAGCCAACCUACGAAACGAGCGUGCGGGCUCUUAGCCGGCCGGAUCGACCUGGUCCCCCCUUACGUGCUACCGAUCCUGCUACUGGUCUUGCUACCACAACCCUCGGUCCGAUUCGAUCUUACAUUGGGAAUGAACUCCGUAUGCUUAGACAUGGAAUGAACUGCAUAUGCCAAAGCCAACCCACGAAACUAGUGUGUGGGCGCUCAGCCGGUCGGAGAGGCAGAAUGCGCUAGUUGGGGAUCGGCCCGAUCCCCCUACGUUCUGUCGAUCCUGCUGCUACAACCCUUAAUUCGAUCUGAUCUUAGACUGGGAAUGAACUCUGUAUGUCGAAGUCAACCCAUGAAACAAGUGUACAGGCGCUGAGCCGAUCGGAGAGGCAUAAUGCGCAAACCGGGGACCGAUCCGGUCCCCCUUUGCAUGCUGUCGGUCCCGCUGCCACAACCCUCGGUUCGACUGGCACUUAGACAUGGAAUGAACUCCCUAUGCCUAAGCCAACCCAUGAAACGGGCGUGCGGGCACUCAACCAGUCGGAGAGGCAGAAUGCGCAAGUCGGGGUCGGCCCGAUCCCCCCUGCGUGCUAUCGAUCCUGCGGUCGUAACCCUCGAUCCGGUCUAAUCUUAAACGGGUAAUGAACUCCGUAUGCUUAGACUGGGGAUGAACCCGUAUGCCUAAGUCAACCUAUGAAACGAGCGUGCAGGCAUUCAAUCGACGAGAGAGGUAGUAUGCACAAGCCGAGGAUCGAACAGUUGGUAGGUGGGUUCAAGCACAUCUUCAAAUUUCUACCGUGCCAAUGCCAUUUUUAUGGCUUGUAAAUUCAUACAAUGGUCCAGUCCGUAUGCCUAAGUCAACCCAUGAAACAGCGUGGGGGUUCAGUCGAUCGGAGAGGCAGAAUGCAUAAGCCGAGGACCAGCCCGGUCCCCCUCUGUGUGCUAUCGGUCCCGCUGCCACAACCCUCGGCCCGACUGGGGCUUAGACAUGGAUUGAACUCCCUAUGCCUAAACCAACCCACGAAACGGGCGUGCGGGCGCUCAGCCGGCCGGAGAGGCAGAAUGUGCAAGCCGAGGAUCGACCCGAUCCCCCCUGCGUGCUGCCGAUCCUGCUGCCGUAACCCUCGGUCCGAUUCGAUCUUAGACUGGGAAUGAACCCCGUAUGCUUAGACUGGGGAUGAACUCCGUAUGCCUAAGUCAACCCAUAAAAUGAGUGUGCGGGUGCUCAGUCGGCCAGAGAGGUAUAAUGCGCAAGCCGAGGAUCGGACCGGUCCCCCCUUACAUGCUGUCGAUCCUGCUGCUGGUCCUACUGCCGUAACCCUCGGUCCAGUCUGAUCUUAGACUGGGAAUGAACUCUAUAUGCUUAGACAUGGAAUGAACUCCGUAUGCCUAAGCCAACCCAUGAAAUGAGCGUGCGGGCGCUCAGCUGAUCAGAGGGGCAGAAUACGCAAGCCAGGGAUCGAUCCGGUACCCCCCCUGCCUGCUGUCGAUCCUAUUACCGCAACCCUCGAUCCGGUUAAAUUUUAGACUGGGAAUGAACUUUAUAUGCCUAAGUCAACCCAUGAAACGAGCGUUCGGGCACUGAGCCCACCAGAAAAGUAUAAUGCGCAAGUCAAGGAUCGACCCUAUCCUCUUCUGCGUGCUGUCGGUCCCGCUGCCACAACCCUCUGUUCGGCUGGGGCUUAGACAUGGAAUGAACUCCCUAUGCCUAAGCCGACAAAUGAAACGGGCGUACGGGUGCUCAACCGGUCGGAGAGGCAGAAUGCGCAAGUCGGGGAUCGACCUGAUCCCCCCUACAUGCUACCGAUCCUGCUGCCGCAACCCUCGGUCCGAUCUAUUAUUAGACUGGGAAUGAACUCCGUAUGCCUAAGUCAACCCACGAAACGAGAGUGUGGGCACUCAGCCGGUCAGAGAGCCAUAAUGCGCAAGCUGGGGAUCGGCCCGGUCCCCCUCUACAUGCUGCCGAUCCCGUUACCGGUCCUGUUGCCACAACCCUCGGUUCGGCUAGGGCUUAGACAUGGAAUGAACUCUGUAUGCCUAAGCCAACCCAUGAAAUGAUCGUGCGCGCGCUCAGCUAACCGAAGAGGCAGAAUGCGCAAGCUGGGGAUCGACUCGGUCCCCCCUGCAUGUUGUCGAUCCUACUGUUGGUCCUGCUGCUGCGACCAUCGGUCCGGUCUGAUCUUAGAUUGGGAAUGAACUCUGUAUGCUUAGACAUGGAAUGAACUCCGUAUGCUUAAGCCAACCCAUGAAACAAGCGUGUGAGUGCUCAACCGAUCGGAGAGGCAGAAUACGCAAGCCUGGGACCAGCUCGGUCCCCCCUGCAUGCUCUCGAUCCUGCUAUUGGUCCUGCUGCAGCAACCCUCGUUUCGGUUCGAUCUUAGACUGGGAAUGAACUUCGUAUGCUUAGAAAUGGAAUGAACUCUGUAAGCCUAAGCCAACCCAUGAAACGAGCGUACGGGCGCUGAACCGGUGGGAGAGGCAGAAUGCACAAGCCUACGAUCGACCUGGUCCCCCACUGCGUGCUGUCGAUCCUGUUGCUUGUCCUGCUGCCACAACCCUCAGUCCGACUGGGGCUUAGACAUGGAAUAAACUUCGUAUGCCUAAGCCAACCCACGAAAUGAGCGUGCGAAUGCUCAGUCGGUCGGAGAGGUAGAAUGCACAAGCCGGGGAUCGGCCCGGUCCCCCCCUCCGUGCUGUCGAUCCUGCUGCUGGUCCUACUGCCACAAGCCUCGAUCUGGUCCGAUCUUAGACUGGGAAUGAACUUCGUAUGCUUAGACAUGGAAUGAACUCCGUGUGCCUAAGCCAACCCACGAAACGAGCGUGCGGGCGCUCAGUCGAUCGGAGAGGCAGAAUGCGCAAGUCGGGGACCAACUUGGUCCCCCCUGCGUGCUGUCAAUCCUGCGUGCUGACUUAGGAAUGAACUCUGUAUGCCUAAGUCAGCCCAUGAAACGAGCGUUCGGGCACUGAGUCGACCGGAGAGGCAUAAUACGCAAGUCAAGGAUCGACCCGAUUCGCCUCUACAUGUUGUCGGUCCCAUUGCCACAACCUUUGGUCUGGCUGGGGCUUAGACAUGGAAUGAACUCCUUAUGCCUAAGCCAACCCACGAAAUGGGCAUGCGGACACUCAGCCGGUCGAAGAGGCAGAAUGCGUAAGUCGGGGAUCGGCCUGGUCCCUCUGCAUGCUGCCGAUCCUACUGCUGCAACCCUCGGUCCGGUCUGAUCUUAUACUGGGAAUGAACUUUGUAUGUUUAGACUGUGGAUGAACUCUGUAUGCCUAAGUCAAACCAUGAAACGAGCGUGCGGACGCUCAGCCGACCGAAGAGGCAGAUUACGCAAGUCGGGGAUCAGCCCGAUCACCCCUGCGUGUUGUCGAUCCUGCUGUCGUAACCCUCGGUCUGGUCCGAUCUUAGACUGGGAAUGAACUCCGUAUGCCUAAGUCAACCCACGAAACGAGCGUUCGGGCGCUGAGCUGACCGAAGAGGCAUGAUGCGCAAGCCGAGGAUCGGCCCGAUCCCUCUCUGCGUACUGCCGAUCCCGCUACCAUAACCCUCAGUCCGACUGGGGCUUAGACAUGGAAUGAACUCCCUAUGCCUAAGCCAACCCACGAAAUGGGCGUGCGGGCGCUCAGCCGGCUGGAGAGGCAGAAUGCACAAGUCGUGGAUCGACCUGGUCCCCCUGCAUGCUAUCGAUCCUGCUACCGUAACCUUCGGUCCAGUCCGAUCUUAGACUGGGAAUGAACUUCUUAUGCUUAGACUAGGGAUGAACUCCGUAUGCCUAAGUCAACCAACGAAACGAGCAAGCGAAUGCUCAGCAGGCCGGAAAGGUCGAUCCGAGAGACAUAAUGCACAAGCCGGGGAUUAGCCCGAUCCCCUUUUACGUGCUACCGAUCCCGCUGCCGGUCUUGCUGCCACAACCCUCGAUCCGGCUGGGGCUUAACAUGGAAUGCGCUCAGCCGACCAUAGAGGUAGAAUGCGCAAGUCGAGGAUCAGCCCGAUCCGCCCUGCAUGCUGUCGAUCCUGCUACCACAACCCUCGGUCCAGUCCGAUCUUAGACUGGGAAUGAACUCCGUAUGCCUAAGUCAACCCACGAAAUGAGCGUUUAGAAGCUGAGUUGACCGGAGAGGCAUAAUGCGCAAGCUGGGGAUCGACCCGGUUCCCCUUUACGUGUUGUCGGUCCCGUUACCACAACCCUCGAUCCUACUGGGGCUUAGACAUGGAAUGAACUCCCUAUGCCUAAGCCAACCCACGAAACGGGCGUGCGGGUGCUCAACCGAUUGGAGAGGCUGAAUGCGUAAGUCGGGGAUCGACCCAGUCCCUCCUGCAUGUUGUCGAUCCUGCUGUCGUAACCCUCGAUCCGAUCUGAUCUUAGACUAGGAAUGAACUCCGUAUGCUUAGACUAGGGAUGAACUCCGUAUGCCUUAGUCAACCCACGAAACGAGCGUGCGGCGCUCAGUCGGCCGAAGAGGCCUACCGGAGAGGCAUAAUGCACAAGCCGAUGAUCAGCUCAAUCCCCCUCUAUGUGCUGUCGAUCCCGCUGCCGGUCUUACAGCCACAACCCUCGGUCCGACUGGGGCUUAGACAUGGAAUGAACUUCGUAUGCCUAAGCCAACCCACGAAACGAGCGUACAAGCGCUCAGUCGGCCGAGAGGUAGAAUGCGCAAGCUGGGGAUCAGUCCGGUCCCCUCUGCGUGCUGUCGAUCCUGCGACUGGUCCUACUACCGCAACCCUCGGUUGGUCUGAUCUUAGACUGGGAAUGAACUCCAUAUGCUUAGACAUGGAAUGAACUCUGUAUGCCUAAGCCAACCCACAAAAUGAGCGUGUGGGCGCUCAGCCAACCAGAGAGACAGAAUGCGCAAGCUGGGGACCGACCCGAUCCCUCCUAUGUGCUAUCGAUCCUGCUACCGUAACCCUCAAUCUGGUCUGAUCUUAGACUGGGAAUGAACUCCAUACGCCUAAGUCAACCCACGAAAUGAGCAUGCGAGCACUGAGCCAGCAGGAGAGGCAUAAUGCGCAAGCCUAGGAUCGGCCCGAUCCCCCUCUGUGUGCUGUCGGUCCCACUACCACAACCCUCAGUCCGGCUGGGGCUUAGACAUGGAAUGAACUCCUUAUUCCUAAGCCAAACCACGAAAUGGGCGUGUGGGUGCUCAACCGACUGGAGACGCAGAAUGCAUAAGUCAGAAAUCGACUCGGUCCCCAGACUAGGGAUGAACUCCGUAUGCUUAGACCAGAGAGGCAGGAUGUGCAAGCUAGGGAUCAAACGGGUGGUAGGUGGGUUCAAGCACAUCUUCAUAUUUCUGCUAUGCCAAUGCCAUUUUUAUGGCUUGUAAAUUCAUACAAUGGUCCCCUACACCUUCAUGUGAAGUUUCGUGGCAAGAUGACCCGUUUUCUAUUUUUCAUGAUUUUUUAAACUUUUUGUAGUUCAGGAUUUUUAAAAUUUUUUUAGAAAGAGUUUUGUCCCCAAAUUUGGUAGAGGUGAUCCUUGUAUUUUUUUUGGCUUGCACAAAAAAAUUUAGCUAAAAACUCAGAGUGGAGAAGAUUUUGUGACCAUUUAAAAAAAGUGUCCCCAUUUCAGACACUUUAAUGGCUACUGCAGCAAACCUAUAAAAUCUCAAAUGCUCUUUAAGGAAGUGUGAGUUCUCAAAGUUUGAUGAGGGAUAGGGGGCCAAUAUAAGGGCCAAGUACCAGCACCCAUCGCACAUAAUGUGCGCACAUCCCCCUCGGCCCCCCCAAUCGCCGGAACCCCCAAUGCCGCCGGUUAGGCUCUCCGACGAUGCUCCGACGAUGGUGCCCCGUAUGAAAAAAAAGUGGCUCCAGCACAUGCCUGAUCCCAGUAUGUGCACCGUGGCUCAAACUCUUAGACUGUGAAUGAACUCCGUAUGCUUAGACAUGGAAUGAACUUUGUAUGCCUAAGCCAACCCACGAAACGAGCGUGCGGGCGCUCAGUCGGUCGGAGAGGCAGAAUGCGCAAGCCUGGAAUCGGCUCGAUCCCCUUCUACAUGCUGUCGGUCCCGCUGCCACAACCCUCGAUCCGACUGGGGCUUAGACAUGGAAUCAACUCCCUAUGCCUAAGCCAACCCACGAAACGGGCGUACGGGCGUUCAGCCGACCGGAGAGGAAGAAUGCGCAAGCCAAGGAUCGACCCAGUCCCCACUGCGUGCUGUCGAUCUUGCUGCCGUAACCCUCGAUCCGGUUCGAUCUUAGACUGGGAAUGAACUCCGUAUGCUUAGACUGGGGAUGAGCUCCGCAUGCCUAAGUCAACCCACGAAACGAGGGUGCGGGCACUCAGUCGGCUGGAGAGGCAGAAUGCGUAAAUCAGGAUCGGCCCGAUCCCCCCUGCGUACUGUUGAUCCUACUGCUGGUCCUGCUGUCGCAAGCCUCAGCUCGAUCCCAUCUUAGACUAGGAAUGAACUCGUAUGCUUAGACAUGGAAUGAACUCCAUAUGCCUAAGCCAACCAACGAAAUAAGCGUGCGGGCGUUCAGUCGACCGGAGAGACAGAAUGCGCAAGCCGGAGACCGACUCGGUCCCCUCAGCGUGCUGUCGAUCUUGCUAUCGCAACCCUCGGUCUGAUCUAAUCUUAGACUAGGAAUGAACUCCGUAUGCUUAGACUGGGGAUGAACUCCGUAUGCCUAAGUCAACCCAGGAAACGAGCAUGCAGACGCUCAACCGACCAAAGAGGCAGGAUGCCGAAGUCGGGGAUCGAAUGGGUGGUAGGUGGUUUCAAGCACAUCUUCAUAUUUUUGCCAUGCCAAUGCCAUUUUUAUGGCUUGUAAAUUCAUACAAUGGUCCCCUCCACCUUCAUGUGAAGUUUCGUAGCAAGACGACCUGUUUUCUAUUUUUCACGAUUUUCAAAACUUUUUACGGUUUGGGAUUUUUUUAAAUUUUGUUAGAAAGAGUUUUGUCCCCAAAUUUGGUAGAGGUGAUCCUUAUAUUUUUGUUGGCGUGGACAAAAAAAUUCAGCCAAAAACUCGAAGUGGAGAAGAUUUUGUGACCGUUUGAAAAAAGUGUCCCCAUUUUAGACACUUUAAUGGCUACUGGCAGCAAACCUAUAAAAUCUCAAAUGCUCUUUAAGGGGGUGUGAGUUCUCAAGGUUUGAUGAGGGAUAGGGGGCCAAUAUAAGGGCCAAGUACCAGCACCCAUCGCACAUCAUGGGCGCACACCCCCCGGCCCCCCCCAAUCACCGAAACCUCCAAUGUCAUCGGUUAGGCUCUCCGACGAUGCUCUGACGAUGGUGCUUCGGGCGAAAAAGAUGCGGUACCAGCACAUGCCCGAGCCCAGCAUGUGCACCAUGGCUCAAACUCUUAGACUGGGAAUGAACUCCGUAUGCUUAGACAUGGAAUGAACUCCGUAUGCCUAAGCCAACCCACGAAACGAGUGUGCGGGCGCUCAGCCAACCGAGAAGGUAGAAUGCGCAAAAUGGGGAUCGGUCUGGUCCCCCUCUACGUGCUGCUGGUCCCAUUGCCACAACCUCCAGUCUGGUUGGAUCUUAGACAUUGAAUGAACUCCGUAUGCCUAAGCCAACCCACGAAACGAGCGUGCGGGCACUCAGCCGAUCGAAGAGGUAGAAUGCGUAAAUCGGGGACAACCUCGAUCCCCCCCUAUGUGCUGUUGAUCCUGCUACCGUAACCCCCGGUCUGAUUCGAUCUUAGAUAGGAAUGAACUCCGUAUGCCUAAGUCAACCCAUGAAACGAGCGUGCGGGCGUUGAGCCAACCGGAGAGACAUAAUGCGCAAGCCGGGGAUCGACCCGGUCCCGCCUGCAUACUGUUGAUCCUACUACCGCGACCCUCGGUCCGAUCCAAUCUAAGGCUGAGAAUGAAUUCCAUAUGCUUAGACUGGGGAUGAACUCCAUUUGCCUAUGUCAACCCAUGAAACGAACGUGCGGAUACUCAGUUGACCUGAGAGGUAGGAUGCACAAGCCGGGGAUCGAACGGGUGGUAUGUGGGAUCAACUACAUCUUUAUAUUUCUGCCUUGCCAAUGCCAUUUUUAUGGCUUGUAAAUUCAUACAAUGGUCCCCUACGCCUUCAUGUGAAGUUUCAUGGCAAGACGAACCGUUUUCUAUUUUUCACGAUUUUUGAAACUUUUUACGGUUUGAGAUUUUUUAAAAUUUUUUUGGAAAGAGUUUUGUCCCCAAAUUUGGUAGAUGUGAUCCUUGUAUUUUUGUUGGCAUGCACAAAACAAUUCAGCUAAAAACUCGAAGUGGAGAAGAUUUUGUGACCGUUUGAAAAAAGUGUCCCCAUUUCAGACACUUUAAUGGCUACUGGCAGCAAACCUAUAAAAUCUCAAAUGCUCUUUAAGGGGGUGUGAGUUCUCGAGAAUUGAUGAGGGAUAGGGGGCCAAUAUAAGGGCCAAGUACCAGCACCCAUCGCACAUCAUGUGCGCACACCCCUCGGCCCCCCCAAUGGCUGGAACCCCCAAUGCAGCCGGUUAGGCUCUCCGAUGAUUCUCCGAUGAUGGUGCCCCGGGCAAAAAAAAUGUGGCACCAGCACAUGCCCAAGCCCAGCAUGUGUACCGUGGCUUAAACUCUUAGACUAGGAAUGAACUCCGUAUGCUUAGACAUGGAAUGAACUUCGUAUGCCUAAGCCAACCCACGAAAUGAGCGUGCGUGCGCUCAGCCGGUCGAAAAGGCAAAAUGCGCAAGCCGAGGAUCGGCCUGGUUCCCCCUGCGUGUUGUCGAUCCUGCUGUCGCAACCCUUGGUCCAGUUUGAUCUUAGACUGGAAAUGAACUCAGUAUGCUUAGAUCGGGGAUGAACUCUGUAUGCUCAAGUCAACCUACGAAAUGAGCGUACGGGCGCUCAGUCGGUCGAAGAGGUAGAAUGCACAAGUCGGGGAUCAGCCCGAUCCCCUUCUGCGUGCUAGUGAUCCUACGGCUGGUCCUGCUACCGCAAGCCUCGGUUUGGUCUGAUCCUAGACUGGGAAUGAACUCCGUAUGCUUAGACAUGGAAUGAACUCCGUAUGCCUAAGCCAACCCAUGAAACGAGCAUGCGGGCGCUCAACCGAUCGGAGAGGCAGAAUACAUAAUUCAGGGACCGACCCGAUCCCCCCUGUGUGCUGUCGAUCCUGUUGCCACAACCCUCAGUCCGAUCCGAUCUUAUACUGAGAAUGAACUCUGUAUGCCUAAGUCAACCCAUGAAACGAGUGUUCAGGCGUUGAGCCAACCGAAGAGGCAUAAUGCGCAAGCCGGGGAUCGGCCUGGUCUCCCUCUGCAUGCUAUCGGUCCCACUACCACAACCCUCGAUCUAGCUAGAGCUUAGACAUAGAAUGAACUCCCUAUGCCUAAGCCAACCCACGAAACAGGCAUGCGGGCGCUCAACCGAUAGGAGAGGCAGAAUGUGCAAGCCGGGGACCAGCCCGGCCCCCCCUGCAUACUACCGAUCUUACUGUCGGAACCCUCGGUCCAAUCCGAUCUUAGACUGGGAGUGAACUCCGUAUGCUUAGACUGGGGAUGAACUCUGUAUGCCUAAGUCAACCCAUGAAACAAGCGUGCGCGCGCUCAACCGACUGAAGAGACCGGUCAGAGAGACAUAAUGUACAAGCCGGGGAUCAACCCGGUCCUCUUUUGUGAGCUGUCGAUCCCGCUGCCGGUCUUGUUACCGUAAACCCUCGGUCCGGCUGGGGCUUAGGCAUGGAAUGAACUCCGUUUGCCUAAGUCAAGCCACAAAACAAGCAUGCGAGUGCUCAACCGGUCGAAGAGGCAAAAUGCACAAGCCGGGGAUCAACUCGAUCCCCCCUGCAUGCUGUCGAUCCUGCUACUGGUCCUGCUGCCGUAACCCUCGGUCUGGUCUGAUCUUAGGCUGGGAAUGAACUCCAUAUGCUUACACAUGGAAUGAACUCCGUAUGCCUAAGCCAACCCACGAAACAAGCGUGCGGGCGCUCAGCCUGCCCGAGAGGCAGAAUGCACAAGCCGGGGACCAGCUCGAUCCCUUCCUGUGUGCUGUCGAUCCUACUAUAGCAACCCUCGGUCUGAUCCGAUCUUAGACUGGGAAUGAACUUCGUAUGCUUAAGUCAACCCACGAAAUGAGCGUGCAGGUGCUGAACCGGCCGAAAAGGCAUAAUGCACAAGUCGAGGAUCGACCCGAUCCCCCUCUGCGUGCUGUCUGUCCUGCUGCCACAACCCUCGGUCCGACUGGGGCUUAGACAUGGAAUGAACUACCUAUGCCUAAGCCAACCCACGAAACAGGCGAGCGGGAGCUUAGCUGGUCGAAAAGGUAGAAUGCACAAGCCAGGGAUCGGGUCGGUCCCUCUUACGUGCUACCAAUCUUACUGCCGCAACCCUCGGUCUGAUCCGAUCUUAGACUGGGAAUGAACUCCAUAUGCUUAGACUGGGGAUGAACUCCGUAUGGCUAAGUCAACCCAUGAAACGAGCGUACGAGCACUUAGCCGACCGGAGAGGUAGAACGCGUAAGUCAGGGAUCGACCCGAUCCCUCCCUGCAUACGACCGAUCAUGCUGCUGGUCCUGCUAUCGCAAGCCUUGGUCUGGUCUGAUCUUAGACUACGAAUGAACUCCGUAUGCCUAAGCCAACCCACGAAACGAAUGUGCGGGCGCUCAGCCGAUCGAAGAGGCAGAAUGCGCAAGCCGGGAUUGACUCGGUCCCUCUCUGCGUGCUAUCGAUCCUGCCAUCGCAACCCUCGAUCCGGUCUGAUUUUAAACUGGGAAUGAACUUCGUAUGCCUAAGUCAACCCACGAAACGAACGUUCGGGCGUUGAGCCGACUGGAGAGGCAUAAUGCGCAAGCCGCGGAUCAGCCCGGUCCCCAUCUGCGUGCUGCCGGUCCCAUUACCACAACCCUCGGUCAGGCUGGGGCUUAGACAUGUAAUGAACUCCCUAUGCCUAAGCCAACCCAUGAAACGGGCGUGCGGGCGCUCAGCUGGCCUAAGAGGCAGAAUGCACAAGCCAGGGAUCGACCCGGUCCUCCCUGCAUGCUGUCAAUCCUGCUACCGCAACCCUCAGUCCAGUCCGAUCUUAGAAUGGGAAUGAACUCCAUAUGCUUAGACUAGGGAUGAACUCCGUAUGGCUAAGUCAACCCACGAAAUGAGCGUGCGGGCGCUCAGUUGAUCAGAGAGGCUGGCUGGAAAGACAUAACGCAUAAGCCAGGGAUCAGCCCAGUCCCCCUCUGUGUGCUGUCAAUCCAGCUACCGGUCCUGCUACCACAACCCGUGGUUCGGUUGGGGCUUAGACAUGCAAUGAACUCCGGAUGCCUAAGCCAACCCAUAAAACGAGCGUACGAACGCUUAGCUGAUCGAAAAGGCAGAAUGCGUAAGCCGGGGAUCGACCUGAUCCCCCCUGCAUGCUAUCGAUCCUGCUGCUGGUCUUGCUGCCAUAACCCUCGAUUCAGUCUGAUCUUAGACUGGGAAUGAACUCCGUAUGCUUAGACUGGGGAUGAUCUCCAUAUACCUAAGUCAACCCAUGAAACAAGCAUGCCGACGCUCAAUCGGUCAGAGAGGCCAGCCGAAAAGACAUAACGUACAAGUCGGGGAUCAGCCCGAUCCUUCUUUGCGUGCUAUCGAUCCCGCUACCAGUCCUACUACCACAACCCGCAGUCCGACUGGGGCUUAGACAUGCAAUGAACUACGGAUGCCUAAGCCAACCCAUGAAAUGAGCAUGCGAGCGCUUAGCCGGUCGAAAAGGCAGAAUGCAUAAGCCGAAGAUUGGCCCGAUCCCUCCUACGUGCUGUCGAUCCUGCUGCUGGUCUUGCUACCGUAACCCUCGAUCCAGUCCGAUCUUAGACUGGAAUGAACUCCAUAUGCUUAGACAUGGAAUGAACUCCGUAUGCCUAAGCCAACACACGAAACGAGUGUACGGGCACUCAACUGACCGGAGAGGCAGAAUGCGUAAGCCAGGGAUCGACCCGAUCCCCCUCGCGUACUGUCGAUCUUGCUGCCACAACCCUCGAUCUGGUCCUAUCUUAGACUAGGAAUGAACUUCGUAUACCUAUGUCAACCCACGAAACGAGCAUACAGGCACUGAACCGAUCGAAGAGGCAUAAUGCGCAAGUCGAGGAACGGCCCGAUCCCCCUCUGCGUGCUGUCGGUCCCGCUACCUAAACCCUCGAUCCGACUGGGGCUUAGACACGGAAUGAACUCCCUAUGCCUAAGCCAACCCAUGAAACGGGCAUGCGGGUGCUCAGUCGGUCGGAGAGGCAGAAUGUACAAGCCGAGGCUGGGCCCGGUCUCCUCUGCGUGCUGCCGAUCCUGCUACCAUAACCCUCAGUCCGAUUCGAUCUUAGACUGGGAAUAAACACCUGUAUGCUUAGACUGGGGAUGAACUAAGUAUGCCUAAGUCAACCUACGAAACGAGCGUAUGGGCGCUCAGUCAACCGGAGAGACAGAAUGCGUAAGUCGGGGAUCGGUCUGGUACCCCCUGCGUGCUACCGAUCCUGCUACUGGCCCUACUACCGCAAGCCUCGGUCCGGUCCGAUCUUAGACUGGGAAUGAACUCCGUAUGCUUAGACAUGGAAUGAACUUCGUAUGCCUAAGCCAACCCACAAAACGAGCGUGCGGGUGCUCAGCUGGUUGGAGAGGCAGAAAGCGCAAGCCGGGGACCGACCCAGUCCCCCCUGCAUGCUGUCAAUCCUGCUGUGGCAACCUUCGGUCCAGUCUGAUCUUAGUUUCAGAAUGAACUCUGUAUGCCUAAGUUAACCCACAAAACGAGCGUGCGGGUGCUGAGUCAGCCGGAGAGGCAUAAUGCGUAAGCCGAGAAUCGGCCCGAUCCCCCUCUACGUGCUGUCGGUCUCGCUGGCACAACCCUCGAUCCAGCUUAGACAUGGAAUGAACUCCCUAUGCCUAAGCCAAUCCACGAAACGGCGUGAGGUGCUCAGUCGACCGAAGAGCAGAAUGCAUAAACCGAAGAUCGAACCGGUCCCCCUUGCGAGCUGUCGAUCCUGCUGUCGCAACCCUCGGUCCAGUCCGAUCUUAUACUGGGAAUGAACUCCAUAUACUUAGACUGAGGAUGAACUCCGUAUGCCUAAGUCAACCCAUGAAACGAGCGUGCGGACGUUUAGCCGACCAAAGAGGAAGGAUGCGUAAGCCGAGGAUCGAACGGGUGGUAGGUGAGUUCAAGCACAUCUUCAUAUUUUUGCCAUGCCAAUGCCAUUUUUAUGGCUUGUAAAUUCAUACAAUGGUCCCCUAUGCCUUCAUGUGAAGUUUCGAGGCAAGACGACCCGUUUUCUAUUUUUCACAAUUUUUGAAACUUUUUGCGGUUCUGGAUUUUUUAAAAUUAUUUUAGAAAGAUUUUUGUCCCCAAAUUUUGUAGAGGUGAUCCUUUUAUUUUUUUUGGCAUGCACAAAAAACUUCAGCUAAAAACUCAAAGUGGAUAAGAUUUUGUGACCGUUUGAAAAAAGUGUUCCCAUUUCAGACACUUUAAUGGCUACUGGCAGCAAACCUAUAAAAUCUCAAAUGCUCUUUAAGGGGGUGUGAGUUCUCGAGGUUUGAUGAGAGAUAGGGGGCCAAUAUAAGGGCCAAGUACCAGCACCCAUUGCACAUCAUGUGCGCCCAACCCUCGGCCCCCCCAAUCGUCAGAACCCCCAAUGCCGUCGGUUAGGCUCUCCGACGAUGCUCCGGCGAUGGUGCCCUGGGCGAAAAUAAUGUGGCACCAGCACAUUCCCAAGCCCAGUACGUGCACCGUGGCUCAAACUCUUAGACAUGGAAUGAACUCCGUAUGCUUAGACAUGGAAUGAACUCCGUAUGCCUAAGCCAACCCACGAAACGAGCGUGCGGGCGCUCAGUCGGUCGGAGAGGUAGAAUGCACAAGUCGAGGAUUGGCCCGAUCCCCUUCAACGUGCUGUUGGUCCUGCUGCCACAACCCUGGGUCUGGCUGGGGUUUAGACAUGGAAUGAACUCCCUAUGCCUAAGCCAACUCACAAAACGGGGGUACGGGCGCUCAGUCGAUCGGAGAGGCAGAAUGCGCAAGCCGGGGAUCGGCUCGAUCCCCCCUGCAUGCUACCGACCCUACUGCCACAGCCCCUCGAUCCGAUUCGAUCUUAGACUGGGAAUGAACUCUGUAUGCUUAGACUGGGGAUGAACUCCGUAUGCCUAAGUCAACCCAUGAAACGAGCGUGCGGGCGCUCAGCCGACUAGAGAGGUAGAAUGCGUAAGCUGAGGAUCGACCCAGUCCCAUCCUGUGUGCUGUCGAUCGUGCUGCUGGUCCUGCUACCGCAAGCCUCGGUCUGGUUCGAUCUUAGACUGGGAAUGAACUCCGUAUGUUUAGACAUGGAAUGAACUCCGUAUGCCUAAGCCAACCCAUAAAACGAGCGUACGGGUGCUCAGUCGACCAGACAGGUAGAAUGCAUAAGCUGGGGAUCGGCUCGAUCCCUCUCUGCAUGCUACCGAUCCUACGAUUGGUCCUGCUACCGUAAACCUCGUUCUGCUCUGAUCUUAGACUGGGAAUGAACUCUGUAUGCUUAGACAUGGAAUGAACUCCGUAUGCCUAAGCUAACCCACGAAACGAGCGUGCGGGCGCUCAACCGACCAGAGAGGCAGAAUGCGCAAGUCGGGGACCGACCCAAUCACCAAUGCGUGCUGUCGAUCCUGCUGUAACAACCCUUGGUCCAGUUCGAUCUUAGACUGGGAAUGAACUCCGUAUGCUUAAGUCAACACACAAAAUGAGCGUUCGGGUACUGAACCAGUCGGGGGAGGCAUAAUGCGCAAGUCGGGGAUAAGCCCGAUCCCCCUUUGCAUGUUGUCGGUCCCGCUGCCAUAACCCUUGGUCCGGCUAGGGCUUAGACAUGGAAUGAACUCCCUAUGCCUAAGCCAACCCACGAAACGGACGUGUGGGUGCUCAAUCAGUCGGAGAGGUAGAAUGUGUAAGCUGAGGAUUGGCCUGGUCUCACUUGCGUGCUGCCGAUCCUGCUGUCGCAACCCUCAGUCCGGUUCAAUCUUAGACUGGGAAUGAACUCCAUAUGCUUAGACUGGGGAUGAACUCCGUAUGCUUAGACUAGGGAUGAACUCUGUAUGCCUAAGUCAACCCAUGAAACGAGCGUACGGGCGCUCAGGCGAUCGGAGAGGUAGAAUGCGCAAGUCGGGGAUCGACCCGAUCUCUCUCUGCGUGCUGUCGAUCUUACUGUCCCAACCUUCGGUCUGGUCCGAUCUUAGACUGAGAAUGAACUCCAUAUGCUUAGACAUGGAACGAACUCUGUAUGCCUAAGCCAACCCAUGAAACGAGCGUGCGGGUGCUCAGCCGACCGGAAAGGCAGAAUGUGUAAGUCAGGGACCGACCCGGUCCCCACCUGCCUGCUGUCAAUUUUACUACCGCAACCCUCGGUCCAGUCCGAUCUUGGAUUGGGAAUGAACUUUGUAUGCCUAAGUCAACCCAUGAAACGAGCAUUCAGGCACUAAGCCGAUCGGAGAGGCAUAAUGCGCAAACCGGGAUUGGCCUGGUCCCCUCUGCGUGCUGCCGGUCCCGCUACCACAACCCUCGGUCCGGUGAGGGCUUAGACAUGGAAUGAACUCCCUAUGCCUAAGCCAACCCACGAAACGGGCGUGCGGGCACUGAGCCGGUCAGAGAGGCAGAAUACGUAAGUCGAGGAUCGGCUCGAUCCCUCUUAUAUGCUAUCGAUACUACUACCGUAACCCUUGGUCCAGUUUGAUCUUAGACUGGGAAUGAACUUCGUAUGCUUAGACAUGGAAUGAACUCCGUAUGCCUAAGCCAACCCACGAAAUGAACUCCGUAUGCUUAGACAUGUAAUGAACUCCCUAUGCCUAAGCCAACCCACGAAACGUGUGUGCGGGCACUCAGCCGGCCGGAGAGGCAGAAUGAGCAAGCCAGGGAUCAUUUCGGUCCCCCCUACGUGCUGCCAAUCCUGCUGCCACAACCCUCGGUCCGGUUCGAUCUUAGGCUGCGAUUGAACUUUGUAUGCUUAGACUGGGGAUGAACUCCGUAUGCCUAAGUUAACCCACGAAACGAGCGUGCGGACGCUCAGCCGACCAGAGAGGCAGGAUGCGCAAGUCGGGGAUCGAACGGGUGGUUGGUGGGUUCAAGCACAUCUUCAUAUUUCUGCCAUGCCAAUGCGAUUUUUGUGGCUUGUAAAUUCAUACAAUGGUCCCCUACGCCUUCAUGUGAAGUUUCGUGGCAAGACGACCCGUUUUUUAUUUUUCACGAUUUUCAAAACUUUUUGCUGUUCGGGAUUUUUUUUAAUUUUUUUAGAAAGAGUUUCGUCCCCAAAUUUGGUAGAGGUGAUCCCUGUAUUUUUGUUGGCAUUCACAAAAAAAUUCAGCUAAAAACUCAAAGUGGAGAAGAUUUUGUGACCGUUUGAAAAAAGUAUCCCCAUUUCAGACACUUUAAUGGCUACUGGCAGCAAACCUAUAAAAUCUCAAAUGCUCUUUAAGGGGGUGUGAGUUCUCGAGGUUUGAUGAGGGAUAGGGGGCCAAUAUAAGGGCCAAGUACCAACACCCAUCACACAUCGUGUGCACACACCCCCCCGGCCCGCCCAAUCGCCAGAACCCCUAAUGUCGUUGGUCAGGCUCCCCGACGAUGCUCCGGCGAUGGUGCCUCAGGCAAAAAAAAUGUGGCACCAGCACAUUAUCGAGCCCCAGCAUGUGCACCAUGGCUCAAACUCUUAGACUGGGAAUGAAUCCCGUAUGCUUAGACAUGGUAUGAACUCUGUAUGCCUAAGCCAACCCAUGAAACGAGCGUGCGGGUGCUCAGCCGACCGGAGAGGCAGAAUGCGCAAGCCGGGGAUCGGCACGACCCCCCUUUGCAUGCUGCCAAUACUGCUGCCACAACCGUCGGUCUGGGUGGGCUUAGACGUGGAAUGAACUCCCUAUGCCUAAGCCAACCCACAAAACGGGUGUGCGGGCGCUCAACCGACCGGAGAGGCAAAAAGCGUAAGCCGACCCACAAAAUGAGUGUGCGGGUGCUCAGCCGAUCGGAGAGGCAGAAUGUGCAAGUCGGGGAUCGGCCUGGUCCCCCUUACGUGCUGCCGAUCCUGUUGCUGGUCCUACUGUCGUAACCUUCGGUCUAAUCCGAUCUUAGACUGGGAAUGAACUCCGUAUGCUUAGACAUGGAAUGAACUACGUAUGCCUAAGCUAACCCACGAAACGAGUGUGUGGGUGCCCAGUCCCCCUGCGUGCCGUCGAUCCUGCUACCGUAACCCUCGGUCCAAUCUGAUCUUAGACUAGGAAUGAACUCCGUAUGCCUAAGUCAACCCAUGAAACGAGCGUGCGGGCGCUGAGCCGACGGAGAGGCAUAAUGCGUAAGUCGAGGAUUGACCGAUCCCCCUCUGCAUGCUGCCGGUCCUGUUGCCACAACCCUCGGUCUGGCUGGGGCUUAGACAUGGAAUGAACUCCCUAUGCCUAAGCCAACCCAUGAAACGGGCGUGUGGGUGCUCAACCGACCGUAAAGGCAGAAUGUGCAAGUCGGGGAUCGACUCGGUCACCCCUACGUGCUGUUAAUCCUGCUGUCGCAACCCUCGAUCCGAUCUGAUCUUAGACUGGGAAUGAAGUCCACAUGCUUAGACUGAGGAUGAACUCCGUAUGCCUAAGUCAACCCACGAAAUGAGCGUACGGAUGCUCGGUCGACCAGAGAGCCAGGAUGCGCAAGCCAGGGAUCGAACGUGUGGUAGGUGGGUUUAAGCACAUCUUCAUAUUUCUGCAAUGCUAAUGCCAUUUUUAUGGAUUGUAAAUUCAUACAAUAGUCCCCUAUGCCUUCAUGUGAAGUUUCGUGGCAAGACGACCCGUUUUCUAUUUUUUAAUAUUUUUGAAACUUUUUAUGGUUCAAAAUUUUUUAAGAUUUUUUUAGAAAGAGUUUGUCCCCAAAUUUGGUAGAGGUGAUCCUUCUAUUUUUGUUGGCAUGCACAAAAAAUUCAGCUAAAAACUCGAAGUGGAGAAGAUUUUGUGACCGUUUGAAAAAAGUGUCCCCAUUUCAGACACUUUAAUGGCUACUGGCAGCGAACCUAUAAAAUCUAAAAUGCUCUUUAAGGGGGUGUGAGUUCUCGACGUUUGAUGAGGGAUAGGGGCCAAUAUAAGUGCCAAAGACUAGCACCGAUCGCACAUCAUGUGUGCACACCCCCCCGACCCCCUCAAUCACCGGAAACCCCAAUGCCGCUGGUUAGGCUCUCCGGCGAUGCUCCGGCGAUGGUGCCCUGGGCGAAAAGAAAUGUGGCACCAGAACAAGCCCUAGCCCAGCAUGUGCACCAUGGCUCAAACUCUUAGACUGGGAAUGAACUCCGUAUGCUUAGACAUGGAAUGAACUCCGUAUGCCUAAGCCUACCCACAAAACGAGCGUACGGGCGCUCAGCCGACCGGAGAGGCAGAAUGCGCAAGUCGGGGAUCGGCCCGAUCCCCCUCUACGUGCUGUCGGUCCUGUUGCCACAACCCUCGGUCCGAUUGGGGCUUAGACAUGGAAUGAACUCCCUAUGCCUAAACCAACCCACGAAACGGACGUGCGGGCGCUCAGCCGGUCGGAGAGGUAGAAUCGCAAGCCGGGGAUCGGCAUGGUCCCCCCUGCGUACUGUCGAUUCUGCUGCCACAACCCUUUGUCUGGUUUGAUCUUAAACUAGGAAUGAACUCAGUAUGCUUAGACUAGGGAUGAACUCCGUAUGCCUAAGUCAACCCACAAAACGAGCAUGCGGGCACUCAGCCGAUCGAAGAGGUAGAAUGCGUAAGUCGGGGAUUAGCUCGGUCCCCCCAUACGUGUUGCUUAUCCUGCUACUGGUCUUGCUACCGCAAGCCUCGAUCUGGUCCGAUCUUAGACGGGAAUGAACUCCGUAUGCUUAGACAUAGAAUAAACUCCGUAUGCCUAAGCCAACCCACGAAACGAGCGUGUGGGUGCUCAGCCGGCCGGAGAGGCAGAAUGCGUAAGUCGGGGACCGGCCCAGUCAUCCUCUACAUGCUGUCGAUCCUGCUACUGCAACCCUCGGUCCGGUCUGAUCUUAGACUGGGAGUGAACUCCAUAUGCCUAAGUCAACCCACAAAAUGAGCGUUCGGGCGCUGAACCGAUCGAAAAGGCAUAAUGCGCAAGCCGGGGAUCGACCCGAUCCCCCUCUACGUCCGGCCGGUCCCACUACCACAACCCUCGAUCUGGCUGAGGCUUAGACAUGGAAUGAACUCCCUAUACCUAAGCCAACCCACGAAACGGGCGUACGGGCUCUCAACCGGUCGGAGCGACAGAAUGCGCAAGUCGGGGAUCGACUUGAUCCCCCUACAUGCUGAUGAUCCUUCUACUGCAACCCUCAGUCUGAUCCGAUCUUAGACUGGGAAUGAACUCCGUAUGUUUAGACUGGGGAUGAACUUCGUAUGCUUAAGGCAACACACGAAACGAGCGUGCAGCGCUCAGCCAGCUGAAGAGGCAUAAUGCAUAAACCGGGGAUCAGCCUGAUCCCCCUCUACAUGCUACCGAUCCGCUGCCAGUCCUGUUACCACAACUCUCGGUCUGACUAGGGCUUAGAAAUGGAAUGAACUCUAUAUGCCUAAGCCAACCCACGAAAUGAGCGUGCGGGUGCUAAGCCGGUCGGAGAGGCAAAAUACGUAAGUCGGGGACCGACCGGUCCCUCUUGCGUGCUGUAGAUCCUACUACCGCAACCCUCAGUCUGAUCUGAUCUUAGACUAAGAAUGAACUCCGUAUGCCUAAGUCGACCUACGAAAUGAGUGUGCAGACACUGAACCAUUCGGAGAGGCAUAAUGCGCAGGCCGGGGAUCGGCCCGAUCCCCCUCUGCGUGCUGUCAGUCCCACUGCCAUAACCCUCGGUCCUACUGGGGCUUAGACAUGGAAUGAACUCCCUAUGCCUAAGCCAACCCACGAAACAGACGUGCGGGCGCUCAGUCGACCGGAGAGACAGAAUGCACAAGCCGAAGAUCGGCCCGGUCCCCCCUACGUGUUAUCGAUCCUACUGCCACAACCCUCGGUCCUAUCUGAUCUUAGACUGGGAAUGAACUCCGCAUGCUUAGACUGGGGAUGAACUCCGUAUGCCUAAGUCAACCCACGAAAUGAGCGUGCGGACGCUCAGCCGACCAGAGAGGCAGGAUGCAUAAGCCGGGGAUUGAAUGGGUGGUAGGUGGGUUCAAGAACAUCUUCAUAUUUCUACCGUGCCAAUGCCAUUUUUAUGGCUUGUAAAUUCAUACAAUGGUCCCCUACACCUUCAUGUGAAGUUUCGUGGCAAGACGACCCGUUUUCUAUUUUUCACGAUUUUAAAAAAAUUUUACGGUUUGGGAUUUUUUAAAACUUUUUUAGAAAGAGUUUUGUCCCCAAAUUUUGUAGAGGUGAUCCUUGUAUUUUUUUUUGCAUGCAUAAAAAACUUCAACCAAAAACUCGAAGUGGAGAAGAUUUUGUGACGUUUGAAAAAAGGGUCCCCAUUUCAGACACUUUAAUGGCUACUGGCAACAAACCUAGAAAAUCUCAAAUACUCUUUAAGGGGGUGUAAGUUCAUAAGGUUUGAUGAGGGAUAAGGCACCAAUAUAAGUGCCAAGCACCAGCACCCAUCGCACAUCAUGUGCGCACACCCCCCGGCCCCCCAAUCACUGGAACACCCAAUACCGCCGGUUAAGCUCUCCGAUGAUGCUCCGACGAUGGUGCCCCGAGCAAAAAAAAUGUGGCACCAGCACAUUCCUGAGCCCAGCAUAUGCACCGUGGCUCAAACUCUUAGACUGGGAAUGAACUCCGUAUGCUUAGACAUGGAAUGAACUCCGUAUGCCUAAGCCAACCCAUGAAACGAGCGUACGGGUGCUCUGCAGGCCGGAAAGGCAGAAUGUGCAAGCCAGGGAUCGACCCGAUCCCCCCAUGCAUGCUGUCGAUCCUGCUGCUGGUCCUACUACCAUAACCUUCGAUUCAGCCUGAUCUUAGACUGGGAAUGAACUCCGUAUGCUUAGACAUGAAAUGAACUCCGUAUGCCUAAGCCAACCCAAGAAACGAGUGUGCAGGCGUUCAGCCAACCGGAGAGGUAGAAUCCAUAAGUCGAGGACCGACCCGAUCCCCCCUGCGUGCUGUCAAUCCUACUAUCGCAACCCUCGGUCCGAUCCGAUCUUAAAUUGGGAAUGAACUCCGUAUGCCUAAGUCAACCCACGAAACGAGCGUUCGGGCGUAGAGCCGACUGGAGAGGCAUAAUGUGCUGAGCUGGGGAUCGACCUGGUCCCCCUCUGUGUGCUGCCGACCCGGCUGCCACAACCCUCGAUCCGGCUGGGGCUUAGACAAAGAAUGAACUCCCUAUGCCUAAGCCAACCCACGAAACGGGCGUGCGAGCACUCAGCCGGGGACCGGCCCGAUCCCCCCUGCGUGCUGCCAAUCCUGCUGCCACAACCCUCGAUCCAGUUCGAUCUUAGACUAGGAAUAAACUCCGUAUGCUUAGACUGGGGAUGAACUCCGUAUGCUUAGACUGGGGAUGAACUCCAUAUGACUAAGUCAACCCACGAAACGAGCUUACGGGUGCUCAACCGAUCGGAGAGGCAGAAUGCACAAGUCGGGGAUCAGCUCGGUCCCCCCCGCAUGCUGCAGGUCCUGCUGCCGCAAGCCUCGGUCCGGUCCGAUCUUAGACUGGGAAUGAACUCCAUAUGCUAAGACAUGGAAUGAACUCCCUGUGCCUAAGCCAACCCACGAAACAGGCGUGCGGGCGCUCAGCCGACCGGAGAGGCAGAAUGCACAAGCCAGGGAUCGGUCUGAUCCCCCCUGCGUGCUGUCGAUCCUCCUACCGCAACCCUCGAUCCGAUCUGAUCUUAGGCUGGGAAUGAACUAGGUAUGCUUAGACUGGAGAUGAACUCCAUAUGCCUAAGUCAACCCAUAAAAUGAGCGUGCGGGCGCUCAACCGACCAGAGAGGCAGGAUGCGCAAGCUGGGGAUCGAAAGGGUGGUAGGUGUGUUCAAGCACAUCUUCAUAUUUCUGCCAUGCCAAUGCCAUUCUUAUGGCUUUUAAAUUCAUACAAUGGUCCCCUAAGCCUUCAUGUGAAGUUUCGUGGCGAGACGACCCGUUUUCUACUUUUCACGAUUUUUGAAACUUUUUACGAUUCAGGAUUUUUUAAAAUUUUUUUAGAAGGAGUUUUGUCCCUAAAUUUGGUAGAGGUGAUCCUUGUAUUUUUUUUGGCAUGCAAAAAAAAUUCAGCUAAAAACUCAAAGAGGAGAAGAUUUUGUGACCGUUUGAAAAAAGUGUCUCCAUUUCAGACACUUUAAUAGCUACUGGCAGUAAACCUAUAAAAUCUCAAAUGCUCUUUAAGGGGGUGUGAUUUCUCGAGGUUUGAUGAGGGAUAGGGGGCCAAUAUAAGGGCCAAGUACCAGCACCCAUCGCACAUCAUGUGCGCACACCCCCUCGCCCCCUAAUCGCCGGAACCCGUAAUGCCACUGGUUAGACUCUCCGGCGAUGCUCCGACGAUGGUGCCCUGAACAAAAAAAAUGCGGCACUAGCACAUGCCUGAGCCCAGCAUGUGCACCGUGGCUCAAAAUCUUAGACUGGGAAUGAACUCCGUAUGCUUAGACAUGGAAUGAACUCCGUAUGCCUAAGCCAACCCACGAACUGAACGUGCGGGCGUUUAGCCGGUUGGAGAGGCAGAAUACGUAAGUCGGGGAUCGGCUCGACCCCCCUACGUGCUAUCGAUCUUGCUAUCAUAAACCUCGAUCUGAUCCGAUUUUAGACUGGGAAUGAACUCUGUAUGCAUAAGUCAACCCACGAAACGAACGUGCGGGUGCUGAGCCGGUCGAAGAGGCAUAAUGCGUAAGCCAGGGAUUGGCCUAGUCCCCCUCUACGUGCUGUCGAUCCCGCAGCCACAACCCUCGGUCCGGCUGGGGCUUAGACAUGGAAUGAACUCCCUAUGCCUAAGCCAACCCACGAAACGGGCGUGCGGGCACUCAGUCGAUCGGAGAGGAAGAAUUCGUAAGCCGGGGAUCGGCAAGGUGCCCCCUGCGUGCUACCGAUCUUGCUGUCGCAACCCUCGGUCCAGUCCAAUCUUAGACUAGGAAUGAGCUCCGUAAGCUUAGACUGGGCAUGAACUCCGUAUGCCUAAGUCAACCCAAGAAACGAGUGUGCGGGCAUUCAGCCGACCGGAGAGGCUGGCCGAAAAGGUACAAUGCACAAGCUGAGGAUUAGCCCAAUCGCCCUCUGCGUGCUGCCGAUCCCGCUGCCGGUCCUGCUGCCACAACCCUCGGUCCAACAGGGGUUUAGACGUGGAAUGAACUCCCUAUGCCUAAGCCAACCCACGAAACGGGCGUGUAGGCAUUCAACCGACCGGAGAGGCAAAAUGCGUAAGUCGAGGAUCGGCUCAGUCCCACUGCCACAACCCUCGGUCCGGCUGGAGCUUAGACAUGGAAUGAACUCCGUAUGCCUAAGCCAACCCAUUAAACGAGCGUACGGGCACUCAAUCGGUUAGAGAGGCAGAAUGCGCAAGCCGGGAAUCGGCCUGUCGCCCCCUGCGCACUACCGAUCCUGCUACUGGUCCUACUACCGCAACCCUCGGUCCGGUCUGAUCUUAGACUGGGAAUGAACUCCAUAUGCUUAGACAUGGAAUGAACUUCGUAUGCCUAAGCCAACCCACGAAACUAGCGUACGGGGGCUCAGCCGACCGGAGAGGCAGAAUGCGCAAGUCAGGGACCAGCCUAGUCGCCCCUGCGUGCCAUCGAUCCUGCUGUCGCAACCCUCGAUCUGAUCCGAUCUUAGACUGUGAAUGAACUCCGCAUGCCUAAGCAACCCACGAAAUGAAUGUGCGAGUGCUGAGCCGGUUGGAGAGGCAUAAUGCGUAAGUCGAGGAUCGACCCGGUCCCCUUCUGCGUGCUAUCGGUCCUGCUGCCACAACCCUCGAUCCGGCUGGGGCUUAGACAUGGAAUGAACUCCCUAUGCCUAAACUAACCCAUAAAAUGGGUGUGCGGGCGUUCAACCGAUCGAAGAGGCAGAAUGCGUAAGCUAGGGAUCAAUCCGGUCCCCCCUGUGUGCUAUCGAUCCUGCUGCCGUAACCCUCAGUCUGGUCUGAUCUUAGAUUGGGAAUGAACUCCAUAUGCUUAGACUAGGGAUGAACUCCGUAUGCCUAAGUCAACCCACGAAACGAGCGUGCGGGUGCUCAGCCGACCAUAGAGGCAGGAUGCGUAAGUCGAGGAUCGAACGGGUGGUAGGUGGGUUCAAGCACAUCUUCAUAUUUCUACCAUGCCAAUGCCAUUUUUAUGGCUUGUAAAUUCAUACAAUGAUUCCCUAAGCCUUCAUGUGAAGUUUCGUGGCAAGACGACCCGUUUUCUAUUUUUCACGAUUUUCAAAACUUUUUACAGUUCGGGAUUUUUUAAAAUUUUUUUUGAAAGAGUUUUGAACCCAAAUUUGGUAUAGGUGAUCCUUGUAUUUUUUUUGGCAUGCACAAAAAAACUCAGCUAAAAACUCAAAGUGGAGAAGUUUUUGUGGCCGUUUGAAAAAAGUGUCCCCAUUCACAUUUUGGCUCUGGAGCAAACCUUAAAAUCUCAAAUGCUCAGUGAGUUCUGAGGUUUGACUGAGCAAUAAGGGGGCCAAUAUAAGGCCAAGCAGUACAUCACACAUCAUGUGCGGACACCCGCCCCCCAUCGCAACCAAUCUCCGGUUAGGGCUUCGACGAUUUCCAGUGAUGAUCCGACGAUGGUGCCCGAAAAAAAUGUGGCCCACACAUGCUCGAGCCCAGCAUGUGCACUGUGGCUUAAAAUCUUAGGGUGGGAAUGAACUUCUUGUAUGUCUUAGACAUGGGUGACUCGUAUGCCUAAAGCAAACCCACGAAACGAGCGUGCGGUGCUCAGGCCGGCCGAGAGGUAGAAGGGCGCAAGCUGAGGAUCGGCUCGAUCCUCCCUAAUGUGCCUAGUCCGAUCUUGCUGCCACAACCCUUGGUCUGAUCUGAUCUUAGACUAGGAAUGAACUUCGUAUGCAUAAGUCAACCCACGAAACGAGUGUGCGGGUGCUGAGCCGGCCGAAGAGGCAUAAUGCGCAAGCUGAGGAUCGGCUCGGUCCCCCUCUGCGUGCUGCCAGUCCCGCUGCCACAACCCUUACUCCAGUUGGGGCUUAGACAUGGAAUGAACUCCCUAUACCUAAGCCAACCUAAGAAAGGAACGUGCGGGUGCUCAGUCGGUCGGAGAGACAGAAUAUGCAAGCCAGGGAUCGACCCGAUCCCCCCUGUGUGCUACCGAUCCUGCUGCUGCAACCCUUCGUCCGAAUCAAUCUUAGACUGGGAAUGAACUCCGUAUGCUUAGAUUAGGGAUGAACUCUGUAUGCCUAAGUCAACCCAUGAAACGAGCGUUCGAGUGCUCAGUCGGUCGGGGAGGCCGAUCGGAGAGGUAUAAUGCGUAAGCCAGGAUCGGCUCGGUCCCCCCUGCGUGCUGUCGAUCCUACUACCGUAACCCUCGUCUGGUUCGAUCUUAGAUUGGGAAUGCACUCCGUAUGCCUAAGUCAACCCACGAAACGAGCGUACGGGUAAGCGUUCAGCCGAACAGAGAGGCAGGAUGCGCAAGCCAAGGAUCGAACGGGUGGUAAGUGGGUUCAAGCACAUAUUCAUAUUUUUGCCAUUCCAAUGCCAUUUUUAUGGCCUGUAAAUUCAUACAAUGGUCCCUUAAGCCUUCAUGUGAAGUUUCAUGGCAAGACAACCCGUUUUCUAUUUUUCAUGAUUUUUUAAACUUUUUUUGGUUUGGGAUUUUCUAAAGUUUUUUUAGAAAGAUUUUUGUCCCCAAAUUUGGUAGAGGUGAUCCUUGUAUUUUUAUUGGCAUGCACAAAAAAAUUCAGCUAAAAAAUCAAAAUGGAGAAGAUUUUGUGAUCGUUUGAAAAAAGUGUCCCCAUUUCAGACACUUUAAUGGUUACUGGCAGCAAACCUAUAAAAUCUCAAAUGCUCUUUAAGGGGGUGUGAGUUCUCGAGGUUUGAUGAGGGAUAAGGGUCCAAUAUAAGGGCCAAGUAUCAGCACCCAUUGCACAUUAUGUACGCUCUCCCCCGGCCCCCCCAAUCGUCGGAAACCCCAUUACCGCCGGUUAGGCUCUCCGGCGAUGCUUCGACAAUGGUGCCCCGGGCGAAAAAAAUAUGGCACCAGCACAUGCCCGAGCCCAGCAUGUGCACCGUGGCUCAAAAUCUUAGACUGGGAAUGAACUUCGUAAGCUUAGACAUGGAAUGAACUCCAUAUGCCUAAGCCAAUCCCCGAAACGAGCUUGCGGGUGCUCAAUCGAUCAGAGAGGUAGAAUGUGCAAGCCGGGGAUCAGCCCGGUCCCCCCUGCGUGUUGUUGAUCUUGCUAUUGUAACCCUCAGUCUGGUCCGAUCUUAGACUGGGAAUAAACUUCGUAUGCCUAAGUCAACCCACGAAACGAGCGUGCGGGCGCUGAGCAGGUCAGAGAGGCAUAAUGCGCAAGCCGGAGAUCGGCCCGAUCCCCAUCUACGUGCUGCCUAUCCCGCUGCCACAAUCCUCGGUUCAGCUGGGGCUUAGACAUGGAAUGAACUCCCUAUGCCUAAGCCAAUCCACGAAACGGGCGUGCGGGCACUCAGUCGACCGGAGAGGCAGAAUGUGCAAGUCGGGGAUCGACCCGGUCCCCCCUGCGUACUGUUGAUCCUGCUGCCGCAACCCUCGAUCUGGUCUGAUCUUUGACUGGGAAUGAACUCCGUAUGCUUAGACUGGGGAUGAACUCCGUAUGCCUAAGUCAACCCACGAAACGAGCGUGCGGGCACUCAGCCGACCAGAGAGGCAGGAUGCGCAACCCGAGGAUCGAACGGGUGGUAGGUGGGUUCAAGCCCAUCUUCAUAUUUCUGCCAUGCCAAUGCCAUUUUUAUGGCUUGUAAAUUCAUAAAAUGGUCCCCUACACCUUCAUGUGAAGUUUUGUGGCAAGACGACCCGUUUUCUAUUUUUCAUGAUUUUCAAAACUUUUUACGAUUCGAGAUUUUUUAAAAUUUUUUUAGAAAGAGUUUUGUCUCCAAAUUUGGUAGAGGUGAUCCUUGUAUUUUUUUUGGCUUGCACAAAAAAAUUUAGCUAACAACUCGAAGUGGAGAAGAUUUCGUGACCGUUUGAAAAAAGUAUCCCCAUUUCAGACACUUUAAUGGCUACUACAAACAAACCUAUAAAAUCUCAAAUGCUCUUUAAGGGGGUGUGAGUUCUCGAGAUUUGAUGAGGGAUAGGGGGCCAAUAUAAGGGCCAAGUACCAGCACCCAUCGCACAUCAUGUGCGCACACCCACCCGGCCCCCCAAUCACCGGAACCCCCAAUGCCGUCGGUUAGGCUCUCCGACGAUGCUCCAGCGAUGGUGCCCCAGGCGAAAAAAAUGCGGCACCAGCACAUGCCCAAGCCCAGCAUGUGCACCACGGCUCAAAAUCUUAGACUGGGAAUGAACUCCGUAUGCAUAAGUCAAUUCAUGAAAUGAGCGUACGGGCGAUGAGCCAGUCAAAAAGGCAUAAUGUACAAGCCGGGGAUCAGCCUGGUCCCCCUCUGCAUGCUGCCGAUCCUGCUGCCACAACCAUCGGUCUGGCUAGGGCUUAGACACAAAAUGAACUCCUUAUGCCUAAGCCAACCCACGAAAUGGGCAUGUGGGCGUUCAGUCGGGGAUCGGCCCGGUCCUACCUACGUGCUGCCGAUCCUGCUGUUGCAACCCUUGGUUGAAUCUGAUCUUAGACUGGGAAUGAACUCUGUAUGCUUAGACUGGGGAUGAACUCCGUAUGCCUAAGUCAACCCACGAAACGAGCGUGCAGGUGCUCAACCGGCCGGAUAGGCAUAAUGCGCAAGCCUGGGAUCAACCCGAUCCCUUCUGCGUGCUGUCGAUCCUGCUGUCGCAACCCUCAGUCUAGUUCAAUCUUAGACUAGGAAUGAACUCCUUAUGCAUAAGUCAACCCACGAAACAAGCGUGCGGGCGUUGAGCCGGCCGAAGAGGCAUAAUGCACAAGCCGAGGAUCGACCUGAUCCCCCUCUGUGUGCUACCGAUCCCGCUGCUACAACCCUUGAUCCGGCUGGGAAUUAGACAUGGAAUGAACUCCCUAUGCCUAAGCCAACCCACGAAACGGGCGUGUGAGCGCUCAGUCGACCAGAGAGGUAGAAUGGAGAGGUAUAAUGCGCAAGCCAAGGAUCAAUUCGAUCCGUCUCUGCAUGUUGCCAAUCCCACUGUCGGUCUUGCUGCCAUAACCCUCGGUCCAGCUAGGGCUUAGACAUGGAAUGAACUCCGUAUGCCUAAGCCAACCCACGAAACGAACGUGCGGGUUCUUAGUCGACUGGAGAGGUAGAAUGCGUAAGCCGGGGAUCGGCCCGAUCCUCGCUUGCGUGCUGUCAAUCCUGCUCCUAGUCCUGCUAACGCAACCCUUGGUCCGGUCUGAUCUUAGACUGGGAAUGAACUCCGUAUGCUUAGACAUGGAAUGAACUUCGUAUGCCUAAGCCAACCCAUAAAAUGAGUGUGUGGGCGCUCAGUCGAUCGGAGAGGCCGACUGGAAAGGCAUAAUACGCAAGCUGAGGAUCAGCCCGGUCUGCCUCUAUAAGUUGUCGAUCCCACUGUCGGUCUUGCUGCCAUAACCCUCGGUCCAACUGGGGCUUAGACAUGGAAUGAACUCCGUAUGCCUAAGCCAACCCACAAAACGAGCGUGCAGGCACUUAGCCGACCGAAGAGGCAGAAUGCGCAAGCCGGGGAUCGACCCGAUCCUCCAUUAUGUGCUGCCGAUCCUGCUGCUCGUCCUGCUAGCGCAACCCUCGGUCCAAUCCGAUCUUAGACUAGGAAUCAACUCCGUAUGCUUAAACUAGGGAUGAACUUCGUAUGCCUAAGUCAACCCACAAAAUGAGCAUGCGGGCGCUCAACCGAUCAGAAAGGUCGACAGGAGAGGCACAAUAUGCAAGCCGAGGAUCGGCCCGAUCCCCUCUUGCGUGCUGUCGAUCCUGCUGCUGGUCCUGCUGCCGUAACCCUCGGUCCAGUCCGAUCUUAGACUAGAAUGAACUCCGUAUGCUUAGACAUGUAAUGAACUCUGUAUGCCUAAGCCAACCCACGAAAUGAGGGUACGGGCACUCAACCGAUCGGAGAGGUAGAAUGCACAAUCCAGGGAUCGGCUCAGCUCCCCCUGCAUGCUAUCGAUCCUACUGUCGCAACCCUCGAUCCGAUCCGAUCUUGGACUGGGAAUGAACUUCGUACGCCUAAGUCAACCCACGAAACGAGCAUGCGGGUACUGAGCCGACCAGAGAGGCAGAAUGCGCAAGCCAGCGAUCGGCCCGAUCCCCCCUGCGUGCUGCCGAUCCUGCUACCGCAACCCUCGAUCCAGUUUGAUCUUAGACUGGGAAUGAACUCCAUAUGCUUAGACUGGGGAUCAACUCCGUAUGCCUAAGUCAACCCAUGAAACAAGCAUGCGGGCCCUCAAUGGGUUUGAGAUGCAGAAUGCGCAAGCUAGGGAUCGGUUCGGUCCCUUCCUGCGUGCUAUUGAUCCUACUGCUGGUCCUGCUACCGUAAGCCUCAAUCCUGUCCGAUCUUAGACUGGGAAUGAACUCCGUAUGCUUAGACAUGGAAUGAACUCCGUAUGCCUAAGUCAACCCACGAAACGAGCGUGUGGGCGCUGAGCCAGCCGGAGAGGCAUAAUGCGCAAGCCUGGGAUCGGCCUGAUCCCCCUCUACGUGCUGUCAAUCCCGCUGCCACAACCCUCGAUCCAGCUGGGGCUAAGACAUGGAAUGAACUCCCUAUGCCUAAGCCAACCCACAAAACGGGCGUACGGGUGCUCAACCGGCUGGAGAGACAGAAUGCACGAAUCGGGGAUCGACUUGGUCCCCCUCUGCAUGCUGUCUGUCCCGCUGCCAUAACCCUCAGUCCGACUAGGGCUUAGACACGGAAUGAACUCCUUAUUCCUAAGCUAACCCACAGAACAGGUAUACGGGUGCUCAGCCGGCUGAAGAGGUAAAAUGCGCAAGCCGGGGAUCGGGCCGAUCCCUCCUGCAUGCUGUCGAUCAUACUGUUGCAACCCUCGAUCUAGUCCAAUCUUAGACUGGGAAUGAACUUCGUAUGCUUAGACUGGGAAUGAACUUCGUAUGCUUAGACUGGGGAUGAACUCCGUAUACCUAAGUUAACCCAUGAAACGAGCGUUCGGAUGCUCAGCCGACCAGAGAGGCAUGGUGCACAAGCCGAAGAUCGAACGGGUGGUAGGUGGGUUCAAGCACAUCUUUAUAUUUCUACGGUGCCAAUGCCAUUUUUUGGCUUGUAAAUUCAUACAAUGGUCCCCUAUGCCUUCAUGUGAAGUUUUGUGGCAAGAUGACCCGUUUUUUUUUUUUCACGAUUUUUGAAACUUUUUACGGUUAAGGAUUUUUUAAAAUUUUUUUAGCAAGAGUUUUAUCCCCAAAUUUGGUAGAGGUGAUCCUUGUAUUUUUGUUGGCAUGCACAAAAAAAUUCAGCUAAAAACUCCAAGUGUAGAAGAUUUUGUGACCAUUUGAAUAAAGUGUCCCCAUUUCAGACACUUUAAUGGCUACUGGCAGCAAACCUAUAAAAUCUCAAAUGCUCUUUAAGGGGGUGUGAGUUCUCAAGGUUUGAUGAGGGAUAGGGGCCCAAUAUAAGGGCAAAGUACCAACACCCAUCGCACAUCAUGUGCGCACACCCCCUGGCCCACCCAACGUCGGAACCCCCAAUGCUGUCAGUUAGGCUCUCCGAUGAUGCUCCGACGAUGGUGCCCCAUGCGAAAAAAAGUGGCAUCAGCACAUGCCUGAUCCCAGCAUGUGCACCAUGGCUCAAAAUCUUAGACUGGGAAUGAACUCCGUAUGCUUACACAUGGAAUGAACUCAGUAUGCCUAAGUCAACCUACGAAACGAGCGUACGAGCGCUCAGUCGGUCGGAGAGGUAGAAUGCGCAAGCCGAGGAUCGGCUCGGUCCCCUCUACGUCUGCCAGUCCCGCUACCACAACCCUCAGUCUGGCUGGGGCUUAGACAUGGAAUGAACUCGCUAUGCCUAAGCCAACCCACGAAACCGGACGUGCGGGCGCUCAGCCGACCGGAGAGGCAGAAUGCAGAAGCCAGGGAUCGGCUCGGUUUCCCCUGCUUGCUACCGAUCUUGCUGUCGUAACCCUCGGUCCGUUUCGAUCUUAGACUGGGAAUGAAUUCCGUAUGCUUAGAUGGAGGAUGAACUCCGCAUGCCUAAGUCAACCCAUGGAACAGCGUGCAGUACUCAGCUAACCGAAGAGACAGAAUGCGUAAGCUGGGGACUGCCCGGACCCCCCCUCCGUGCUGUCGAUCCUACUGCUGGUCCAGCUACCGCAAGCCUCGAUCCGGUCCGAUCUUAGACUAGGAAUGAACUCCGUAUGCUUAGACAUGGAAUGAACUCCGUAUGCCUAAGCCAACCCAUGAAACGAGCGUAUGAGCGCUCAGCUAGUCGGAGAGGCAGAAUGCACAAGCCGGGGAUCGACCCGGUCCUCCUUUUCAUGCUGUUGAUCCUCCUGUUGGUCUUACUGCCGUAAGCCUCGAUCUGGUCCGAUCUUAGACUGGGAAUGAACUCCGAAUGCUUAGACAUGGAAUGAACUCCGUAUGCCUAAUCCAACCCACAAAAUGAACGUGUGAGCGUUCAGCCAGCCGGAGAGACAGAAUUGCGUAAGUCAGGGUCCGGUCUGGUCCCCCCUACGUGCUGUCAAUCCUGCUAUCGUAACCCUCAGUCCGGUCUGAUCUUAGAUUGGGAAUGAACUCCAUAUGCCUAAGUCAACCCAUGAAACGAGCGUUCGGGUGCUGAGCCGACUGGAGAGGCAUAAUGCGCAAGCCAGAGAUCGACUCGGUCCGACUGCCACAACCCUCGGUCCAGUUGGGGCUUAGACAUGGAAUGAACUCCCUAUGCCUAAGCCAACCCACGAAAAGGGAGUGCGGACGCUCAGCUGGCCGAAAAGGUAGAAUACGUAAGCCGAGGAUCGGCCUGAUCCCCUCUGCAUGCUGCCGAUCCUGCUGCUGCAACCCUUGGUCCAAUCUGAUCUUAGACUAGGAAUGAACCCCUAUGCUUAGAUUGGGGAUGAACUCUGUAUGCCUAAGUCAACCCACGAAACGAGCGUGCGGGUGCUCAGCUGGUCGGAGAGGCAGAAUGCGCAAGCCGGGGAUCGACCCAGUCCCCCCCUGCGUGCUGUCAAUCUUGCUAUCGCAACCCUCGGCCCGGUCCGAUCUUAGACUAAGAAUGAACUUCGUAUGCCUAAGUCAACCCAUGAAAUGAGCGUUCGGGCACUAAGCCGACCGGAGAGGCAUAAUGCGCAAGCUGGGGAUCGGCCCGGUCCCCCUCUGCGUGCUGUCAGUCCCGCUACCAUAACCCUCGAUCCGGUUGGGGCUUAGACAUGGAAUGAACUCCCUAUGCCUAAGCCAACCCACGAAACGGGUGUGCGAGCGCUCAGCCGGUCAGAGAGGUAGAAUGCGUAAGCCGGGGAUCGGUCCGAUCCCACCUGUAUGCUGCCGAUCCUGCUGUCGUAACCCUCGAUUCGGUCUGAUCUUAGACUGGGAAUGAACUCCGCAUGCUUAGACUAAGGAUAAACUCCGUAUGCCUAAGUCAACCCAUGAAACGAGCGUGCGAGCGCUCAGCAGGCCAGAGAGGUCGGCCGGAGAGAUAUAAUGCACAAGCCAGGGAUUAGCCCGGUCCCCUUCUACGUGCUGCCGAUCCCCCUGUCAGUCCUGCUGCCACAACCCUCGGUCUGACUGGGGCUUAGACCUGGAAUGAACUUCGUAUACCUAAGCCAACCCAUGAAACAAGCGUGCGAGCGCUCAACCGGCCGUAAAGGCAAAAUACGCAAGUCAGGGAUCGGCCUGGUCCCCCCUGCAUGCUGUUGAUCCUGCUGUCGCAACCCUCGGUCCGAUCCGAUCUUAGACUGGGAAUGAACUCCAUAUGCUUAGACAUGGAAGGAACUCCGUAUGCCUAAGCCAAUCCACGAAACGAGCGUGCGGGUGCUCAACAGGCCAGAGAGGCAGAAUGCGUAAGCCUGGGAUCGGUCUGAUCCCUCCUGCGUGCUGUCAACCCUGCUACCGCAACCCUUGAUCCGGUCUGAUCUUAGAUUGGGAAUGAACUCUGUAUUCCUAAGUUAACCACAAAACGAGCGUUCGAGCGCUGAGUUGAUCUGAGAGGCAUAAUGCACAAGCCGGAGAUCAGCUCGGUCCCCCUUUACGGGCUACCGGUCUCGCUACCACAACCCUCCAUUUGACUGGGGCUUAGACAUGGAAUGAACUCCCUAUGCCUAAGCCAACCCAAGAAACGGGCUUACGGGCGCUCAACCGGUCGGAUAGGCAGAAUGCGCAAGUCGAGGAUCAGCCUGGUUCCCCCUGCAUGUUAUCGAUCCUACUGCCGUAACCCUUGAUCCGAUCCGAUCUUAGACUAGGAAUGAACUUCGUAUGCAUAGACUAGGGAUGAACUCCGUAUGCCUAAGUCAACCCAUGAAACGAGCGUGCGGGCGCUCAGCCGGUCGGAGAGGCCGACCGGAGAAACAUAAUGCACAAGUCGAGGAUCAGCCCGAUCCCCCUCUGCACGCUGUCGAUCCCGCUGCCGAUCCCGCUGCCGAUCCUGCAGCCACAACCUUCGGUCCAACUGGGGCUUAGACAUGGAAUGAACUCCGUAUGCCUAAGCCAACCCACGAAAUGAGCAUACAAGCACUUACCCGAUCGGAGAGGCAGAAUGCGCAAGCCAGGGAUCGGCUCAGUCCCCCCUACGUGCUACUGAUCCUGCUGCUGGUCCUGCUGUCGUAACCCUCUAUCCGGUCUGAUCUUAGACUGGGAAUGAACUCCAUAUGCUUAGACAUGGAAUGAACUUCGUAUGCCUAAGCCAACCCACAAAACGAGGGUGCGGGUGCUCAGCCGGUCAGAGAGACAGAAUGCGUAAGCCGGGGAUCGACCCGGUCCCCCCUACAUGCUGUCGAUCCUACUGUCGCAACCCUUAGUCCGAUCCGAUCUUAGACUGGGAAUGAACUCCGUAUGCCUAAGUCAACUCAUGAAACGAGCGUGCGGGCGUUGAGCCAGCCGAAGAGGCAUAAUGCGCAAGCCUGGGAUCGGCCCGAUCCCCCUCUACGUGCUGUCAGUCCCGCUGCCACAACCCUCAGUUCGGCUGGGGCUUAGACAUGGAAUGAACUCCCUAUGCCUAAGCUAACCCACGAAACGGGCGUACGGGCGCUCAACCGGCUGGAGAGAUAGAAUGCACAAAUCUUAGACUGGGAAUGAACUCCGUAUGCUUAGACAAGGAAUGAACUCCGUAUGCUUAGACAAGGAAUGAACUCCGUAUGCCUAAGCCAACCCACGAAACGAGCGUGCGGGCACUCAACCGAUUGAAAAGGCAGAAUGUGCAAGCUGGGGAUCGGCCCAAUCCUCCCUACGUGCUAUCGAUCCUGCUGUCGUAACCCUCGGUCUGAUUCGAUCUUAGACUGGGAAUGAACUCUGUAUGCAUAAGUCAACCCACGAAAUGAGCGUACGGGCACUGAGCCGAUCGAAGAGGCAUAAUGUGCAAGCCGGGGAUCGGCCUGAUCCCCCUCUGUGUGAUGCCGAUCCCGCUGCCACAACCCUCGGUUCGACUGGGGCUUAGACAUGGAAAGAACUUCCUAUGCCUAAGCCAACCCACGAAAUGGGUGUACGGGCACUCAGCCGGUUAGAGAGGCAGAAUGCACAAUCCGAAGAUCGAUCCGAUCCCCCCUGCGUGCUACCGAUCCUGCUACAGCAACCCUCGAUCCGGUCCAAUCUUAGACUGGGAAUGAACUCGGUAUGCUUAGACUGGGGAUGAACUUCGUAUGCCUAAGUCAAGCCAUAAAACCAGUGUGCGAGCGCUCAGUCGACCAAAGAGGCAGGAUGCACAAGCCGGAGAUCGAACGGGUGGUAGGUGGGUUCAAGCACAUCUUCAUUUUUUUGCCAUGCCAAUGCCAUUUUUAUGGCUUGUAAAUUCAUACGAUGGUCCCCUAAGCCUUCAUGUGAAGUUUCGUGGCAAGGCGACCCGUGUUCUAUUUUUCACGAUUUUUGAAACUUUUUUGGUUUGAGAUUUUUUAAACUUUUUUUAGAAAGAGUUUUGUCCCCAAAUUUGGUAGAGGUGAUCUUUGUAUUUUUUUGGCAUGCACAAAAACAUUCAGCUAAAAACUCGAAGUGGAGAAGAUUUUGUGACCGUUUGAAAAAACUGUCCUCAUUUCAGACACUUUAAUGGCUACUGGCAGCAAACCUAUAAAUCUCAAAUGCUCUUUAAGGGGGUGUGAGUUCUCGAGGUUUAAUGAGGGAUAGGGGGCCAAUUUAAGGGCCAAGUACCAGCACCCAUUGCACAUCUUGUGCGCACACCCGCCCGGCCUCCCCCAAUCGUCAGAACCCCCAAUGCUGUCGGUUAGGCUCUCCGACGAUGCUCCGGCGAUGCUCCGACGAUGGUGCCCCACGUAAAAAAAAUAUGACACCAGUACAUGCUCGAGCCUAGCAUGUGCACCGUGGCUCAAAAUCUUAGACUGGGAAUGAACUCCGUAUGCUUAGACAUGGAAUGAACUCCGUAUGCCUAAGCCAACCCACGAAACGAGCGUGCAGGCGCUCAACCGACCGGAGAGGCAGAAUGCGCAAGCCGGGGAUCAGCCCGAUCCCCUUCUGCAUGCUGUCGAUCCCGCUGCCACAACCCUCGGUCCGACUGGGGCUUAGACAUGGAAUGAACUCCCUAUGCCUAAGCCAACCCACGAAACGGACGUGCGGGCGCUUAGCUGGUCGGAGAGACAGAACGUGCAAGUCGAGGAUCAGCUCGGCCCCCCCUGCGUGCUACCAAUCCUGCUGUGGUAACCCUCGGUCCGGUUCGAUCUUAGACUGGGAAUGAACUCCGUAUGCUUAGACUGUGGAUGAACUCCGUAUGCCUAAGUCAACCCACGAAACGAACGUGCGGGCGUUCAACCGACCGGAGAGGCUAGUCGAAGAGGCAGAAUGUGCAAGUCGGGGAUCGACCCGGUCCCCCUGCGUGCUAUCGAUCCUACUGCUGGUCCUGCUGUCGUAACCCUCGGUCCGGUCCAAUCUUAGACUGGGAAUGAACUCCUUAUACUUAGACAUGAAAUGAACUCCGUAUGCCUAAGCUAACCCACGAAACGAGCGUGCAGGCGCUCAGUCGGUCGGAGAUUAAAAUGCGCAAGUCGGGGACCGGCCUGGUCCCCCCCUGCGUGCUGUCGAUCCUACUACCGCAACUCUUGGUCCGAUCCGAUCUUAGACUAGGAAUGAACUCCGUAUGCCUAAGUCAACCCACGAAAUGAGCGUUCGGGUGCUGAGCCGGCCGGAGUGGCAUAAUACGCAAGCCGAGGAUUGACCCGAUCCCCCUCUGAGUGCUAUCGAUCCCACUGCCACAACCCUCGGUCCGGUUGGGGCUUAAACAUGGAAUGAACUCCCUAUGCCUAAGAUAACCCAUGAAAUGUGCGUACAGGCACUCAACCGGUCAGAGGGGCAAAAUGCAUAAACCGAGGAUCGGCCUGGUCCCUCUACGUGCUGUCGAUCCUACUGCGGUAACCCUCGGUCCGGUCUGAUCCGAUCUUAGAUUGGGAAUGAACUCCGUAUGCUUAAACUGGGAUGAACUCCGUAUGUCUAAGUCAACCCACGAAAUGAGCGUGCGGGCACUCAGCCUGUCGAAGAGGUCGGUUGGAGAGGAAGAAUGCGCAAGCCGGGGAUCGACCCGAUCCCCCCUGCGUGCUGUCUAUCCUGUUGCUGGUCCUGCUGCCGCAACCCUCGAUCCGAUCCGAUCUUAAACUGGAAAUGAACUCUAUAUGUUUAGACAUGGAAUGAACUCUGUAUCCCUAAGCCAACCCACGAAACGAGCGUAUGGGUGCUUAACCGAUCGAAGAGGCAGAAUGCGUAAGUCAGGGAUCGGCCCGGUCCCCCUUACGUGCUGUCGAUCCUGCUACCGCAACACUCGAUCCGGUCUGAUAUUAGACUAGGAAUGAACUCCGUAUGCCUAAGUCAACCCAUGAAACGAGCAUUCGGGCACUGAGCCAGUCGGAAAGGCAUAAUGCGCAAGUCGGGGAACGACCCGGUCCCCCUCUGUAUGAUGUCGGCCCCGUUACCACAACCUUCGAUCCGACUGGGGCUUAGACAUGGAAUGACCUCUCUCUGCCUAAGCCGACCCAUGAAACAGGCGUACGGGUGCUCAGCCAGCCGAAAAGGUGUAAUACGCUAGCUGGGGAUUAGCCCGAUCCCCCUCUGCAUGCUGUCGAUCCCACUGUCGGUCCUGCUGCUACAACCUUCGAUCCGACUGGGGCUUAGACAUGGAAUGAACUCCGUAUGCCUAAGCCAACCCACGAAACGAGCGUGCGGGUGCUCAGUCGAUCGGAGAGGCAGAAUGCGCAAGCUGGGGAUCGGCCCGGUCCCCCCCGGUGUACUAUCGAUCUUGCUACUAGUCCUGCUGUCGUAACCCUCGGUCCAAUCCGAUCUUAGAUUGGGAAUGAAAUCCGUAUGCUUAGACAGGGAAUGAACUCCGUAUGCCUAAGCCAACCCACGAAACGAGCGUGCGGGCGCUCAACCGAUCGGAGAGGCAGAAUGCGCAAGUCGGGGAUCGACUAGGUACCCCUCUGCGUGCUGUCAAUCCUGCUGUCGCAACCCUCGGUCCGGUAUGAUCUUAGACUAGGAAUGAACUCCGUAUGCCUAAGUCAACCCACGAAAUAAGCAUGCGGGCAUUGAGCCGACCGGAGAGACAUAAUGCGCAAGCCGAGGAUCGACGCGAUCUCCCUCUACGUGUUGCCGAUCCCGCUGCCACAACCCUCAGUUCGAUUGGGGCUUAGACAUGGAAUGAACUCCCUAUGCCUAAGCCAACCCAUGAAAAGAGCGUGUGGGCACUCAGCCGGCCGGAGAGGCAGAAUACGCAAGUCGAGGAUCGACCCAGUCCCCCCUGCGUGCUGUCGAUCAUGCUGCCGCAAGCCUCGAUCUGAUUCGAUCUUAGAUUGGGGAUGAACUCCGUAUGCCUAAGUCAACCCGCGAAACGAGCAUGCGGGAGCUCAACCGAUCGGAGAGGCCGAUCGGAGAGGCAGAAUGAGCAAGUCGAGGACCGGUCCAGUCCCCCAUGCGUGCUAUCGAUCCUACUACCGCAACCUUCGAUCCGGUCUGAUCUUAGACUGGAAAUGAACUCCGUAUGCUUAGACUGGGAUGAACUUCGUAUGCCUAAGUCAACCCACGAAAUGAGCGUGCGGACGCUCAGUCGACAAGAGAGGCAGGAUGCGUAAGCCGGGGAUCGAAUGGGUGGUAGGUGGGUUCAAGCACAUCUUCAUAUUUCUGGUGUGCCAAUGCCAUUUUUAUGGUUGUAAAUUCAUACAAUGGUCCCCUAAGGCUUCAUGUGAAGUUUCGGGGCAAGACGACCCGUUUUCUAUUUUUAAAGAUUUUUGAAACUUUUUACGGUUUGAGAUUUUUUAAAAUUUUUUUAGAAAGAUUUUUGUCCCCAAAUUUGGUAGAGGUGAUCCUUGUAUUUUUGUUGGCAUGCACAAAAACAUUCAGCUAAAAACUCGAAGUGGAGAAGAUUUUGUGACCGUUUGAAAAAAGUGUCCCCAUUUCAAACACUUUAAUGGCUACUGGCAGCAAACCUAUAAAAUCUCAAAUGCUCUUUAAGGGAGUGUGAGUUCUCGAGGUUUGAUGAGGGAUAGGGGGCCAAUAUAAGGGCCAAGUACUAGUACCCAUCGCACAUCAUGUGCGCACACCCUCCCGGCCCCCCUAAUCGCCGGAACCCCCAAUGUCGUCGGUUAGGCUCUCUGGCGAUGCUUCGACGAUGGUGCCCUGGGCGAAAAAAAUGUGGCACCAGCACAUGCCCGAGCCCAGCAAGUGCACCGUGGCUCAAACUCUUAGACUGGGAAUGAACUCCGUAUGCUUAGACAUGGAAUGAACUCCGUAUGCCUAAGCCAACCCACGAAACGAGCGUAUGGGCGCUCAGCCGAUCGGAGAGGCAGAAUGCGUAAUCCGAGGAUCGGCCCGGUCCCUCCCUGUGUGCUGUCGAUCCUGCUGCUGCAACCCUCGGUCCGGUUUGAUCUUAGACUGGGAAUGAACUCCGUAUGCCUAAGUCAACUCACGAAACGAGCGUGCGAGCGCUGAGCCGGUUGGAAAGGCAUAAUGCGCAAGUCAGGGAUCGUCCCAGUCCCCCUCUGCGUGCUGUCGGUCCCGCUGCCAUAACCCUCGGUCUGGUUGGGGCUUAGACAUGGAAUGAACUCCCUAUGCCUAAGCCAACCCAUGAAACGGGCGUGUGGGGGCUCAGCUGGCCGAAAAGGCAGAAUACGCAAGCCGGGGAUCAACUCGGUCCCCCCUGCGUGCUGUCGAUCUUGCUGUCGCAGCCCUCGAUCCGGUCUGAUCUUAGACUGGGGAUGAACUCCGUAUACCUAAGUCAACCCACGAAACGAGCGUGCGGACGCUCAGCCGACCAAAGAGGCAGGAUGCGCAAGCCGGGGAUCAAACGGGUGGUAGGUGGGUUCAAGGACAUCUUCAUAUUUCUGUCAAGCCAAUGCCAUUUUUAUGGCUUGUAAAUUCAUACGAUGGUCCCCUAAGCCUUCAUGUGAAGUUUCGUGGCAAGACGACCCGUUUUUUAUUUUUCACGAUUUUUGAAACUUUUUACGGUUUGGGAUUUUUUAAAUUUUUUUAAAAAGAGCUUUGUCCCCAAAUUUGGUAGAGGUGAUCCUUGAUUUUUGUUGGCAUGCACAAAAAAAUUCAGCUAGAAACGCGAAGUGGAGAAGAUUUUGUGACCGUUUGAAAAAAGUGUCCCCAUUUCAGACACUUUAAUUACUACUGGCAGCAAACCUAUAAAAUCUCAAAUGCUCUUUAAGUGGGUGUGAGUUUCGAGGUUUGAUGAGGGAUAAAGGGUCAAUAUAAGGGCCAAGUUUCAACACCCAUCGCACAUCAUUUGCGCACAGCCCCCGGCCCCCCCAAUCGUCGGAACCCCCAAUGCCGCCGGUUAGGCUCUCUAACGAUGCUCCGGUGAUGGUGCCCCGAGCAAAAAAAAUGCUGCACCAGCACAUGCCCAAGCCCAGCAUGUGCACCGUGGCUCAAACUCUUAGACUGGGAAUGAACUCCGUAUGCUUAGACAUGGAAUAAACUCUGUAUGCCUAAGCAAACCCACGAAACGAGCGUGCGGGCGCUCAACCGGGUGGAGAGACAGAAUGCGCAAGCCGGGGAUUGGCCCAAUCCCCCUCUGUGUGCUGCCGGUCCCGCUGCCACAACCCUCGGUCCGGCUGGGGCUUAAACAUGGAAUGAACUCCGUAUUCCUAAGCCAACCCACGAAACGGGCGUGCGGGCGCUCAGCCAGUCGGAGAGGCCGGCCGGAGAGGCAUAAUGCGCAAGCCGGGGAUUAGCCCGGUCCCUCUUUGCGUGCUGUCGAUCCCGCUACCGGCCUUACUGCUACAACCCUUGGUCUAACUGGGGCUUAGACAUGGAAUGAACUCCGUAUGCCUAAGCUAACCCACGAAACGAGCGUGAUAGCACUCAGCCGGCCGGAGAGGCAGAAUGCGCAAGCCGGGGAUCGGCUCGAUCCCCCUUGCGUGCUGUCGAUCCUGCUGCCGCAACCCUUGGUCUGGUCCAAUCUUAGACUGGGAAUGAACUUCGUAUGCUUAGACAUGGAAUGAACUCCGUAUGCCUAAGCCAACCCACGAAACGAGCGUGCGGGCGCUCAGCCGAUUGGAGAGGCAGAAUGCACAAGCCAGGGACCGACCGGGUGCCCCCUACGUGCUGUCGAUCCUGCUGCUGCAACCUUCGAUCCAGUUUAAUCUUAGACUGGAAAUGAACUCCGUAUGCCUAAGUUUCCUCGUGUUAGCGAAACUGGAACUGAAAUAGCCUCGGGUAAUUCAAUUGUUUCAGUUCCUGUGACCAGGCUUUCUCUCCGGUGAUAUUGAAUCUCUUGGAGUAAGAUCAGUAGGAGGAGCUCACCCCAGGCAAGCUACUUAUUAAUUAGAACCCGGAUAAGUCCGAUGGAAAUGAAUUGAAAAAGAAAAGUAUGUUCUCACGGGCUAGGCUAAGCCAGAAAGAGAAAGAGAAUGCUAAAGUAAAGACUAGUUAAAGAAGAAGGCGAGCUAGCAGAUGAGAUAAGCGUAAAAAUUCACCCGAGUAAGGCCACCCGAGUAAGGCCGACUUAAAGUGGAUAUAGUUGAUCCCGUUAAAAGGGGUUCUCUCUCUUGAUUAAGUCAUUUCUACUGGCUCAAGCCCAAGGUGAGAAAGACCAGGGGUAACCACCCUUUCUAAAGCGAACGAAUGGAACUAAACUACUAGCAAUCUAUGGGAAUGAUUAAAUAAGUCCGAUUCCUCUCGGCGGCACUCUGCUCAUGGUUUGUUGGUAAGGAAGUUGAAUGUGAACAAGGAAUAAGCAGUCUUAGCAGCAGUUACCGUUGAAGGAAGGGAAGACAGCUAACCGCCUUGUAGGCUACGUUCUUAAGUAAUCCCACGCUCAAACCCUAUAACCCAAAAGUAGAGAGUAAAGCUACGUUCUAACCUCUAGUGCUGGUGUAUGAGUCUAUCCCUCUAACCUGGAGCUGUCGUAUCCCCUCGUUGUAGUAGGAGAACCAGUCCACUCUCUAACCCUCAUCUAACGCUCUAACCUUUCGUCGCUGUAAGUAAUUCCCUCUAACCCUUCCUUUAGCCUACUUUCUAUCCCGCUAGCAAGGAAGCCACAAACUCAUAUCCCUAGCCCGCUAAUCCAUCGUUCUAUGGUCACCCUUUUGCGGAAGUAGGGUAAGGUGAUUCAAAGUAAGCUAGAGAAAGCUAUCCUGUAAGCUAGCCUUGUAUGAGUAGGAGUAGGAGUAGGAGUCAGCCAGUGAGUCUCCCCCUGGUUCUAGAGUGAGCAAGGUUAUAGAGUAAUUCCGAGCUAGAGGAAGCAAGUAAGGAAGAAAGAGGAGCUAUUUUACGUAAUUCCCUGCCCGAGUAAGCCUCAUGUUAUUUGUUGGAAGCGGGUGGAGGGUAUAGUUCUAUUUUACAGUCCCCAGUUCUGGAGGAAGGAUUGGUACGCAGUCCCUCGUGCUAUCGGUUAUAGAGUCAGAGUUGGGAAGUCCCAGGUUCUGGAGGCAUUAAGCAAAUCAGCUAACCCAGGUGCUAGAGGUUCUUAAUCCCAGUAGAUAAAUAAGUAAGCUAGUCUCAGGUAAGCAAGGUGAGAGGAAAAGGCUUAAGGCAACCCAGGUGCGAGAGUCUUGAGUACGCUACUGAGUAAGGGGAUUCUUCAUAGAGCUAGAAAGCUUUUAGAGGUAAUCCCUGGGCCAGCCAAUGAGUAUGCCAGUUGAUGACUCCCCAGGAGAUAUUGAAUUCGAAGGAAAAAAGGGAAGACAGAAGGAAGGAUUGGACUGGUGCUAUAGCUUUCCGAGCUAGAGGAUAUAAAAAGAGUAUUGAGUCAGCCAAUGAUUAGCGAGCAAGCAAGCCAAGCCGCUUGGAAAGGGUCACGGAAGUAGGGGACCGAAGCUAGCGAAGUGAACCGUUAUAAACCGGGGUAUAAAUAACAACAAGUCAGGCAUGAAAGCCAAGUGAAGUGACCAGAGGUUUAGGGUGCGGUGCCAAUUCUUAAGAGUGGUGUGAGGCAGUGAGCUAGCCCGCUACAGAUGAUUGCUGCCUUGCACUUCCAACCGGAAGAUAAGAUGCCAGGGUCAAAUGACUUAAAAAACCCGAUUAUUUGCACAGAUCUGCUAAAAUAAAAAAGCCGAUUUGAGAUCGGAAAGGCAACAUCUAUCGCAAACCUUAAACUCGUGAUUGAACUAAAGAAAUGAGGCCAUGAAUAAGGUUUUUCUCACUACACGAGUAAGAAUUUACUAGCCGCCUACUCUAUAUCUAUAAAGAUAGACGGAUUUCGCCUGCCACUCUACCGAGCUAACCAGGGCGGAUGAGCAUCUAUUUCAAGAAAGGAUUGAACAAGGUGUACUUUGUGAAGCGGCUAUCGGCUUUAAGAGCACCACGUUAACGCCUAGCCUAUUACCUUUACUUAACAACACUACUUCUCCUUCCCCUCUUUCCUGUGCUAGCAAGAAGGAAAAAGAAGGAAAUCUAACUCAUUUGUUGGUAGAGCUCUUAGAGUCCUACUUCAAGGCAGUUCCUUAGUUAAAGCAAGGAGAGCACCUCUAACUGAAUUCGGACUAAGAGAUUACACUCACUCAGCUAGCUCUUAAGAAAGUCUUAAGUUAGUUUAGUCAUUCUUACUUCCUUUAGUCGGUAAGAAAGGAAGCUCAUUAGUCCUAGUCCUAAUAGUCAGACAAAGCAGCAGACAGGCAGGGAAAUAAGCUCAAACAUGCUAUUAGUCUAACAGAGCAAGUAAUAAGAGCAGGUAAAGCAAAGAGGAUUAAAAUGACGAGGAGCUGGCAAGGCGGAAAACUUGGAUGAUGGAGCACGAGUUGCUGACGGUAAGCAUAGGCACUCGAGCAAACCUAAAUAGCAUCGAAGAGUAUUGGUCAGAUAAUGACUAGCCUUUUCGAUUAGGUUAAAACCAGACAUUCCUUUCUCAUGUUUUAUGAUCACUCACACUGCUCAUAUGUGAACAUUCCUAACAGCGGAUCAGCGACAAGACCGGUUAUUCACUCUAUCUCUUAAUCCGUCGAAUAGGAAGUCUGUCUCUCGUUCUAUGAGGGCGAGUGAAUCUUUUUCUAGGUGGAGAACCAUUCCUUUAUUGAGGUGCAGGGCGCUAAGGCUUUGCAUUCUCUUUGUAUGAAAAUGAGACUCACUCCCGCUAGUCUUUUACGUUGUCCCGUACUUUCUCCUUGUAAAACUGUCGAUCGGUAUGGACCUAUCCUAUGUCCGUCCUGGUGAAGUUUCUCCCGAGCGAAGUGACUUCCUUUGUGUGUGACUUGAGGAUGGUUCUUGCAUUCUUUCCUAGUUUUCUUUUUUUCGGGUAUCAUUCCCAUUUUUCGAAGUUGGCUAAGAGCCCUUUCCUUCUUUCCGGGAUUGAAGUGCCUGCCCGCCCGGCUGGGCUCUUAACUCGACGAAAGAACCUCUUUUUCGUUUCGAACCUUCAGUGAGCGAGUACUUUGUUCUAUCUUUUUAGUCUUGCAGUAGUAAGGUUCAUCUUAUUUUCCCUUAGUCCUAAGGGUUUCAUCUCAAGCAUUCCAAAUCCGCAUCUGUUGUCAGAAUGGCUACUAGAAGGUAGGAGUUCUCAUACCCAGUUAAUUGAUGAAGGAAAGGAGUUGUACCGCCUACUCCUGCCCUUACUAAUGGGAAAUAAGUUACUUGCUUGACUAAUUCUUUCGAAAAUGUCAGUCUAUUGGUCCUAUCUAAUGUCAUGUCAAACCUGAAAACAGAACAUCGCAUUCCCUUAUUCCCGCGAGUAAACUACCCCGCUCCUUGCUUGGAUAAGAAGAGAAAGGCUUCAUUUAGAAGUUGUUUUUCUAGGUUUUUCGUCAUAGAAGGGGUAGAAGGAGCCCUCAUACCCGCUCUCCUCCUCCACCCCAUACCUGAAUAGAUAUAGGGUGGCCUCGCCUUACCUUAGAAGGCUACAGAAGAGAAAAAGGUGAAGCCCACCUUGUAGGGGCUUUCCCCAGACCUCUGUCCGGCCUAAGGACCGUCUCUAAGUUAGAGCUCCUGUCUCCUCACUUAGAGAGCGUACCAAUCCACUUCGUUCCCCGAUCAAAAUACAAAUAAGAUUAAGCGGAAUGAAUCAAAGAACUGAAGAAAGUGAAAACUUCCCUCUAAAAGAAAAGAAAAUUGAAACAAGAUAAAAUCCGUACUUUUUUUUUUUUUUUCGAAAAAUAUUAGUUCUCGAAAGUCUUCGUCUCCUUGAUAGCUGGGAGUUCUCCAAAAGUAUGAAAAGCAGGAGGACUUUGUACCAUCCAUUCCGGUGUGGUUGAAUUCUGUUCAACAGCCCAAGGACUUGGAGCACAUCUUUUGUUAUUUCCACUGCUUGAAGUGAUUGUUACGACCACGAAGAAACGACAAAUCCCAACUACGGAUAUAUAAGAGCCAAAACUGCUAAGGGUAUUCCAUCCAGCGUAAGCAUCUGGAUAAUCGGGAAUGCGACGUGGCAUACCCGAAAGCCCUAAGAAAUGCAUGGGAAAGAAGGUCAGAUUAACCCCGAAAAAAGUGAUCCAAAAAUGGAUUUGACCUAAAGUUUCAGGGUAUGUCCGACCAAAGAUUUUACCCACCCAAUAGUGAAAUCCUGCAAAUAAAGCAAAAACGGCUCCCAUAGAAAGUACAUAAUGGAAAUGUGCAACCACAUAAUAAGUAUCAUGUAGAGCAAUGUUUAGCCCAGAAUUUGCCGGGACUAUUCCAGUGAGUCCCCCUAUGGUGAACAAAAAGAUGAACCCUACAGCAAAUAACAUGGGUGUUUUGUAUUGUAUCGAACCUCCCCACAUGGUAGCGAUCCAACUAAAGAUUUUGAUUCCAGUGGGGACAGCUAUGAUCAUGGUAGCUGCGGUGAAGUAGGCACGGGUAUCAACGUCUAAGCCUACAGUAAACAUAUGAUGAGCCCAACCAAGAAAUCCAAGAACACCUAUACUGAUCAUGGCAUAAACCAUGCCUAGAUACCCGAAGACCGGUUUUCCCGAAAAAGUCGAAACGAUAUGACUUAUGAUACCGGAUCCACGCAAAAUGGGAAUAUACACCUCUGAUGACCGAAGAACCGAAAGAGAUGCUGGUAUAAUAUGGGGUCUCCCCCUCCAGCGGGAUCAGAAAAGGUUGUAUUAAAGUUUCGAUCGGUUAAUAACAUGGUAAUUGCCCCUGCCAGUACCGGAAGUGAUAAUAAAAGUGGGAAUGCUGUCACUAGAACGGACCACACAAAAAGGGGUGAUCUAUGCAUAGUCAUUCCAGGCCCACGCAUGUUGGAGAUAGUUGUUAUAAAAUUGAUAGAACCUAAAAUGGACGAAACACCAGAUAGAUGAAGACUAGAAAUUGCUGAAUCAACUGCUCCUCCAGAAUGGCUGGUAAUACCGCUUAAGGGCGGAUAGACCGUCCACCCAGUGCCGCUACCCACUUCUACUAAGGCUGAGCUUAAUAGGAGCAAGAGACUUGGUGGCAACAACCAGAAUGAAAUAUUAUUUAAUCGCGGAAAUGCCAUGUCAGGUGCACCUAUCAGAAUCGGAACAAACCAAUUACCAGAUCCACCUAUCAUCGCCGGCAUAACCAUAAAAAAGAUCAUUAAAAAAGCGUGAGCCGUUAUUAAAACAUUAUAAAGUUGAUGAUUUCCACCAAGAAUUUGAUCGCCGGGUCGUGCUAAUUCCAUACGAAUCAGUACUGAGAAGCAUGUGCCCAUCACUGCAGCAAUGGCACCGAAAAUGAAAUAUAAAGUCCCUAUAUCCUUGUGGUUAGUGGAGAACGGCCAUCGGACCGGAUUUGUCAUAAAAUUGAUCUUCUUUCCUUUCCUUCCUUAUCAGAGAGGGGCCCCGCUCGGGGCUUAUUUAUUGAAAAAGGGGGAGUGAGGGGAAGGUCCGGAAAGCCCUCACUUUAUUGAUGGGACAUCUUGAUCCCUUUUCCUCUAACCCCUGGUUCAGGAAAAGGUCAACGCAAAGAUCUUACUUCGAAGCAAUCUCUGGGGUUUUUCCUUAUCCGAACGGGUCUCGCAAGAAAAUAGGAUUUCAUAUUGAGCUCCAAAUAUACGCUAUUGGGAUUGGGAUAGGAUGGCUCCUACUAGCCCCUCCUAAGAACCGCACGUGCGAGUUCCCCCGCAUGCGGCUCAAGUGGCGAAGGCCCUUUCCUUCGCGCUUGGUAAGCGCUUCGCUGUAGUCAAGCUUACUGCUAGCCUAUCGGCUAGAGCCAAGCUUCGACCGCGACUGCUCGUCGCUUCUGGCCGCCUUAUUCCGUCACCCGAGAUCCAAGUCAGCACCGGCAAAGAUCUCUUGAUUCCUCGCGGCCGGGCCGGCUUGGAAGCAAGCUACCUGUCGCCUAUCUCACCCCCUUUCUUAUUAUUAGUAAGAUAGGUUGCCCCUUUCCUCUUUCUCUAAUAAUAAGGUGAGCUUCCAAAGCUCCUUCCUUCAGCUGGGUGAGCCUUCGCUUUUUGGAUCGUCUUCUGCCCAAUGCGGUACCCUCCCGUUUUUUGGUUCCCAUUGGGUUUACCUUGUUUACAGGUCGACCCCAUGGCAGCAAGAAAAGGUGAUCUUGUGCUAUACUCCGGUGAUCUCUUUCCUACCGAGGCACGCAAACUCCCAUCGUGUCCCAGAUCACAUUCCGUGAAUCGAAAGGGGAAGCCUACUCAUCCAUCAGCUCCUCUCGUAGACCGGUGCGGUUUUACGAAGCGUCUAAGCACAGUUCACUCGCGUUGAUCAAUCAAGAGCUUUGCCGCCACUCCUUAAGGUUACCUCUUGUAUCAAACACUUCUUGCAUUGUUUCCCACGCUUCAUACCCCCCUCUUUCUUCUUAAGGUAAGGUAAAGGGCCGGGCAUGGUGGGGUAGGAGCACCCUGUCGGAAAGAUUUUUGGCUUGACCAAGAAGUCUUAUGUCCUCCAAGUCGCACGGCGUUUUAACCGAAAGAACUUCUUGCGCAAUUCAUGCCUUUCUGUUUUUAUGACCAGAAAUUGUUUCUUGAUUUCCAUUUCAAAUUGUUCUCUGGACUUUUUAUCAAUAUGAGGUGAUCGUAACACAGUAUAUAAGACUCGUGAUUCAGGCAAUCCAAUCUUCCGUGUGUAAAGCGGAAGCCCCAAAAAAGGUUUUUCAUAAAUGGGUGAUCAGAAGAUCGAAUCACUAUGCGUAUCUUGGUGGUCGUUACUUUUGGUGGUCUUUCUUUUUGGCUGACUCCUCUUCCUGUUCUAUUGAUAAAAAAAAGCAUCCAGCAGCGCCACGCCAGUAGAAAGAGUGUUGCUACUAAGCGUCGCUGCUUUUGGGGAACUUGGUUGUUAACCAACGGCGCUAACCAAAACCGCCUCCUGCCGCCUAAUUCAAAAAAUGUCAACCCUCGAUCCGGCUGGGGCUUAAACAUGGAAUGAAUUUUUUAUGCCUAAGUCAACCCAUGAAACAGGUGUGCGGGCACUAAGCCGGUCGGAGAGGCAGAAUGCGCAAGUCAGGGAUCGGUCCGGUCCCCCUUAAGUGCUGCCUGCUGCGCAACCCUCGAUUCGGUUUGAUCUUAGACUGAGAAUGAACUCCGUAUGCUUAGACUAGGGAUGAACUCCGUAUGCCUAAGUUAACCCACGAAACGAGCGUGCGGACGCUCAGCCGACCAGAGAGGCAGAAUGCGCAAGCCGGGGAUCGAACGGGUGGUAGGUGGGUUCAAGCACAUCUUCAUAUUUCUGCCGUGUCAAUGCCAUUUUUACGGCUUGUAAAUUCAUACAAUAGUCCCCUAAGCCUUCCUGUGAAGUUUCGUGGCAAGACGACCCGUUUUCUAUUUUUCAUGAUUUUUAAAACUUUUUACGAUUCGAGAUUUUUUAAAAAUUUUUUAGAAAGAGUUUUGUCCCCAAAUUUGGUAGAGGUGAUCCUUGUAUUUUUUUUGGCAUGCACAAAAACAUUCAGCUAAAAACUUGAAGUGAAGAAGAUUUUGUGUCCAUUUGAAAAAAGUGUCCCCAUUUCAGACACUUUAAUGGCUACUGGCAGCAAACCUAUAAAACCUCAAAUGCUCUUUAAGGGGGUGUGAGUUCUCGAGGUUUGAUGAGGGAUAGGGGGCCAAUAUAAGGGCCAAGUACCAGCACCCAUCGCAUAUCAUGUGCGCACAUCCCCCCAGCCCCCCAAUCGCCGGAACCCCCAAUGCCACUGGUUAGGCACUCCGACGAUGCUCCGACGAUGCUCUGACGAUGGUGCCCCGAUCGAAAAAAAAGUGGCACCAGCACAUGCCCGAGCCCAGCAUGUGCACCGUGGCUCAAACUUUUAGACUGGGAAUGAACUCCGUAUGCCUAAGCCAACCCACGAAACGAGCGCGCGGGUGCUUAGCCGGUCGAAGAGGUAGAAUGCGCAAGUCAGGGAUCAGCCCGGUCCCCCUCUGCUUGCUGUCGGUCCCGCUGCCACAACCCUCAAUCCGACUAGGGCUUAGACAUGGAAUGAACUCCCUAUGCCUAAGUCAACCCACGAAAUGGGCGUGCGGGCGCUCAGUCGACCGGAGAGGCAAAAUGCGAAAGUCGAGGAUCGGCCCGGUGCCCUCUACGUUUUGCCGAUCCUGCUAUCGUAACCCUCGGUCUGGUUCGAUCUUAGACUGGGAAUAAACUCUGUAUGCUUAGACUGGGGAUGAACUUCGUAUGCCUAAGUCAACCCAUGAAACUAGUGUACGAGCAGUCAACCGACCGAAGAGGCCGAUCAGAGAGGCAGAAUAUGCAAGUCGAGGAUCGACCUGGUCCCUCCCUGCGUGCUACCGAUCCUGCUUUUGAUCCUGCUAUCGCAACUUUCGGUCCGGUCCGAUCUUAGACUGGGAAUGAACUCCGUAUGCUUAGACUUGGAAUGAACUCCGUAUGCCUAGGCCAACCCACAAAACGAGCGUGCGGGCUCUCAACCGACCGGAGAGGCAGAAUGCAUAAGCGAGGGACCAACCCGAUCCCCCCUACGUGCUGUCGAUCUUGCUGCCGUAACCCUUGGUCUGAUCCGAUCUUAGACUGGGAAUGAACUUCGUAUGCCUAAGUCAACCCAUGAAAUGAGUGUUCUGGCAUUGAGCCGGCUGAAGAUGCAUAAUGCGCAAGUCGAGGAUCGACCCAAUCCCCCUCUGCGUGCUGCUGGUCCCGCUGCCACAACCCUCGGUCUAGCUGGGGCGUAGACAUGGAAUGAACUCCCUAUGCCUAAGCCAACCCAUGAAACGGGCGUGCGGGCGCUCAGCCGAACGGAAAGGCAGAAUGUGUAAGUCAGGGAGUUGACCGGUCGCCCCUGCGUGCUGUCAAUACUACUACUGCAACCCUCGGUCCGGUUCGAUAUUAGACUGGAAAUGAACUCCGUAUGCUUAGACUGAGGAUGAACUCCGCAUGCCUAAGUCAACCCAUGAAACGAGCGUGCGGGUGCUCAGCCAACCGGAGAGGCUGGUCGGAGAGGCUAAAUACGCAAGCCGGGGAUCGGCCCGAUCCCACUGCGUGUUGCCGAUCCCACUGCGUGUUACUGAUCCUGCUGUCGUAGCCCUCAGUCCGGUCCGAUCUUAGACUGGGAAUGAACUCCAUAUGCUUAGACAUGGAAUGAACUCCGUAUGCCUAAGCCAACCCACGAAACGGGUGUCCGGGAGCUCAGCCGAUCGGAGAGGCAAAAUGCACAAGCCGAGGAUCAGCCUAGUCCCCCCUACGUGCUACCGAUCCUACUGUCGCAAACCUCGGUCUUCAUAUUUCUGCCAUGCCAAUGCCAUUUUUAUGGCUAGUAAAUUCAUACAAUGGUCCCCUAAGCCUUCAUGUGAAGUUUCGUGGCAAGACGACCCGUUUUCUAUUUUUCACAAUUUUUAAAACUUUUUGCAGUUCAAGAUUUUUUAAAAUUUUUUUAGAAAGAGUUUUGUCCCCAAAUUUGGUAGAGGUGAUCUUGUAUUUUUGUUGGCUUGCACAAAAAAAUUCAGCUAAAAACUCGAAGUGGAGAAUAUUUUGUGACCGUUUGAAAAAAGUGUCCCCAUUUCAGACACUUUAAUAGCUUCUAACAGAAAACCUAUAAAAUCUCAAAUGCUCUUUAAGGGGGUGUGCGUUCUCGAGGUUUGAUGAGGGAUAGAGGCCAAUAUAAGGGCCAAGUACCUGUACCCAUCGCACAUCAUAUGCGCACACCCCCCGGCCCCCCCAAUCGUCGAAACCCCCAAUGCCGCCUGUUAGGCUCUCCGGUGAUGCUCCGGCGAUGCUUCGACGAUGGUGCCCCGGGCAAAAAAAAUGCAGCAUCAACACAUGCCCAAGCCCAGCAUGUGCAUCGUGGCUCAAACUCUUAGACUGGGAAUGAACUUUGUAUGCUUAGACAUGGAAUGAACUCCAUAUGCCUAAGCCAACCCACGAAACGAGCGUGCGGGCGCUCAGCCGAUCGGAGAGCAGAAUGCGCAAGCCGAGGAUCGACCCAGUCCCCCUGCGUGCUGUUGAUCCUGCUACCACAACCUUCAGUUUGGUUAGAUCUUAGACUAGGAAUGAACUCUGUAUGCUUAGACUGGGGAUGAACUCCGUAUGCCUAAGUCAACCCACGAAACGAGCGUGCGGCCGCUGGCCGACCAAAGAGGUAGGAUGGCAAGCCGGGGAUCGAACGGGUGGUAGGUGUGUUCAAGCACAUCUUCAUAUUUCUGCCAUGCCAAUGCCAUUUUUAUGGCCUGUAAAUUCAUACAAUGGUCCCAUAAGCCUUCAUGUGAAGUUUCGUGGCAAGACGACCCGUUUUCUAUUUUUCAUGAUUUUUGAAACUUUUUACGGUUCCAAAUUUUUUUAAAUUUUUUUAGAAAGAUUUUUGUCCCCAAAUUUGGUAGAGGUGAUCCUUGUAAUUUUUUUAGCAUGCAUAAAAAAAUUCAGCUAAAAACUCGAAGUGGAGAAGAUUUUGUGACUGUUUGAAAAAAGUGUCCCUAUUUCGGACACUUUAACGGCUACUGGAAGCAAACCUAUAAAAUCUCAAAUGCUCUUUAAGGGGGUGUGAGUUCUCGAGGUUUGAUGAGGGAUAGGGGCCCAAUAUAAGGGCCAAGCACUGGCAGCCAUCGCACAUCAUGUGCGCACACCCCCCGGCCCCCUCAAUCGUCGGAACCCUCAAUGCCGUUGGUUAGGCUCUCCGACGAUGCUCCGACGAUGGUGCCCUGAGCAAAAUAAAUGUGGCACCAGCACAUGCCCGAGCCCAGCAUGUGCACCGUGGCUGAAAAUCUUAGACUAGGAAUGAACACCGUAUGCUUAGGCAUGGAAUGAACUCCGCAUGCCUAAGCCAACCCACGAAACGAGCGUACGGGCGCUCAGUCGGUCGGAGAGGCAGAAUGCGCAAGCUGGGGAUCGGCCCGAUCCCCCCCUGCGCGCUAUCGAUCCUGCUACCACAACCCUCAGUCCGGUCUGAUCUUAGACUGGAAAUGAACUCCAUAUGCAUAAAUCAACCCACGAAAUGAGCGUGUGGGCACUGAGUUGACCGAAGAGGCAUAACGCGCAUGUCGGGGAUCAGCCCGAUCCCCCUCUACGUGCUGCAAGUCUCGCUGCCACAACCCUUGGUCCGGUCGGGGUUUAGACAUGGAAUGAACUCCCUAUGCCUAAGCCAACCCAUGAAACGAGCGUGUGGGCACUCAGCAGGCCGAAGAGGCAGAAUGCGCAAGCCGGGGAUCGGCCCGAUCCCCCAUACGUGCUGUCGAUCUUAGACUGGGAAUGAACUCCGUAUGCUUAGACUGGGGAUGAACUCCGUAUGCCUAAGUCAACCCACGAAACGAGCGUGUGGGUGCUCAACCGAUCGGAGAGGCCGGCCAGAGAGGCAUAAUACGCAAGCCGAGGAUCAACUCGAUCCCCUUCUGCGUGCUGCCAAUCUGCUACCGACCUUGCUGCUAGAACCCUCGGUCUGGCUAGGCCAUAGACAUGGAAUGAACUCCGUAUGCCUAUGCCAACCCAAGAAAUGAGUGUGCAGGCAUUCAACCGGCCGAAAAGGCAAAAUGCGCAAGCCGGGGAUCUGUCUGGUCCCCCCUGCGUGUUGCCGAUCCUGUUGCUGGUCCUGCUGCCGCAACCCUCGGUCCGGUCUGAUCUUAUACUGGGAAUGAACUUCGUAUGCUUAGACAUGGAAUGAACUGCGUAUGCCUAAGCCAAACCAUGAAACGAGCGUAUGGGCGCUUAACCGGUCGGAGAGGCAAAAUGUGUAAGCUGGGGAUCAGCCCGAUCCACCCUACGUGCUGUCGAUCCUGCUACCGCAACCCUUGAUCCGGUUCGAUCUUUGACUGGGAAUGAACUUCGUAUGCCUAAGUCAACCUACGAAACGAGCAUGCGAGCGUUGAGUUGACCGGAGAGGGAUAAUAUGCAACCAGAGAUCGGCCCGAUCUCCUUCUGCGUGCUGUCGGUCUCGCUGCCACAACCCUCGGUCCAGCUGGGGCUUAGACAUGGAAUGAACUCCCUAUGCCUAAGCCAACCCACGAAAUGGGAGUACGGGCGCUCAGUCGAUCGGAGAGGCAGAAUGCGCAAGCUGGGGAACGGCUCUGUCCCCUCUGUGUGCUGUCGAUCCUACUGCUGCAACCCUCGGUCCGGUCUCAUUUUAGACUGGGAAUGAACUUUGUAUGCUUAGACUGGGGAUGAACUCCGUAUGCCUAAGUCAACCCACGAAACGAGUGAGCGGGCGCUAAACCAACUAGAGAGGCAAGAUGCGCAAGCCGGGGAUCGAACGGAUGGUGAGUGGGUGGGUUCAAGCACAUCUUCAUAUUUAUGCAUUGCCAAUGCCAUUUUUAUGGCUUGUAAAUUCAUACAAUGGUCCCCUAAGCCUUCAUGUGAAGUUCCGUGGCAAGACGACCCAUUUUCUAUUUUUCAUGAUUUUUAAAACUUUUUGCGGUUUGGGAUUUUUUAAAAUUUUUUUAGAAAGAGUUUUGUCCCCAAAUUUGGUAUAGGUGAUCCUUGUAUUUUUUUUGGCAUGCAUAAAAAAAUUCAGCUAAAAACUCGAAGUGGAGAAGAUUUUGUGACCAUUUCAGACACUUCAAUGGCUACUAGCAGCAAACCUACAAAACUCAAAUACUCUUUAAGGGGGUGUGAGUUCUUGAGGUUUGAUGAGGGAUAGGGGGCCAAUAUAAGGGCCAAGUGUCACACCCUGGGUGGGAUACGCUAGGCACAUUAGGUGCACCAGCAGGCGAGCCAGAGGUUGAGGCCCGUAAACCAGGCGUGCUGACGGGUAUCUACGCGUAAAGCCUAGCAUGCUGCCGAUCCUACUGUCGUAACCCUCGAUCUGAUUUGAUCUUAUACUGGGAAUGAACUUCGUAUGCUUAGAUUAUAGAUGAACUUCGUAUGCCUAAGUCAACCCAAGAAACGAGGGUACAGGAACUCAGCCGACCAGAGAGGCCAGCUAGAGAGGCAUAAUGCGCAAGCCGGGGAUCAGCUCGGUCCCCCUCUGUGUGCUACCGAUCCUGCUGCACAACCCUCUGUCCGAUUGGGGCUUAGACAUGGAAUGAACUCCGUAUGCCUAAGCCAACCCACGAAACGAGCGUGCGGGUGCUCAACCAGUCGGAGAGGCAGAAUAUGCAAGCCGAGGAUCAGCCUGGUCCCCCCUACGUGCUGUCGAUCCUGCUGCCACAACCCUCGGUCCAGUCUGAUCUUAGACUAGGAAUGAGCUCCGUAUGCUUAGACAUGGAAUGAACUCCGUAUGCCUAAGCCAACCCACGAAAUGAGCGUACAGGCGCUCAGCCAACCGGAGAGGCAGAAUGCGUAAGCCGGGGACCGGCCUGGUCCCCCCUACGUGCUAUCGAUCCUGCUAUCGCAACCCUCAGUCCAGUCUGAUCUUAGACUGGGAAUGAACUCCGUAUGCCUAAGUCAACCCACGAAACGAGCAUACGGGUGCUGAACUGACCAGAGAGGCAUAUUGCGCAAGUCGGGGAUUGGCCCGAUCCCCCUCUGCGUGCUACCAGUCCCGCUGCCACAACCCUCGGUCCGACUGGGGCUUAGACAUGGAAUGAACUCCCUAUACCUAAGCCAACCCACGAAACGGGCGUGUGAGCGUUCAGCCGGUUGGAGAGGCAGAAUGCGCAAGCCGGGGAUUGGCUCGGUCACCCCUGCGUGCUGUCGAUCCUGUUACCGCAACCCUCAAUCCGAUCCGAUCUUAGACUGAAAUGAACUCUGUAUGCUUAGACUGGGGAUGAACUCCGUAUGCCUAAGUCAACCCACGAAAUGCACGUGCGGGCACUCAGUCGACCAGAGGGCAGGAUGCGCAAGCCGGGGAUCGAACAGGUGGUAGGUGGGUUCAAGCAGAUCUUCAUAUUUCUGCCGUGCCAAUGCCAUUUUUAUGGCUUGUAAAUUCAUACAAUGGUCCCCUAGGCCUUUAUGUGAAGUUUCGUGGGAAGAUGACUCGUUUUCUAUUUUCGAAACAUUUUACGGUUCGAGAUUUUUUAAAAAUUUUUUAAAAAGAGUUUUAUCCCCAAAUUUGGUAAUGGUGAUCCUUGUAUUUUUGUUGGCAUGCAUAAAAAAAUUCAGCUGAAAAAUCGAAGUGGAGAAGAUUUUGUGACCGUUUGAAAAAAAUUCUCCCAUUUUAGACACUUUAAUGGCUAUUGGCAGCAAACCUAUAAAAUCUCAAAUGCUCUUUAAGGGGGUGUGAGUUCUCGAGGUUUGAUGAGGGUUAGAGGGAAAAUAUAAGGGCCAAGUGUCACGCCCUGGGAGGGGCGUGCCAGGCACAUCAGGCCCACCAGUUGGCGAGCCAGAGGUUGAGGCCCGCAGACCAGGUGUGGUGACGGGUAUCUGUGCUCAAAGCCUAGCAAGCGAGUUUAAAACGCCCGCCCAACUUGCAGGCCAGCCCAUGAGACCAAAGCCUGGCAUACAAGCAGCCCGCACCACAUCUAGAAGGGCCCAAGGUGCUCGACACAUAAGGGAAGAUUCUGGAAGCAGGCAGGAUCAACAGUAGCAUCUUGGCAGAUUUAGUUGACCCUGAAAAUCAGGAGUUAGCAUCCUAAUUGAUUGUAAUCUGUAUAAUCCCAUGAUUUUAGCCUUUAUUCUAGAUAUAUUGCCAUUAAGUGUAAGCUGAAGCCUCAACUAUAAAUAGAGGGCUGUUCCUCCCUCAUUUGUACACCAUCAAACACUUCUAUUUCAGUGAAUACAAGAGCAUUUCCAUAAUUCUACCUUCUUAUCCUGUUUCUCUUUAACUUGGGUAAGCAGCCCUUCCUGUUGUUCUAGUGCCCGUACAGUUGUGUUUUAGGCUGACUUAGGCAUAAAGGAAGAGAUUCCAAGCCUAAGGCCGCACGGUUUCUGAGUCUAAGGUCAGAGCCCGUGACAGUUGGUAUUAGAGCAAGUUCGAUUCUGCGUGUUUGUGUUGUGCAGGUUAGAGGAGAUGGCAUCCCAAAGUGACGCUGCUAACCAACAACUAGAGGCCCAGGAGCAUGGGCGUGGAAGAGGGAGGAAAGCCAGUUCUAGAUAUAUCUGGUCUACCAUGGACGGUAGGCUGGCCAAGGUGGAAGUGACCAUGGGUGACAUGGGGGAAAAGCUUGAGGGGGUAGAGACUCACAUUGCAUCGCUAGACUCCAUCAGGGAAGAGAUCCAAAGUGAGUUGCAAGCUGCUCUCAACAAAGGUUUGGACGUGUUCACCCAAAAGAAUCAGACCUUUGAGGCUGAAAUGCUGACCUUGCGCGAUGGCAUGGAGGCCAUGCCCCAGCAGAUGGAGAAGCUUACCAGUAAGCUCGUUGCUUGCAAGAUGCCAUUGGAAAUGGCAUGUUUGCUGGAAUGUCCAAGUCCAGAUUGGAUGUCCCCAAGCCUAAGGAGUGUAAGGGGACUAAGGUGGCCAAGGAAGUAGAUAACUACCUUUGAGGUAUAGAGCAGUACUUCCAGGCCAUGGGCAUGCAAGACGAGGCGAUAAAGGUAAGCACCGCUACUAUGUAUCUCACUGAUGUAACCUUAUUGUGGUAGAGGCACAGGUGUGAUGAUGUCAGGCAUGGAACGCCAAGAUUGGAACCUGGGCAGAGUUCCAAAAGGAGUUCAGAGAAUAAUUUUACCCAGAGUAUGCCGAUGAUGAGGCGUGGGCAAAGUUACGCAGGCUGAGCCAGCAAGGUGACAUAAGGGAGUAUGUCCAGAAAUUCUCUGAACUGAUGCUACAGAUCUCAGAUCUAGGCGAGAAGGACACCUUAUUUGCUUUCAUGGAUGGGCUGAAGCCGUGGGUGAAGCAUGAGCUACAAAAGAGAGGAGUUCAUGACUUGGCUAAAGCCAUGACUACUGUCGAGGCCUUGAUAGAGUUCAAGCCUAUGAACAAGUUCGAGUCUACCAAGCCCAAGGGUAAGGGCAGGGACGAUAGGGAUCGAAAGAAGCAGUCCAAGGGGAAAGAUCGUGAUCGGGAGUCCAAGGAUGGAGAUCGAGACCGUUCAACCAAGGAUGGCGAGAGAAAGCCACCAACAGGCAAGUGGAAAGCAAAGGGGGACCGAGAGCCACUAGCAUGCUACCUAUGUGGAGGGAGCCACAUAGCACAUAAUUGCUCGCAAAAGUGCAAGCUGGUUGCUGUAGACAAGGAGUUUGACGAGGAGCCAGAGUUAGGGGCAGCAAAGCUUGGGUCAUUGGUGCUCAAUGCUGUCUAGAGUAAGGGGAGCCGCAAGCCAAAGGGCUUGAUGUUUGCGGAUCUGAUGGUUGUGGGUUAGAAGGUGAGCGCAUUGGUGGACACAGGUGCCUCACAUCUUUUUAUUUCAGGUGAUAGAGCCCGAAAGCUCAGACUAAAGGUGCAGAAAGGGACUGGUACCAUCAAAACAGUGAACUCUAAUGAAGUUCCAGCCAUUGGAGUAGCGCGGGGAGUGGAGUUACAGCUUGGAGACUGGAAAGGCAAGGAGACCAUUGAGGUAAUACCCCUUGACGACUAUGAGUUUGUGAUUGGGUUGGAUUUCCUUGUUCAGAUUAACGCCCUCCUUGUGCCUUUUGUCGAUUGUGUUUGCAUCUUGGAUGCACGGUGCCAAUGCCUAGUGCCAUUGAGGAGAGGGUCUGCAGUUGGGUCACGGGUGGUGUCAGCCAUCCAAUUUGCCAAGGUGGUAAGUAGACAAGAAGACACCUUCUUGGCAGCCCUGAAAUAUGAUGAGUUAAGGGAGAAGGAGACCGAGUCACCCUUGGAGGUGCUAGAGGUGCUGAAGACCUUUAGUGAUGUGAUGCCCGCAAAGCUACCUAGCAAGCUACCACCUAAGAGGGAGGUGGACCACAAGAUCGAGCUGGUGUCCGAGGCCAAGCCACCAGCUAGAGCCCCUUACCGAAUGUCUCCACCAGAGUUGGAGGAGUUGAGGAAGCAGCUCAAAGAGUUAGUUGAUGCUGGCUUCAUCAGGCCAUCGAAGGCACCUUAUGGUGCACCGAUUCUAUUUUAGCACAAGCAUGAUGGGUCAUUGCGGCUGUGCAUAGACUACUGAGCUUUGAACAAGCUGACCAUCAAGAACAAAUACCUCAUCCCACUCAUUACGGACUAGUUCGAUCAACUUGGGAGCGCAAGGUGGUUCACCAAGCUGGAUUUGAGGUCAGGCUACUAUCAAGUUAGGAUCGCGAAGGGAGAUGAGCCAAAGACAACAUGUGUCACUCGGUAUGGUUCGUAUGAGUUCUUGGUGAUGCCUUCCGGACUCACGAACGCCCCAGUAACAUUCUGCACCCUUAUGAACAAGGUACUUCAGUCAUUCCUUGAUCGGUUUGUUGUGGUUUAUUUGGAUGACAUUGUGAUCUACAGCCAGACUUUGGGAGAGCAUGUAGACCACUUGAGACAGGUGUUCGAGGUGUUGUGGGCGCACAAGCUGUUUGUCAAGAGGGAGAAGUGCUCAUUCGCCCAGCAGGAGAUCCCGUUCCUUGGCCACAUAGUGGGAGGUGGCAGGAUACGCAUGGAUGAAGGCAAGAUACACGCCAUCCUGGAGUGGCAACCGCCAGCCAAGGUCACUGAGUUGAGAUCGUUCCUUGGGCUGGUCAACUACUACAGGCGCUUCAUCAAAGGUCACUCAGCAAUAGCCACGCCAUUGACUGACUUGCUCAAGAAAGGGAAAGCAUGGGAUGGAGCGCAGGGUGCCAGGAAGCCUUUGACAGGUUGAAGCGGCUGUGAUCGAGGAGCCAGUCUUGGCCUUGCCAGACCAUGCCAAGCCGUAUGAGGUGCAUACGGAUGCAUCAGACUUUGCCAUAGGGGGCGUGUUGAUGCAGGAGGGACGUCCAGUCGCGUUCGAGAGCAGAAAGCUGAACGAGACUGAGCGCAAGUACAUGGUCCAAGAGAAUGAGAUGACUGCAGUGGUGCACUGCUUGCGCACUUGGUGCCAUUACCUGUUGGGGUCGAGGUUCAUGGUUAGGACGGACAAUGUGGCGACCAGCUACUUCCAGACGCAGAAGAAGCUAUCCCCAAGCAGGCGAGAUGGCAAGAUUUUCUUGUAGAAUUUGAUUUCUAGAUGGAGUACAAGCCGGAACCGGUGAACCUAGUGGCAGACGCCCUGAGCAGGAAGGCUAACCUUGCUGCCAUUAGCCAACCAGAGGGGUCACUGGUGCCGCACAUCAAGAAGGGACUUGCGCAUGAUCUUACAGCCAAGGCUUUGAUGGAGUACGCCCAGCAAGGUAAGACUAGGCAGUUUUGGUUGCAGGAUGGCUUGCUGACACCAGGGGCAGUAGACUGUUUGUGCCAUAGCACAGGAAGCUCCGCAAGGAAGUUUUGCAAGAAUGCCAUGAUUCAAGGUGGGCUGGACACCCCGGAGUGAGCCGUACCUUGGCGCUGAUCGAGGAUCGUACUACUGGCCGCACAUGAGGGAUGAUGUGGAGGCCUAUGUGAAGACUUGUCUUGUGUGCCAACAGGACAAGGUGGAGCUCAAGAAACCAGCGAUCUCUUGGAGCCAUUGCCAGUGCCAGAGUGACCAUGGGAGAGUGUUUCUCUGGACUUUAUAGUGGUCUACCCAAAGCAGAAGGGUUUGGAAGCAUCAUGGUAGUGGUGGACAGGUUUUCCAAGUAUGGAAUCUUCAUUCCAGCAACCAAGGAGUGCCCAGCCGAGAGGCAGCUCGAUUGUUCCUGAAGAACAUGGUUAAGUACUGGGGAGUGCCGAGGACCAUUGUUAGUGAUCGGGAGGGCGUUUCACGGGUAGGUUCUGGACUGAGUUGUUCAAGCUGUUGGGGUCAGACUUGAACUUUUCCACCAGCAUGCAUCCGCAGACCGAUGGGCAGACAGAAUGAGUGAAUGGACUAUUGGAGGUCUACCUCAGGCACUAUGUGAGUGCCACACAAAGGGACUGGCCAAAGCUGCUAGAUAUUGCAUAGUUUUCCUACAACUUGCAAAGGAGCGAGGCAACGAACCAGAGCCCAUUUGAGGUUGUGACAGGGCAACAACCACUAACACCCGGUUCGAUUGCUGCAGGUUAUACAGGGUCGAAUCCAGUAGCAUACAAGUUUGCCAAGGCAUGGCAGGAGCAAACUGACUUGGCCAGAGUUUGUCUACACAAGGCGGCCAAGAGGUCGAAGAAGUGGGCAGACCAGAAUAGGCGGGACGUGCAGUUCCAGGUUGGAGACUUGGUGUUGGUGAAGCUGCAUCCCAUUGUGCACCAUACGGGGCUACACAAAGGCCUAGUCCGGAGGUAUGAGGGACCUUUUCGAGUAGUCAAAAGGGUAGUCAAGGUUGCCUACAAGCUGGAUAUGCCACCCAAGCCGAGGGUACACCCGGUGUUCCAUGUGAGCAUGCUCAAGCCGUUCCAUGAGGAUGAGAGAGAUCCAAGAUGGGCAGAGUCAAAGUGUGUGCCAUUGGGAGUAAGGGCCUCAUAUGAGAAGGAGGUCCACAGCAUCAUAGCUGACCGAAAGGUGAGACGGAAGAACUAUCAGCCAAGACAAGAGUACUUGGUGCAUUGGAAGGGACUUCCAGAUAGUGAGGUAAGCUAGGAACCAGCAGAUGACUUAUGGCAGUUCGGAGACCAGAUCAGGUAGUACCAUGCAGAAGAUGCAACGAGGGCGUUGCACAAUCAGGUGGAGGAGAAUGUCAUACCCUAGACGGGCGCGCCAGGCACAUCAGGCGCACCAACUGGCGAGCCAGAGGUUGAGGCUCGUAGACCAGGCGUAUUGGUGGGUAUCUGCACGCAAAGCCUAGCAAACGAGUUCAGAAUGCCUGCCCCACUUACAGGCCAGCCUGUGAGACCAAGGCCUAGCAUACAAGCUGCCCGCACCACACCCAAAAGGGCCCAAGGUGCUGAACACGCAAGGGAAGCUUCUGGAAGCAGGCAGGAUCAACGUAGCAUCCUGACAGAUUUGGUUGACCCUGAAAAUCAGGAGUUAGCAUCCUGAUUGAUUGUAAUCUGUAUAAUCCCAUGAUUUUAGCCUUUAUUCUAGGGAUAUUGCCAUUAAGUGUAAGCUGGAGCCUCAACUAUAAAUAGAGGGUUGCUCCUCCCUCAUUUGUACACCAUUAAACACUUCCAUUUCAGUGAAUACAAAAGCAUUUCCAGAAUUCUGCCUUCUUAUCCUAUUUCUCUUUAACUUGCGUAAUCAGCCCUUCUCGUUGUUCUAGUGCCGUACGCUUGAGUUUUAGGCUGACUUAGGCAUAAAGGAGGAGAUUCCAAGCCUAAGGCCGCACGAUUUUUGAGUCUAAGGUCGGAGUCCGUGACACAAGUAUCAGCACCCAUCGCAUAGCAUGUGCGCACACCCCCCCGACCCCCUCAAUGUCGGAAACCCCCAAUGCCGCUGGUUAGGCUCUCUUACAAUGCUCCAGCGAUGGUGCCCCGGGUGAAAAAAAAGUGGCACCAGCACAUGCUUAGACUGGGAAUGAACUCCGUAUUCUUAGACAUGGAAUAAACUCUGUAUGCCUAAGCCAACCCACGAAACAAGUGUGCGGGCGCUCAACCGAUUGAAGAGGUAGAAUUCGUAAGCCGGGGAUCAGCCUGGUCCCCCUACGUGCUGUCGAUCUUGCUGCCACAACCCUCGAUCCGGUCGAUCUUAGACUAGGAAUGAACUCCGUAUGCCUAAGUGAACCCACGAAACGAGCGUGAGGGUGCUGAGCCGGCUGGAGAGGCAUAAUGCACAAGCCAGGGAUCGGCUCGAUCCCCCUCUGCGUGCUGUCGGUCCCGCUGCCACAACCGUCGGUGCAGCUGGGCUCAGACGUGGAAUGAAAUCCCUAUGCCUAAGCCAACCCACGAAACGAGCAUGCGGUCACUCAGCCGAUCAAAGAGUCAGAAUGCGCAAGCCGGGGAUCGGCUCGGUCCCCCCUUCGUGCUAUCGAUCCUGCUACCGUAACCCUCGGUCCGAUCCAAUCUUAGACUGGGAAUGAACUCUGUAUGCUUAGACUGGGGAUGAACUCCGUAUGCCUAAGUCAACCCAUGAAACGAGCGUGCGGGCACUCAGCCGACGAAGAGGUCGGUCAGAGAGGUAGAAUGCACAAGCUGGGGAUUGGCCCAAUCCCUCCUGCAUGCUACCGAUUCGGUUGCUGGUCCUACUGCCGCAACCCUCAAUCCGAUCUGAUCUUAAACUGGGAAUGAACUCCGUAUGCUUAGAUUUUGUGACCGUUUGAAAAAAGUGUCCCCAUUUCAAACACUUUAAUGGCUACUGGCAGCAAACCUAUAAAAUCUCAAAUGCUCUUUAAGGGGUGUGAGUUCUCGAGGUUUGAUGAGGGAUAGGGGGCCAAUAUAAGGGCCAAGUACUAGCACCCAUCGCACAUCAUGUGCGUACACCCCCCGGCCCCCCAAUCAUCGGAACCCCCAAUGCCACCGGUUAGGCUUUCCGAUGAUGCUCCGACGAUGGUUCCCCGAGGGAAAAAAAUGCAGCACCAGUAAAUGCCCGAGCCCAGCAUGUGCACCAUGGCUCAAACUCUUAGACUAGGAAUGAACUCUGUAUGCUUAGACAUGGAAUGAACUCCAUAUGCCUAAGCCAACCCAUGAAACGAGCGUGCGGGCGCUCAGCCAAUCAGAGAGGCAGAAUGCACAAGUCGGGGAUCGGCUCGGUCCCCCCUGCGUGCUGUCAAUCCUGCUAUCGCAACCCUUGGUCCGAUCCCAUCUUAGACUGGGAAUGAACUCUGUAUGCCCACGAAACGAGCGUUCGGGCGCUGAGCCGGCCGGAGAGGCAUAAUGCAUAAGCCGAGGAUCGGCCUGAUCCCGCGCCCACAACCCUGGGUCUGAUUGGGGUUUAGACAUGGAAUGAACUCCCUAUGCCUAAGCCAACCCAUGAAAUGGGUGUACGGGUGCUCAACCGGCUAGAGAGGUAGAAUGCGUAAGCCAGGGAUCGGAUCGAUCCCCCUUGCGUGCUAUCGAUCCUGCAGCCGUAACCUUCGGUCUAAUCGAUCUUAGACUGGGAAUGAACUUUGUAUGCUUAGACUGGGGAUGAACUCCGUAUGCCUAAGUCAACCCACGAAACGAGCGUAUGGGCGCUCAGCCGACCGGAGAGGUCGAUCGAAGAGGCAUAAUGCACAAGUCGAGGAUCAGUCCGGUCCCCAUCUGCGUGCUGCUAAUCUCGCUGCCGGUCUUGCUGCGACCCUCGAUCCAGUUUGAUCUUAGACUGAGGAUGAACUCUGUAUGCCUAAGUCAUCCCACGAAACGAGCAUGCGGGCACUGAGCCGAUCGGAGAGGCAUAAUGUGCAAGUCGGGGAUCGGCCUGGUCCCUCUCUACGUGGUGCCAGUCCCACUGCCACAACCCUUAGUCCGGUUGGGGCUUCGACAUGGAAUGAACUCCCUAUGCCUAAGCCAACCCACGAAACGAACGUGCGGGCACUCAGCUGGCUGGAGAGGCAGAAUGCACAAGCCGGGGAUCAACUUGGUCCCCCCUGCGUGCUGCCGAUCUUGCUACCGUAACCCUUAAUCCGGUCUGAUCUUAGACUAAGAAUGAACUCCGUAUGCUUAGACUGGGGAUGAACUCCGUAUGCCUAAGUCAACCCACGAAACGAGCGUGCGAACGCUCAACCGACCAGAGGGGCAGGAUGCGUAAGCCGAGGAUCGAACGGGUGGUAGGUGGGUUCAAGCACAUCUUCAUAUUUUCACCAUGCCGAUGUCAUUUUUAUGGCUUGUAAAUUCAUAUAAUGGUCCCCUAAGCCUUCAUGUGAAGUUUUGUGGCAAGACGACCCGUUUUUCUAUUUUUCACGAUUUUUAAAACUUUUUACGAUUCAGGAUUUUUUAAAAUUUUUUUAGAAACCCAAAUUUGGUAGAGUGAUCCUUUUUUUUUGUUGGCAUGCAUAAAAAAAUUCAGCUAAAAACUCGAAGUGGAGAAGAUUUUGUGACCGUUUGAAAAAAGUGUUCCCAUUUCAAACACUUUAAUGGCUACUGGCAGCAAACCUAUAAAAUCUCAAAUGCCCUUUAAGGGGGUGUGAGUUCUCGAGGUUUGAUAAGGGAUAGGGGCCCAAAAUAGGGGCCAAGUACCAGCACCCAUCGCACAUCAUGUGCGCACACCCUUUCGGCCCCCUAAUUGUCGGAACCCCAAAUACCGUUGGUUAGGCUCUCCGACGAUGCUCCGACGAUGGUGCCCUGGGUGAAAGAAAUGCGGCACCAGCACAUGCCUGAGCCCAGCAUGUGCACCGUGGCUCAAAAUCUUAGACUGGGAAUGAACUCCGUAUGCUUAGACUGGGGAUGAACUCCGUAUGGCUAAGUCAACCCAUGAAAUGAGCGUGCGGGUGCUCAGUCGGCCGGAGAGGCCAGACGAAGAGGCAGAAUGCGUAAGUCGAGGAUCAGCCCAGUCCCCUCUGCGUGCUAUCGAUCCUGCUACUGCAACCCCCAGUCCGGUCCGAUCUUAGAAUGGGAAUGAACCCCGUAUGCUUAGACUGGAGAUGAACUCCGUAUGCCUAAGUUAACCCACGAAAUGAGCGUGUAGGCGGGUGCUUAGCCGACAGAGAGACAGGAUGCGCAAGCCAGGGAUCAAACGAGUGGUAGGUGGGUUCAAGCACAUCUUCAUAUUUCUGCCAUGCCAAUGCCAUUUUUAUGGCUUGUAAAUUCAUACAAUGUCCCCUAAGCCUUCAUGUGAAGUUUCGUGGUAAGACGACCUGAUUUCUAUUUUUCAUGAUUUUUGAAACUUUUUACGGUUCGAGAUUUUUUAAAAUUUUUUUGGAAAGAGUUUUGUCCCAAAUUUGGUAGAGGUGAUCCUUUUAUUUUUGUUGGCAUGCACAAAAAAAUCCAGCUAAAAACUUGAAGUAGAAAAGAUUUUGUGACCAUUUGAAAAAGGUGUCCCCAUUUCAGAUACUUUAAUAGCUACUGGCAGCAAACCUAUAAAAUCUCAAAUGCUCUUUAAGGGGGCGUGAGUUCUCGUGGUUUGAUGAGGGAUAGGGGGCCAAUAUAAGGGCCAAGUACCAGCACCCAUCGCACAUCAUGUGCGCACACCCCCCGACCCCUCCAAUCACCGGAACCCCCAAUACCGCCGGUUAGGCUCUCCAAUGAUGCUGCCCCGAGGAAAAAAAAUAUGGCACCAGCACAUGCCCGAGUCUAGCAUGUGCACCGUGGCUUAAACUCUUAGACUGGGAAUGAACUCCGUAUGCGUAGACGUGGAAAGAACUCUGUAUGCUUGAGCUAACCCACGAAACGACCGUGCGGGCGCUCGGUAAAUCGAAGAGACAGAUGCGUAAGCCGGGGAUGGCCCAGUCCCCCCUACGUGCUGUCGAUCCUGCUACCUCAACCGUCUGUCUGAUCUGAUAUUAGACUGGGAAUGAACUCGUAUGCAUAAGUCAACCCACGAAAUGAGCGUGCGGGCGCUGAGCCGGUCGAAGAGGCAUAAUGCGCAAACUGAGGAUCAACUCGGUCCCCCUCUGUGUUUUACCGGUCCCGCUGCCAUAACCCUCGAUCCGGCUGGGGCUUAGACAUGGAAUGAACUCCCUAUGCCUAAGCCAACCCAUGAAACGGGCGUGCGGUCGCUCCGUCGGUCGGAGAGGCAGAAUGCAAAACUCAGGAUCGACUCGGUCCCCCUGCGUGCUACCAAUCUUGCUGCCACAACCCUCGGUCCGGUCUGAUCCUAGACGACCCGUUUUCUAUUUUUCAUGAUUUUUGAAGCAUUUUGCAUUUCAGGAUUUUUUUAAAUUUUUUUAGAAAGAAUUUCGUCCCCAAAUUUGGUAGAGGUGAUCCUUGUACUUUUGUUGGCAUGCACAAAAAAAUUCAGCUAAAAACUCGAAGUGGAGAAGAUUUUGUGACUAUUUGAAAAAAGUGUCCCCAUUUCAGACACUUUAAUGUCUACUGGCAGCAAACCUAUAAAAUCUCAAAUGCUCUUUAAGGGGGUGUGAGUUCUCAAGGUUUGAUGAAGGAUAGGGGGCCAAUAUAAAGGAAAAGUGCCAGCACCCAUCGCACAUCAUGUGCGCACACCCCCGGCCCCCCCAAUCGUCGGAAACCCCAAUGCCUAAGUCAAAUUGGGAAACACCGAUCUUAGACUGGGAAUGAACUCUGUUUGCUUAGACUGGGGAUGAACUCCGUAUGCCUAAGUCAACCCACGAAACGAGUGUGUGGGCCCUUAGUCGGUCGGAGAGGCAUAAUGCGCAAGCCGGGGAUUAGCCCGAUCCCCCGCUACGCGCUGCCAGUCCCGCUGCCACAACCCUCGGUCCGACUGGGGCUUAGACAUGGAAUGAACUCCCUAUGCCUAAGCCAACCCAUGAAACAGGCGUGCGGGCGCUCAGUUGGUCGGAGAACUAGAAUGCGUAGGCCGAGGAUAGGCCCGGUCUCCCCUGCGUGCUGCCAGUCCUGCUGUUGUAACCCUCGGUCUGGUUCAAUCUUAGACUGGGAAUGAACUCUGGAUGCUUAGACUGGGGAUGAACUCCGUAUGCCUAAGUCAACCCAUGAAACGAGCGUGUGGGCGCUCAGUCGACCGGAGAGGCAUAAUGCGUAAGCCGAGGAUCAGCCUGAUCCCCCACUGCAUGUUGCCAGUCCCGCUAUCAUAACCCUCGGUCCGGGUAGGGCUUAGACGU
rnacentral:lncRNA from 1 species